rnacentral:lncRNA from 1 species
CAGCCUAUUACAGGAUAUGGAGUGUCUAAAGUUUUGAAAUCUGGUGAUUCAAAUUUCCAAGAAGGUGACUUAGUUUGGGGAAUGACUGGAUGGGAGGAAUAUAGUAUUGUAACAACUCCUCAAAGUAUGUUUAAAAUUGAUCAUGACAAGGAUGUGCCUCUUUCCUAUUAUACAGGAAUCCUUGGUGAGUGUUUUCGACUGGGUUAAAGUCUUACAUUAAUUAGUUGGGGUCUCUAACUUAUAUGCAUUUAAAAAAAAAAAAAUCGGGGUUGAGUUAGACCCCAGCAUCAUAAUUUUACAUGAUAUAUAUCUAUAUAUGAACCCUAUUUGGGAUCUUGGUCCACACACUCCAGUUGGGCUUGGACUUGAAGGGAAUGCUAGAGUCCCACAGUGGUACUAUAACCAAAAACAGCUUUUAGCGGCAAUAAAUAGACACAUUAAUAAAGAGUGCUAAAGUCUUUACCGGCAUUAGUUAAAUGUCAUUAAUUCAAUGUCGCUAAAGGCUUUAGGGGCAUAUACAAAGAGUGCUAAUUGCCGCUAAAUAUACAUAUUUAGUGGCAAUUGAGCUAUUACCGCUAAUUAAUUGCCACUAAAGAUCGUUUUUGAUGUAGUAUGAUUGGUUGGGGAAUAGACUGAUAAUCUGCUUAUAUGGACUCGGACAAUAAUCUUCUGCUCUUGCAGGGAUGCCUGGGAUGACAGCUUAUGCUGGUUUUUAUGAGGUUUGCUCCCCUAAGAAGGGAGAAACUGUGUUUGUUUCAGCUGCUUCUGGAGCAGUUGGUCAACUUGUUGGACAAUUUGCAAAGAUGUUAGGUUGUUAUGUUGUUGGUAGUGCUGGAAAUAAACAAAAGGUAAGUACUUCAACAUUUCAUUCUUGAAUUUUAUUAGUGGCUAAUUAGUUAUCUUACUCAUCUUAAUCAUUGUUAAAUAAUCUAGCUAUCUCAUCUAUUCAUUAUUAUUAUUAAAGGUUGAUAUGUUGAAGACCAAGUUUGGUUUUGAUGAAGCGUUUAACUAUAAAGAGGAGCAGAAUUUAGAUGCAGCUUUGAAGAGGUAAGUAAUCUUUUAAAUUUCCCACAAGAAAACACUUAACUAAUAUGGAAAAAAACAGUUUCCACGAUGAAGGUGUAGGCGACGACUUCUUUUUAAUUUUUUUUUUAAGCCAUCACCUUAACGGUGUGUGUGUGUUGGGGGGGGGGGGGGGGCUGCUUGACCCCUACCAUGUCUAUAACAUCCAAAAAGUUACAAAAGCAGAAGGGGACAUGGACCUAACCUCUUGAUAGUGAACAACGAGGAUAAACUAAACAAUCUACCGAAAGACUAAGAUGACAUAGACUUUCAACUAUAAGCAAAAUACAUUGGUUCAACUAACAAAAAAAAAUUACAUUUGUCGUAUCUUCUCCUUAUGCUAAAGUUGCCACUUAUCUAGUCGAAAUAGUCCCUUCACCUCAGAAGAAUUAAGUGUGGUGGAUUGAACAUUAAGGGCAUAAAUGAAAAGAUAGCUAAUAAAACGCUAAAGGUAUGUAUGAACUGAUAGUAUAACGGAAAAGCAAUACUAGACCUUUAAUUUUCAAUAAUAUAGGAGUAAAUAUGACCUUUUUUUCGUUUUGGUUUAUUCUAUUAGGUACUUCCCUGAUGGAAUUGACAUUUACUUUGAGAAUGUUGGAGGUAAAAUGCUUGAUGCAGUUCUUGUGAAUAUGAAACUUCAUGGUCGUAUUGCUGUGUGUGGAAUGAUUUCACAAUACAACCUUGACAAGACUGAAGGAGUGCACAACUUGUUUUGCCUCAUCGCGAAACGAAUCCGUAUGGAAGGAUUUCUUGUUUUUGAUUACUAUCAUCUUUAUCCUAAAUAUCUUGAAAUGAUCUUUCCACAAAUAAAGGCUGGUAACAUUGUGUAUGUGGAAGACAUAGCUGAAGGUUUUGAAAGUGCUCCUAGUGCUCUAGUUGGUCUCUUCUCUGGUCUCAAUGUUGGAAAGCAAGUUGUGAUGAUUUCAUGUGAAUGAAUGGAUUUGGAUCUUUUCCAUUUUCUCUCAAGUUUUUACUUGAAAGGAAAGAUAUUGUGUCAUGGUUAAAUACUUAAUGCACAAACAUUUCUAUCAUGUAUUUACUAAUUCUAUGUAUGGUUUGAAAUAAUUAGUCAUAAAUUGAUAAUUUCAUACUAGAUUUCAAGUCAGUUAUACCUAGGUACAUGUAUUUUUGCUACUAGGUACAUUUUGAAAUGCAGAUACAUAGGAAGAGAGGGAGCGAGAGAGGAGAAAGGAGAGAUGAGAGAGGCGAGAGGCAAGCGAAAGAGUUAGUGUAUCCCAGAUAUGUGCAAAUUACACUAGAUAAUAUGAGAUAUCAUAUACAAUUCAUAAACAUUCUGAAAUACAGAUACAUAAGGAGAGAGGCGAGCGAGAGAGGGAGAGAGGCGAGCAAGAUAAGAGAUAUGAGUGAGAGAGUCAGUGUUUCCAUCAUAUAAAUUAUGCUUGAAUACAGUAUGUCAGAAAUAAAUUGGACCUAAUUUUAAUUUAUAUAUCCAAGAUACAUAUAUUUGGAUGUGUCGCAUACAUGUGUUUGGGAACUAACAUCUGACACAAACAAUAAUUUCAAAGAGGCACAUAAUUAGACUCUAAACUAAAGAAAUUCUUAUCGUUUGCCCUUGAACUUAUUUAGGCAAAUAAAAGGUCGGAAGAGAUUUAAGAUUGCGAGAUUAAUAAUAAUUUAUAAAAUUAAAUAUAUAAUAUAGUAUUAAUUAUCUAAAUCAUAAAAAAGAUUUAUUUUGAUUAACUAUGGGUGUGUUUGGUAUGUGUUGACACCCAAUUUUGGACCUCCACAAUAUAAAUUAAUCAUCGAGCUUCCUAAAUUCCAAAUGAUUUGAAAUAAUUGGCUUUAUAAAAUUCAAAAUAAUUUUCAAGUCAUUUUAAGUAGUUUUGUCAUUUUUAUAAAUUCUAAAAAUAAUAAAUAUGAUAUUUUAUAUAAUUAUGUGUCUAAUUAGUAUAUUUUAUGAACGUUCGAAAAUUGUCUCAAAAGGAUUUUAGUCUUAUUUAAAUAUUUGGUUAUUUAGUCGUUUAUAUUAUUAAAUUAAUUAGUUUAUAAUUAAGUUAAUUAUUUUAUUUUAUUAAGAUUAAGAAUCUCGUUAAUUAAUUAAUAUCAAUUUAUCUUAUUUAAUUACUAGUCAAAUCUAUCUUAACUAACUUAAAUCGACUAAGUUUUAACCCCUUUUUAACCGACCCCACCCCUAUUUCUUUACAAUUCACGGCAGCCCAUCACAUAACCCAAAAAUCGGCCCAUUUUCUCCUUUUCCUCCAACCUGUCCAGCAGCCCACAACAAUUCCUAACAAUACAUACACGAACCGACCCCAUCCUCCUUAUUUCCCUCAACUCAACUUGUACAGCAACUAACACCAAUUCCCACGACCCAGCCCAGUUGCCCCUUUAACCCGGCCCAAACCCACGUUAACAAGAACAUUCAACCCCAAUGUUUCAUUCAAUAUUCACGAAGGAACCUAGAAAAUCCCCCCCAACGUCCCUUUCGGUUGGUACAAUCGCAGCAGGCACGCCUCUGUCCUCCUUUCCCCUUUCGGAAUGAGCCAAAAUCUCAAGGAAAAGGUGUUGGUCCGAAUUGAUGAAGGAAUUCAAUUUUUUGAAUUUGGAAUUCGUCCAAAAUCUACCGGAUUUCCCCCGUUUUUUUUUUAAUCCAAAAAAUUUCCCUUCUAUAUAAUUGUUUUGUUAUUCACUGUUGAAGGAGGCAGAGGUAAUUCUCAACUAAGACUGGGAUAUAGAGAAUUAUAGUUCAUAAAAAGGGAUUGGGAGAAGUUAGCAAACGGAGAAUGGAUAGCUGAACAAAAGUAUUUUCAAAUAGCUUCAAAAAGAACCUGAGUUUUUUUUUUUCUUUGAAUUUGGUUUCUUCUUUAUCGGAUCGUCGGGGUUUGCCGGAGUAUUCGGAAUCCCAUUUCAGUGGUGAAAGUUUUUGCUCGCUGCUCCGCUCGUUGUUGUCCCGUUUGCUGCACUCAGAAAGGUAAACUCUAUUUCUGCUCGUGUCAUUUAUUUCUUAAGUUGUAGUUUGUUCACUGCUUGAAAGUUAUAAGCUAUGUGAAUGCUGAAAUUUGAAAAAAUAAUCUCAAUUUGCUCUUAAGUUCGAAAUCAGUGGCGUUUCCUUGCUUUAUUUAUUUAAAUUUUCUAGUUUGUUUGGUUAGACGUUCGGCAGACUCAAUGUGAUUUUGAGUUGCUCGCCUUUCUGUUUCCUUAUCAUCUCGCUGUUUAUCUUGUGGGUUGGCUGUAGGUUAGUAUGAAUGUGAAUUUUCCGAGUCUAUAAUGCUGAUUUUUAUAGUUUGUUAGACAACGGUUACUUCAUUCGUUUAGCUAGCAUGAAUCGUGUAGGUUGAAUAGUUUUAUUUCUUCUCUUGUUUGGUGCUUGUUCCAUCCGUGUUCAAUGAAGUAAAAAAUGGUUCAUAUAUCAUCUACUUACCAUUUUAAAAAUCUCAUUCACGAUAGUGAUAAUCGUAUAGUCUCCAUCACCCCUCAUGUUUAGUCGAUUUAUCUUAGGUCCACUUCAGUCUGAUUUGGUUAAAAUUGUUAAGAUGUUAACUUGAGUCAGUUUGCUCCGUUCCAUUUUUUGCUAUUCAAAGCAAGUUCGGUUGUUUGUAUUUCUUCCUUAUUCUCAUCUUUGAAUCAUGCCAAGUCUUGAAAAGGGUAAGACUUAUGUAUCAUUUGUGGUAUUUUCUUUAGUUGCUAUCAUCGUUUGCUACCUUAUCGAUGCCGUGGAAUAUAUACUCACUAUUAUAAGAAGCCUAUGACUGGUCUCUCUCAUCAUGAAAACAUAUGUUCAUCCUUUUCCUUACUAUUUGAGUGCAUUGAGCAGUGGAAGGGCAGUAGUCUUCUCACUAUUAUUUUAUUAUUAUUAUUCUUAUUGUUAUUAUUAUUUUCUUCUCAUAAUAAAACUAUUACUUGUUCACCUAAGGCAUUAACAUAUUAGUUUGCACGUGAUCUUCUUUCCUGUUGGUUUUACUAAUUUGUUUGAGUUGGUAUUCUAAUCCCUUAAAUGCAUUAUUUUUGCUCAAGUCAUUGAGGUUUAGAUUCACUAAUAUAUCUCUUCUCUUCUCUAUUGUAUAUGAACUCCGCUCGGGUCCAAUUUGGACUCCACUUCUCUACUUUGCAUUUCGGAUGGGCCAUAAAGACCCCAAAUCCUUCUUUCCUUUCGAGUCGGUACCCCAGCAAGCAGGGACUGAUGUACAGGUCUUGGAGAAGUCCAAAACGGAAUGUAUACAUGCUGAUAUACAGCAAUAUACCUUGAUAUACGCUUCAGAAUAUUGAAUUAUAGGUGGAAAAUGAAUCGCAAGUACUUGGGAGGCUGAAAUAUAUUGUAUACGGAGGGUAUGCAUGCCAAUAUAGACGAAAAUGAGUCGAAGUGCGACCCAUAUACAACAAUAUACCUUUGCUGUAUACACAGGUGUUUGGGAGCGAAAAUGGGCUGAAGGAGGCCCAAAACGCAGCAAUAGGCCCAAAUUUGACAUGCUCUUCCUUUCCCUCCUUUAUUAUUUUAUUAUAUUUGACUAACGCUUUGAUUAUCUUAUGAUUUAACUUAAUUAAAUUCCUCAAGAAUGGUCAUUUCAAUUUAUUUUCGAAUUAAAGUAUAUAUAUUUUAUUACUUAGUUUUAUUUUAGUCUUGUUGACAUUUUAUGAACCAUUCCCCUUUAGUUCAUUCCACCUUAAGAUAAAUAAAAAAUGAUAAAAAUAAUUAUAGUAAUAAAAAAUAAGUUAAAAUAAAUGAGCUCUUUUUACUUAAUUUAAUUUUUUUUAAAAAUAAAUUAGUUAAAAUAAAUGAGUUCUUUACUUUGUUAAACUUUCAAAAUUAGUCAAAGUCGUGAGUUCUUUACUUAGUUAAAUUCUAAAAAUAAUUAGUUAAAAUAAAUAAAUUCUUUUACUUAAGUUAAAAUUUUAAAAUUAGUCAAAAUCAUUUUGGUCAAAUCGCCGGUCAACCGCGAGUUAGCGAGCAUUCCAAGGGCCUAAUACCUUCUCGGAAUGUACAUUUGAACUCGAACCCUUUUUCAAUUGAUUUUAUCUGUUUAAGUCUUUUGAAAAAUCUUGUAUUUUUCUUUAUUUUUUACUAAAAAUCAAGUGGCGACUCUGUUCUUUUGGAAAUUCGAUUUCUCUUAAAUCAUAAGUUUAAUCGAUUUUUCGAAAACUAAGUCAUUUUCCUUUUACAUAUAUUUUUAAGUAAAACACUAUGAAGGAAAACAUUUUCCGGAAAAUGUUUUGGAAAAUGUUUUCCAAAUUAACUCAUUUUCCUCAAAUUUAAGGAAAAUGACUUCCCUUCAAAACUUAAGGAAAACAUUUUCCAAAACUCUCUUCCAACUUCCCAUUAAAAAAAAAAAUUGUUGAAAAAAUCAGUUUAUUUGGUCCCUACCCUCAAACCAGCCCCCCAACCACCCCACAAAAAAAUAAUAAUUUAAAGUUUGUUUUUAAAUUCAAUAUUUUUACCCCACCCUCACCCCUACCACCACCCUCUCCCCAAAAAAAUAAUUAAAAGUUCUUUUUAAAAGAUAUUUGUAAUUUCAAUUUUUUUUAUUUUUUUACCCCUACCCUCGCCCCCCAUCAGCCCCCUAUUACCCCCCACCCCUUUCAAAAAGAAAAAAAAUUUAAGAUUGUUUUUNNNNNNNNNNNNNNNNNNNNNNNNNNNNNNNNNNNNNNNNNNNNNNNNNNNNNNNNNNNNNNNNNNNNNNNNNNNNNNNNNNNNNNNNNNNNNNNNNNNNNNNNNNNNNNNNNNNNNNNNNNNNNNNNNNNNNNNNNNNNNNNNNNNNNNNNNNNNNNNNNNNNNNNNNNNNNNNNNNNNNNNNNNNNNNNNNNNNNNNNNNNNNNNNNNNNNNNNNNNNNNNNNNNNNNNNNNNNNNNNNNNNNNNNNNNNNNNNNNNNNNNNNNNNNNNNNNNNNNNNNNNNNNNNNNNNNNNNNNNNNNNNNCCCUACUAGCCCCCACCCCCCAAAAAAAAUUAAGUUUGUUUUUAAAAAAUAUUUUCAAUUUCAACAAUUAUUUUCUACUCUAAUAAAACUAAAAGAAAUUUUUCAAAAACAUUUUUCAUUCAUAAAUCAAACACUAAAUGUUUUUUCGGAAAAUAUUUUCUACUCACCAACCAAACAUGAGAAAAUAAGUCAAAAAUCAACUUGUUUUUCAAGAAAGCAUUUUCUAGGAAAAUAUUUUCCUUCGUACCAAACACACCCUAUAUCUUAGUCAUUCAAUUUUACUUAUAUCAAUUUAGAGGGAAAAAUGAAGAGGAGUCGGAUCCAGAUAUAUUCUUGGACAACUCUUGAUUCACAUAAAUUAAAGUGAGAAAUGGCAGAGGAAGUGAUGAACAACAAACAGAUCAUUCUAAAACAUUAUGUGGAAGGUUAUCCUAAGGAAUCUGAUAUGGAAUUUAAGAAUAACAACAUUAAAUUGAAUGUUCAAGAAGGUUCUAAUGUUGUUAUUUUGAAGAAUCUUUACUUGUCUUGUGACCAUUACAUGCGUUCACACAUGAGCAAACUUGAGGGUAGCUAUUUUCAGGUGUUGACGGAAUAUAUUCUUGUGUCUAUCACAAGUGCAGUAACAGUGACAAUAGCGGGAGUUGUAAAGGAGGCGGUAACUAUCUUGGUACGUCGUAGUAGGUUCAACCUUUAAAGUGUCUAUCUAUGUAUUAUGUCAAAGCAAUUUUAUGCACUUUUAAGUCCUAUUUUUGCUGGUUGACUGAAGCUUACUUACCUCAAAGAUAUUGUACUAUUCGAACACUGAUAGACUGAGAUAGGACGUGGAUUGCUUCAAUCUUGAAUAUUUUUCGAUAUUUGUCAAAUUUCUAUGGUCUAUGGUGUCCAUGUUUUCAACAAUUUGUGUAAUAGCUGGUAAUUUGCUGCCCUGUUCAGGUUGCUGUAUUUUAUUUUCACGACGACUUUACCUGGAUGAAAGGGUUCGGUCUCAUGACGAUAAUGUUUGGUGUCAGUUUGUUUAACUGGUACAAGUAAGUGACUGAAUCCUUCAUGUUCUAGCAAGAAGUUAUCUCGUAAUGUCCCGUUCUGCACUGACAUUAAAAUUAGAUUUACUGAACACAAUAUGUGUGUAUUCUGUUUUACGUUAUCAAUUUAUGAUCCUCAGUUAGUAGACACCUUAACUUAGCCUCAACUGAUCAAAGUAAACACUCUAACUUUAAGAAUACGCAUCUAGACACCUCAACUAGUCCCCACUGUGUCUCAUGGACACCUGACACAUAAAUUUUGGAGGUGUCUAUGUUUGAUCCUUUUGUAAGUUGGAGUGUUCAACUGACACAGUGGAGACGAGUUGAGGAGUCUGGAUGUGCGUUCUCAAAGUUGGAGUGUUUAAACUAUUCCUAUCACUUUAGUCGUCCUUAAUCAAAACGAACUUAAGCUAUAGUAGUUCAAUCAAAUUGUUGAUAUCGAGCCAUUUUUAGUCGAAAAUGGGACUUCAGCAUGUGUUGAAGUCGUAAGUUUUCCAUUUUUGUUACUUAGGUAUGACAAAAUUCAUAAAGGUAGCACAAGUGAAGAUGAAACUGCAGGAUCACCAUUAGGAAAUGCAGCUACCAAGUACGUUAUACUUGAAGAAAUGGAAGACCAAGACCAUGGUCCUUGAAGUUUUACAUAUGACAUUCUAACUACGCUGCGUACUGAUGGCAUUUUGUAUUUGCAACGGAAGGAAGGGGACGAAAAAAUGCGUAGAUUUUCUAGCAAAUGAAAGUCAAGUCGUAUACAUGAAGAAGAUUUGUUAAUCAAGGAAGAUGAGGAAUUUGAGUUUUUUCACCUAGUUGACUUUAAGACAUGUUGCUUAUAGAAGAUAUUAGGAAAUAUGUUACUCCCUAUGUGCUAAAAAAAUAAUGAUAUACAUUUUUAUACUUGGUAGAAAUUUAACUUUUAAACUUCUCGUUUUACCCCUAAAGUUAGGGGUGGGCGUUUGGUAUUCGGUUCGAAAUUUCUAAAUUUCGAGUUUGGUAAUUCGAUAAUUGAUAGUAAAAAAUAGAUAUCAAUUAUCGAAGAUUUAAAUUUUGAUAAUCGAUAAAUCAAACUUCGAUUCAGUACGGUAUUUAGUAAAUACCGUAUUGAAGUUGUAGUCUAUUGUAUAACAAAGUUAGUGGGAUAAGAAACAAAUACCCCCUAGACUAUGAUCAAAAUCUCAGAGACACACCUUAACUAAACUAAGAUCCUAUUACCCCUGAACCUUUUUUUUUUUGUAAUUUUGUACACCUUAUUAGCUUACGUGGCAUCCAAACAUCUCUCAUGCACUUCAACUCGUGGAGUCACAGAGUGUGCCACAUAGGGCGGGUUUAUACGGAAUGGGGUGGGGCGGGGCUGAUUUUAAUUUUGCGGGCUAAGACAAAAUCUGCCCUGCACCGCCCCAUUGGCAUCCCUACUCACCCACUUCAUUACGCAAAUCAACAUGUAUGGGUGACUUGAAAAAGAAACUUACAAAAUGUUACUAGUUAAGAACUAACUACUUAAAUACACUACAUUACAAUAUUUUGAAUCUUACCAGAUUUUGGUGCGUCCAGAAAAUAUGUACUCCUACACUUGAAUCUGAAGUUUAAGAUUGGACGUUACAAUAUACAGCUUGAACUCCUUUAUUUUGACUAUUUUUUUAAUAUUAUUUUUCUAGAGAUAUUGUAGGAUUUGAAAAUGAAUGAUCACAAAUCUUUCUACCUUUUGUCUGUUAAAAUCAUGUCAUUUUUUCUUACUAUAAGUUGAAGAAAAAGAGAAAUUGGUCUCUUUUUUUGUUUACAUGAUAAUAUUAGUGCACCAAGUUGGAAAUGUGAGACAAAAUUAUAUGAGUUUGAAGUUGAAGUUUGAUUUCGACAUGUCAUUUAAAUUUUUAAAUUGUAUUUUUAAUAAUAAAUUUAUAAAUUAUGAUAAUUAUUGAAAUUGUCUUAAUUUUUUUAUACAAUUUUAUAAAAUAAGCAAAAAAAUUCAUAACAAAAAUAUAAAUAAUAUCAUAAAAUUAUUUUUAAAAUCUACAUUUUUUAUUGAUCGAACUUUAGUUUAAUAAAAAAAUAUAAUUAAAUAUUGCUCUCUCCGUCCUAUUUUAUGCGGUACUUUUUGAAUUUCGAGAUUCAAACAAGUCUAUCUUUGACGGUAAGUUUUUCAUAAAUCUUUUAAACAUUUUGAAUUAUUAAUUAUUGUGACUUCUAGUUUUUUUUUACAUAGUUAACAAAUAUUUAAAUUUUAUUUCAAAAAAAUUGAAGAUUUUGUAUGCAAUUUUCCGAUCACACUUAAACUGUUUGACUCUAAAAAAAUGAAAAAUAUCGCAUAAAUUGAGACAAAUGGAGUAGUAAAAUUAAUACCUAGCAAUAUUUUUAAAUUAUUAAUUAUUCUAAUAUAUCAUUUUUUUACAUAAUUUUUUUAUCUCAAUAUAUGUGGUACUGCUAAAUUUUUGAGAGUACUCACACCUACUGAAUUUCCACAUGCAGUUUGUGUUAUUUGUGUGUGGAAAGCUCUAUAAGUCCCAUCUUUUUUAUUUCUUUUUCCUUACACUUAAAAAGAUCGUUUGUUAGGUGGGAUAAGACGUGAUAUUUUUGAGUUACUUUUGAGAUAAAAUUUAUUUCAUAAAUUGAGAUAUUUAAUGAGAUAAUUAGUUAUCUCACUAAUACAUAUAAAAUAAGUAAAUUUAUCUCAAAACUGACUUAUGCUUCCAAUUAAAUGAAAAAUAAAAUUAUUUAUAUUUUAUUUUGAAAUUAUUAUCUUGUUUUCUUUGGUACCAAAUAAAUAUGAAUCCUUAAGCUUUUCCUCUUCAAUUAUUAGGGACCACGCUUAAGGCUUGUACAACAUUGCUAAAAGCUACUCACGUUUAAACCCUUGUUCUUAUUUUUGUAUUAUAUAGUUUUAAUAAAUAGUGAUUUUAGUGAUAAUUUCAAUUUUAUUCUAUUUGUUAUUUGACUAUGCACAUUUAAUUUUUAAUUAUUUAAAGUGUAAAAGUUUUGGUGCUUGAAGUUAACAAAAGUUAACUACUCUUAUUUAAUAAAAUGAUUAUUUGAAAAUAUAAAAAAUAAAAUAAAUGAUUGGUGAUUCUAAAUACUUGAGUGAAUAGAUUUACUCCAGUCCCUUAAGAAAAUUCAAAAGUAAGUCGUAUCAUCUUGCAUUCCAAGUAUUCGAUUAAUUAAUUCCUAGUUAAAACGAUAGUCUAGUUUUAGAAUUUAAUUACUCAAUCACUUUUUUGUUUGAAGACAAGGUUAGAAAAUUCGCAAAAUCACACUCUUUAACAUCUUGACACAAGUCUACUCUUUGUGGGAUCAACCCAAAUUUUUGUUGAGUUUAUUAUGGCUACGAGGCCGGAGGCGAACCCAUGUAUAUAUUUGAGGGUGCACAUGCACCUGUUAAUUUCGAAAAUUAUCAUAUAUAUAUAUAUAUAUAUAGAAACUUGUAGAAAUUAAAUAUAAUUAAUAGUAGCCCAAUGCAUAAUAAUGUGCUUUAUACCGCUAGUACAUGUUAAGACAUUCGCCCACGUGACUAGGGUUCUAUCCUAACUAGAACCUUUUUUCUUUUUAGCUUAAUAUUAAUGUACUCCUACACUUGAAUCUGAAGUGUAAGAUUGGACGUUACAAAAUACAGCUUGAACUCAUUUAUUUUGACUAUUUUUUAAUAUUAUUUUUCUAGAGAUAUUGUAGGAUUUGAAAAUAUAAUUAAAUUUUAUUCCCUCCGACCUAUUUUAUGCGGCAUUUUUUGGAUUUCGAUAUUCUAACAAGUUUAUCUUUGACAGUAAAUUUUUCAUAGAUCUUUUAAAUAUUUUGAAUUAUCAAUUAUUGUGACUUAUAGUACUUUCUACAUAGUUUACAAAUAUAUAAAUUAAAUUUAAAAAAAUUGCAGAUUUCGUACGUAAAUUUUCGAUCACACUUAAACCGUUUGACUCUCAAAAAAUGAAAAUUGUCAAAUAAAUUGGGACAUGGAAAUAAUAAUAUUAAUAUCUAGCAAUAUUUAAUAAUUUACCGGUUGGUACACCUAAUAACCGCCUACAUGAAUAGCAACAAUAUUUUAAUAAAAGAUCCGUACACAUUUAUGUAAUCUGACUGAUUUGAAUUAUUCGAAAUAAAAUUUAUCUUAUAAAUUGAGAUGUUUGAUUAGAUAAUUAAUUAUUUUACUACAUAUAAAAAAAUAAUUUAUCUCACCAUUAUAAAUUAUAUAAUUUAAUAACUAACUAAUACUCCUUAUUAUAUAAAAUUUUAAAAAAAACAAUUUUAAAGUUUAGAUCAAAAUAAUUAUCUCUUUUUCCUCUUCAAUUAUUAGGGUCACGUUUAAACGACUGGCACAACAUUUCUAGCUGUAAUUGGUAGGUAAAGUCCUUGAGUGAAUGGCUAAGAAAAAAGAAUAAAGUAUUGAACAUGUGGAAAAAAAGAUAUUACUCCCUCCAUAUUAUUGUAGGUGACAUCUUUUCACUUGACACGAUAUUUAAAAAAAAAAAAUGAUUUUUGAAAUUUAUAAUUUAAAAUAAUUUAUAGUUAUCUAAAUAUCUAUGACUCGAUUAUUUUAUUUCAUAAGUUUUAAAAAAAUUCUUUCUUACUUUCUUAAAUUUAAUGUUGAUUUAAACUAACCUGGUCAAUUUAUGUAGCACUUUUUAUUUUUCAAUAGUCAAAUGGUCUAAUCGAAAAUUUGCGCAUGUGAUCUUCAAAUUUUUAAGUCAAUUUUUUUACUUUUGAAAGUGUUUUGACAAAUACACAAGCUUAUCAAAAUACAAAGCUAAUAACACAGAUGAAAAGACAAUAAAAUUUCUUUUUAAAAAAUAUUUUAAGUUAUUAAUUAUUCUGAUAUAUAAUUUUUUAUGUGAUACUAAUAAAUUUUCGAGAGUACUCAUAACUAGUGAAUUUCCACAUGCAGUUUGUGUGGCGGUGUGCGGAAAGCUAUAAUUUAAGUUAGGGAUAUUUUCUUCUUUAUCAACUUCUCACUUAUAUAUACAUUACUUGUUCAUUUCAUCUUCUUAGGACAAGUUAAGUUUGAGUACAUUUAACUAUGAACUAUUCAAUGCAAGUUAAGAUUUUGUCCAAAAACCUCAUUAAACCAUCAUUACCAACGCCACAACACCUUAAAAAUUACAAGUUAUCUUUCUUUGAUCAAGUUCAAGGUGUAACUUAUAUAAAAGCAACGGUCAAUUGUAAGCUUGAUGAUUUCCUUCAACAAGCAAACAAAGACGUUGAUCUAGCAUUGCCAUUUUGGCCUCAAGGAAUUAUGGAUGUGGACGAGACGAAUUUAUUCGUCACGCCAGUUAUGGUUGUGCAAGUCACAACAUUUGAAUGUGGUGGUCUAGCCCUAGCUAUUAGCCAUGCACACCCUGCUAUGGACGGAUGCACCACAUUCAAAUUCAUUUAUGAAUGGGCUAAAGUGUGCAAAUUUGGUACUCCUUCUAAGGAUAUCAACUUGAACCUCAAUUUAGGCACUCUUUUCCCUUACAAAGAUUUAACAACUAUUCUUGAGCCUCCGGUUGACGAAGGCAAACGUAAAAACUCUAAGUUAGUUGCCAGAAAGUUUGUUUUUGAGGAAGAUGCAAUAUUGAGGCUCAGAGAGAAAUUUGACUCAACAACUGGCGAAGGUUUGAGUUUCAAACCUUCGCGAGUUGAGAUGAUUACAACACUUUUAUGGAGGUCACUUAUCCGUUCCACAGGAAGUACUUCACAUUUGAAACGGUCUAUAAUGGCAUUUCCAAUUAAUUUACGUGGUAAGGUAGCAGCUUUUCCUGAAAUUGCCAACUCUUUUGGGAAUCUUAUUAUCGAAAUUCCAAUAAAAUUUGAACACGACGAUGAAACAAAAAUGGAGUCGUUGCAUCACAUUGUAAAACUAAUAAGAGAGUCAGUUCAAGUGAUUAUCAGUAAAUGUGUCAAAGCUACUCCGGAUGAAAUAGUUUCUUUGGUUAUCGACUUAUACAAGGAUAGUUACGCCGGAUUAGAAUGGGGAGGAGACAAUGAAGUUAUGAAUUUUACAUGCUCAAGUUUAUGUAGGUUCCCCGUACAAAAAACUGAUUUUGGAUGGGGAAAACCAAGUUUAAUGCACUUUGGGUCAAGGCAUAGCCAAGUUUUUUGGUUGUAUGAUACUGAAUGUGAGACUGGAAUUGUUGUGCAAAUGGAUUUUGGAGGAAAAGUACAUGGAUAAACUUGCAUGUGACCAAGAUAUCAUGGAUUUUGUUAAAUUUUUAGGGUUUAAUUUUCAUGUUCUUUCUUCAUUUAAUUUGUACUCCCUUUGUUUUAAUUUAAGUACGUGUGUUGCUAUUGUUUUUCUUUGGUUUAAUUUGUUUUGAAUAUUAAUGUCAUUUUCUAUGAACUCGCUUUGACUAUAAUUAAGUAGCAUUUUAAGUUGUAGCAAAGAUUAUACUAAAAUAAAUGGGAGAAGGCACAAAUACCCCCUAGAUUAUGAUCGAAAUUCCAGAGACACACCUUAACUAAACUAAGGUCCUAUUACCCCUGAACUCAUUUUAUAUGUAAUGUUGUACACCUUUUGGCUUAUGUAGACACGUAAGUUUUGACCGAGCAUAAGACUUUACACUUGUUUUUAUUCCUUAAAUAUUUAUUUUAGGUUAAGUUAGAUAUUUUGAUUUUUGUCUUAUUUUAGUAAGUUUAUUUUAAAAGAUUUGAAAAUAACAAAAAAGAAAAGAUAUUUUCAAUAUAUUAAACUUGUUGGACAUUUAAAAAAGAAACUCGUUGGACAUUUAAAAAAUAUUUUCUUUGAUUAUAAUCUUUUAAAAAUAUAUAUUUUACAUUAUUAAUAAUUCUUAUUAAAACAAAGUAGCGUGUGAUUUUGAUUUGCUUUAAUAUCAAGCAGGAAUGAGUCCAAGACAGGGGCGGAUGACAUGGCGAGGGUGGUCAGAUGAACAACCUUCAUCGGAAAUUUUUAUGGAUAUAUAUACUAAAUAUCGAUUUUUUUGGAUAUAUACUAACUGUUGAACAACCUUGACACAAUAAAGGUUGACAGCCCAGCGGUUAAGGUUGUGCAAAGUUGCCUUAGCGUUCCUGGUUCGAGCCCAAGUGUUGGCGUUUUCUUUAAAUUUUUCAUUAUUCCAUUUGUUCUCUUAGAAAAGGCAAAACUCAGCCUGGGUUCGAUCCCAGGCUUGAACAUUUCAUUUAUUUAAUAUUUGUUCCACUUUUCUCUUAAGAAAAAGUACAAAAGUUACCUUUUUUAAGUUAAGAAAAACAAAAGGAAACAAAAGGUCUAUUUAAAUGGUUGCAUAGUGCCUUAUGUAGUAAUCAUUGUAUAUUUCUUCCUCAACCGCCAUUGAAGUGUGAAAAGGUAUUUCUUAAUUCUUUUUUUCCUUUAGUUCAGUUUUUUCUAAUCAAGUGUUGAAAGACUUGAAUAUCUUAAUUUUUAUGUUAAAAGCUACUUUAUUUAUUUGAGUAUCGAUUAACUAUUUGGUGUAUUGUGGAUGAUUUUUAAUAAGUUUGGUAUACUUGAACUUGACUACUAUUUCAGUUUGGUGUUCAAUGAGUUUGGAGAAAUAUUUUUUAGAGUACCCAAAACAAGUUUGGCGCCUCAAAAUCAAAAUCAACUACGCUGAGAUGAAAAUGUCAACCAAAUAGAAAUAUCAUCUCACUCUUCCCAAAGACAAGAAUUUGAUGUGAAUGAUUUAAAGGCUGAUCCGGCUGAAAGAACUCCAAUUUUUAAUUAUCAUCCAAACCUUUGUGAUGAGAUAAGGAGGGCAUAUAUCAUUAAAGGUCCUUGUCAACCUCAAAAUCAUCAUUUUCCUCAAACUUAAUUUUUUGGAACAUCACGUCGUUUUGUUUAUACGUGGUUUGAUGAAUCUUGUCAACCUCAAAAUCAUCAUUUUUCUCAAACUAAUUUUUUUGGAACACCACGUCGUUUUGUUUAUACGUGGUUUGAUGAAUCUCGUGAUUGGUUGGAAUACAGUAUUAGUGCGGAUGCUGCUUAUUGUUUACCUUGUUAUUUGUUUCAAGGAGAAAACAUUAAUCAAGGUGGUGGUAAUGUAUUUUCGACUAAGGGAUUUACAAAUUGACAUAGAAAGGAUAGCUUUGCUACACAUAUUGGUCUACCGAAUAGCGUUCAUAAUCAAUCCAAAAGAAAGUGUGAAGAUCUCAUGCGAGAACAACAAUCCAUUCAAGCCGCAUUUUACAAGUUGGAUGAUAAAAGUAAGCAUGAAUAUCGGAUUCGAUUAAACGCUUCAAUCGAUGUGGUAAGACUUCUCUUGGAUCAAGGUUUUGCAUUUCGUGGUCAUGACGAGAGUGAAUCGUCAUUGAACAAGGGUAAUUUUCUUGAAGUUCUUUCUUGGUUAGCUGCUAGAUGUGAUGCAAUUAAACCUUUUGUGUUAGAAAAAACUCCAAAAAAUAAUUAAAUGACUUCUCAUGACAUCCAAAAAGAUAUUGUGACUGCGUGUAAGAUUGAAACAGUUAAGGCAAUAAUAGAGGAUAUAAAUAGUGACUACUUUGCUUUAUUGGUUGAUGAAUCUAGAGAUGUGUCACGCAAAGGGCAAAUGGCUAUUUGUCUAAGAUAUGUUGACAAAAUGGGGUUUGUAAUGGAGGCAUUUAUUGGACUUGUUCACAUUAAAGAUACUAGUGCUUUAUCUCUAAAGAAAGCAAUUGUAGAUGUACUUGCUCACCAUUCUUUGACUUUAUCUAAUGUACGUGGGCAAUGUUACGAUGGGGCAAGUAAUAUGCAAGGUGAGCUAGGUGGUCUUAAAACAUUGAUUAGACAAGAAAGUAGAUCGGCUCAUUCUGUUCAUUGUUUUGCUUAUCAACUUUAAUUGACUCUUGUUGCGGUUUCUAAAAAGUGUGUUCAAGUAGGUGAACUUGUAUUAUUAAUUUCAAAUAUUUUGAAUGUGUUGGGAGCUUCUUUUAAACGUGUUGAUAAUUUUCGAGAAUCUCAAAAAAAGCAUCUUCAAAUGGCAUUGGAUAUGGGUGAACUAGAAAUGGGUAGAGGGUUGAAUCAAGAACUUGGUCUUGUUAAAGCCGGUGAUACUCGUUGGGGAUCUCACUACAAGUCAUUUGGAAACUUUAUUNNNNNNNNNNNNNNNNNNNNNNNNNNNNNNNNNNNNNNNNNNNNNNNNNNNNNNNNNNNNNNNNNNNNNNNNNNNNNNNNNNNNNNNNNNNNNNNNNNNNNNNNNNNNNNNNNNNNNNNNNNNNNNNNNNNNNNNNNNNNNNNNNNNNNNNNNNNNNNNNNNNNNNNNNNNNNNNNNNNNNNNNNNNNNNNNNNNNNNNNNNNNNNNNNNNNNNNNNNNNNNNNNNNNNNNNNNNNNNNNNNNNNNNNNNNNNNNNNNNNNNNNNNNNNNNNNNNNNNNNNNNNNNNNNNNNNNNNNNNNNNNNNNNNNNNNNNNNNNNNNNNNNNNNNNNNNNNNNNNNNNNNNNNNNNNNNNNNNNNNNNNNNNNNNNNNNNNNNNNNNNNNNNNNNNNNNNNNNNNNNNNNNNNNNNNNNNNNNNNNNNNNNNNNNNNNNNNNNNNNNNNNNNNNNNNNNNNNNNNNNNNNNNNNNNNNNNNNNNNNNNNNNNNNNNNNNNNNNNNNNNNNNNNNNNNNNNNNNNNNNNNNNNNNNNNNNNNNNNNNNNNNNNNNNNNNNNNNNNNNNNNNNNNNNNNNNNNNNNNNNNNNNNNNNNNNNNNNNNNNNNNNNNNNNNNNNNNNNNNNNNNNNNNNNNNNNNNNNNNNNNNNNNNNNNNNNNNNNNNNNNNNNNNNNNNNNNNNNNNNNNNNNNNNNNNNNNNNNNNNNNNNNNNNNNNNNNNNNNNNNNNNNNNNNNNNNNNNNNNNNNNNNNNNNNNNNNNNNNNNNNNNNNNNNNNNNNNNNNNNNNNNNNNNNNNNNNNNNNNNNNNNNNNNNNNNNNNNNNNNNNNNNNNNNNNNNNNNNNNNNNNNNNNNNNNNNNNNNNNNNNNNNNNNNNNNNNNNNNNNNNNNNNNNNNNNNNNNNNNNNNNNNNNNNNNNNNNNNNNNNNNNNNNNNNNNNNNNNNNNNNNNNNNNNNNNNNNNNNNNNNNNNNNNNNNNNNNNNNNNNNNNNNNNNNNNNNNNNNNNNNNNNNNNNNNNNNNNNNNNNNNNNNNNNNNNNNNNNNNNNNNNNNNNNNNNNNNNNNNNNNNUUGUCCUAAAGUAUGAACCCCCUUGGCGAAAAUUCUGGCUCCGCCACUGGUCCAAGAUUGUUAGAAUAAAUAAAUAUAUAUAUAUAUAAAUCAGUUUUUAUUUUGUACCUAAGAAUUAUAUGAAGGGAUAGAGUUUAGAGUUUUAAAUUUCAGUUAUGUGCUUUUGCGGUCUAUUUUUGCUGUUAGUUUUAUUAUUAUUUUGUACCAAUAAUAAAAUAUAAUUUUUAAUAUUGCUUUAAUUAGUUGAUAUUUUAUUAUAAUUUAUUAUUUAUAUGUAUAGUUAAUUAUUAUUUUUUUAAAAGUAAAAUAAAAAUAAGAAAAUAACUCACCCCACUUCCCAUACCCCACAAAUCCCAUAUACUCACCCCUAUGCUACCACAUCCCCACGAAACUAUCAACAACACAAACAGUCACCCCUAUACCCACACACGAACAAAAAAAAAAAAGGAUUGAGUUGUUGUUUUUGACGGCUUCAAGUUCACGGAUUCAAAAGUCUGCUAUAUUAAUAUUUUUGGAAAAUCAGUAGACUGUUAGGCGUUGUUUUUCGUGGUUUAAUCUUCAUAAGAGAUAACAUUUAUUUCUUCUUGGUAUAAUUUAAUGUCACGAUUGUUCAAGAUUUGAUUCCAAUGUUAUAAAGUUAUUCAAAUUUUAUGUGUGUUUAGCUUUGCCAAUAUACUAUUGAAAUACAUGAAAAUAUUUGUAUUGUUGUAUUUGGAUUAAAUAUGAUAUAACGUAUAUCGCUUCUUGCUCACUAAGGAAUCAAUAUUUUUCUUAAUUCGCUCUAUUCUAUCAAGCCGAAACGUGAUUCAUGGGUUGCUGAUAAUUAAUUUGAUCAAUUCACAUAGUUUUGAGUUAUUCGUUGAUAGUGCAAUUUAAAAAUUAUUUUUUUUAGUAAAAAAAAUGCAUUUUUAUACGAUUUAAUCGUUAUCAUCCGAAGUGUUUUAGAUUAUUGGUAUUUUAUAGGUCAUAGAUCUAAUGCCAGUUUCAAAUGUUGUGUGAAUAUAAAUGUUUGGUUUUUUUUUAUUAAAAAAAAGGCUCUUUUAUGAGUCUAUUAAUUCAGGAUACUAGCUUUUGGGGUGAUCACUUGCAAAUAAUCACGCCACUUCAUUUUUUAAGCGUAAAUAUUUGUUAAAUUAGAUAUAGCCACAUAUGUCAUUAAUUAUUAGUUAAAGUGUGCCUUUAGUGUAUUUGUUUAUUUAGUUAUGCUUUAUUGUAAAUAAUUAAUUAUAUUAAAAAAAUAUAGACUAAUAACAUUCUGUUUUGCUAGAAACUGUAAGUACUAUCAUGUUAAUAAGACAAUGUAAUUAAUUGAAUUUAAUAUUUCGUGGGCAGGUGAUAAGUUAAAUGUAGAAAAGUUUGGUCACUUUAACAUUUUACUAUUUAUUUUUAGAUUGCUUUAAUAUAAUCAUAGGUAUAUAUUAGGCUUUAUUAUACAUUAGAUGAGUAACAAUAAUAAUUAAAUUUCAUCUCAAUUAAGAAUGUGGUUCCAUAUGAGAUACUUAAGAAAUUCAAGGAUGCGGUUACGCACCUUUGCCAAAUUCAAGGAUGCGGUAACACACAUUGGCCAAAUUAUUUUAAUAAUUAAUUUUGUUAAUUCAAACCAAGAGGUGUAAAUUGGGAGUAUUAGGUGUGAUGAACUCGAGAGGGGAAGACAGUUAUGUCUCCAAAUGUCAAUAUCGGUAAUGCAGUUAUGCAUCCGGUUUAAGACUAAUAAAAAUUCAACAAUUAAAAAAUAAGCAAACCAUGACAUAUAGACACAAAUUAUCCAAAAACAUAUCAAGAUAAGUAUAAGUCAAUAAAAGCGACCGUGCUAGAACCACGGGACUCGAGAGAUGCCUAAUACCUUUCCCUCGGUCAACAUAAUUCCUUACCCAAAUUUUUGGUUCGCAGAUCAAACAAAGAGUCAUUUCCUUUUGAUUAGGCAUUAAACAAAAUGUGACUUGAAACACCAUAACUCAAUUUCAAGUAGCGACUCUGAAAAAAAUAAAAAAAUAAAAAAAAUAAUUCCUUAAUCAAUACGGUCACUUAAAUUGGAAAAACCCUUUUCGCCGUGCGAAAAAAGGGGUGUGACAUCUCUGGCGGCUCCGCUGGAGAUACUAACCAAAAUUUGAGGUUUUUUUUGUUGACUUUUAUUUUAUCUUAUUUUAUUUUUUUUGGAUAUAUUGUGUGUUAUUGCCUAGUAUGAUACUUGUUGCUCUUUUAUCGCUUUUUAUAUUGUUGAACUAUAAAUUGUCUUUCUUGGCGCAACCAUCUAAGUUGGCAGGGUUUAAUGACAUGUGUUGAAGUCGUAAUAUUUUCCAUUUUCGUUACUCAGGUAUGACAAAAUUCAUAAAGGUAGCACAAGUGAAGAUGAAACUGUAUCACCAUUAAGAAAUGGAAGAUCCAGACCAUGGUCCUUGAAGUUUUACAUAUGACAUUCUAACUACGUUGCGCUCUGAUGGCGUUUUGUAUUUGCAACGAAAGGAAGGGGACGAAAAAAUGCGUAGAUUUUCUAGCAAAUGAAGGUUAAGUCGUAUAUAUGAAGAAGAUUUGUUAAUCAAGGAAGAUGAGGAUGUUGAGUUUUUUCAUCUAGUAAACUUUAAGACAUGUUGCUUAUAGAAGGGAAAUUUAUUACUCUCUAUGUGCUAAAAAAAUAAUGAUAUAUAUUUUUAUACUUAGUAGAAAUUUAACUUUAAAACUUCUCAUUUUACCCCUAAAGUUAGUUCGAGAUUUCCAAAUUUCGAGUUCGAUAGUUAAAAAUAGAUUCAAUUCAGUAAUACCGUACUGAAGUUGUAGGAUUUGAAAAUGAAUGAUCACAAAUCUUUCUACUUUUUGUUUGUUAAAAUAAUGUCCUUUUCUGACUAAGUUAAAGAUAAAGAGAAAUUGGUCUCUUCUUUUGUUUAGAUGAUAAUGUUAGUGGACCUAGCUUGAAAUGUGAGACAAAAUUAUAUGAAUUGAAGUUUGAUUUCGAUAUGUAAUCUGACUGAUUUGAUGUUAUUUUUAUUCUUUAUUUGAUUUCAAGUAUGCAUAAAAAACAAAUGUAACGUAUAUUUACAUCCACACAAAUAUCUACACAUAUUUUUAGUUUAAGAUUACAAAAUUUUAAAGGUCGCUAUACUUUCAUAAAUUAAUAUCCCAUGAAACUAAGAUACACAAACUAAAACUAGCGGAGUAACUUAGUACUAAUUCGAUUUGCUUCAUACAUUGUUUUAGUACUAGACAUAUAAGCUAGUGCUAACACAGACUCAAUAACAUAGAUAGAAUUUGGAAAGACAAAUGAUUAUUAACAUGAUUAUUAUUAAUUUACGAGACUUUUACGAUGAUUUUUUUCUAUUCUAAUUUAUGUAAUACAAAUUAAUUUUCGUGUGUAUUAGCCCAAGAAUCUGGCGCCUCAGAGCACCAAAAAACAUUUUCUGAAAUUUUUUUAUGAGGACCUCUGUAAUGAGUUGGGAACCACCACUUAUACUCACACUAUUUCUUAACGCUUAUUUCCGCAUUUACUGACCCUUUUUUAGGAAUUACGUAAUUUUUUUCAAUUUUUGGGUGUAUUAGCCUAUGGAUCUGGCACAUUGGAGCACCCAAAUUUUUUUCUGAAAAAAACUUUAUGAGGAAUUUUGUAAUGAGUUGGAGAUCACCAUGUAUACUCACACCAUUUUUAACGACUAUUUCUGCAUUUAUAGAUUCUUUUUUAGAAAUUACGCAAAUUUCUCGAUUGUUCGUGUAUAUUAGCCCAUGAAUCUCGCGACUCGGAGCACCCAAAAUUGUUUUCUGAAAAAAUUCUAUGAGAACCUCUGUAGUGAGUAAGGGAACCACCACAUAUACUCACACCAUUUUUAAUGAUAUUUUCGCAUUUACAAGCCCUUUUUUAUGAAUUAUGCAAAUUCCUUGAUUUUUCGUGUGUAUUAGCCUUUGAAUCUGGCGCCUCAGAGCACCCGAAAAAAAAUUCUAAAAAAACUUUAUGAGGACUUCCAAAAUGAGUUAGGGAACCAGCAUGUAUACUCAUACCAUUUUUUAACGCCUAUUUUUGCACUUACCGACCCUUUUUUUUUUUAUAGGAAUUAUGCAAAUUAUUCGAUUUUUCAUGUGUAUUAACCCAUGAAUAUAUUGGUGAUAUGGCUUUCGGACGAAAUUUUUGCAAAACUCUUUAUGGAACCCUUCAAAGGGAGUUGGGGGAGCAGUACGUACAAUCUUACCAUUUUUAGAGUGAUUUAUGGCCAUUAAGGAGUCAAUUUUUAUUAGUUAGGCGAUUUUCUCAAUUUUUCAUGUGUGUUAGCCGAUUAAUAUUUUGGUGAUAUGACAUAUAGAUGAAUAUAUUACGAAACCUUUAUGGAAUUCUCUGUAGGGAGUUGGGGAAGCAUUACGUACAGUCUCACCAUUUUUAGAGUGAACUUUGGGCAUUUAGAGGCCAAUUUAUAGUAAUUAUGUGAUUUUCUCUAUUUUCUGUGUGUGUUAUCCCAUGAAUAAUUUGGUGAUAUGAUUCCGAACGAAUUUUUUUCGAACCUUUAUGGUACCCUCCGCAGGGAGUUGGUGGGGCAGUACGUACAGUCUCACCAUUUUAGAGUGAUAUGGCGGAGAAAUAACUCCUAAUAACCCAAAAUAUAUCUGAAAAAUGCCGAGGAGACGUAUUGCUUUCCCAACUUCCUACAGAGAGUUACGUAAUAAAUUUGCACAAAAAUCGACCAUCAAUCACAGCACCAAAAUAUUCAUGGGCUAACUGUGCCAACACAAACCCAAUAGCAUAGAUGGAAUUUGGAAUGAUAAUUAUGUGCCAACACAAACACCCAUUUUUACCACAACUUUUCAUUCACAUUAAAGCUAGAAAUGGCAGAAGAAAUGAUGAACAACAAACAGAUCAUUCUAAAACAUUAUGUGGAAGGUUAUCCUAAGGAAUCUGAUAUGGAAUUUAAGAAUAACAACAUUAAAUUGAAUGUUCAAGAAGGUUCUAAUGUUGUUGUUUUGAAGAAUCUUUACUUGUUUUGUGACCCUUACAUGCGAACCGUAUGAGCAAACUUGAGGGUAGCUAUAUUCAAUCUUUCACUCCUGGUUAUGUAAGUAUUUCAACAAUUUACUACCACACAUAUGAUUAUUUAGUUGAUAUAUAUUAUACGUUCAAAUUUCGAGGGUCAAAAAAUAUAUUUAAUGUAUGUUUAUAAGUAGGUGUUUGAAUUAACUUAUUUUAAACAGUUUUUGGCUUUUAAUCUUCUUUUUAAUUUUUUUGAAGGUGUUCGAUAAGGCUGAAAAAAAAAUACAAAAGUAAGUUAAAAGUUAAAAGUCUGAGUAUUCUCAACUCAUGAUCUCUUUUAAGUUUUUGCUUAUAAGUUACUUAAAACAAAGUCAAUCUAAACAACCCUUGAUCGUGAAUCUGGGAAGGGUGGUGAGUAUUAGCUUAAUUUCUAUAGUAGAAAGAUUAUUUUCAAAAGACUUUCAAAAUCAAGUUUAAAUUUUGAGAGUUGAACUUGUUAAUUUUGAUCUGGAUUUGGAUAUAAAAUCUUUAAAUAGUGUAGACCUUGAUUGUUUCAAUUUAACAUUAUUGGUGUGUUCAGUAUAUAUACUUUUCAAGAAAAUAUAUAAGUGAUUUUCUUACUUAUUUUUUUGUCCGUAGCCUAUUACAGGAUACGGAGUGUCUAAAGUUUUGAAAUCUGGUGAUUCAAAUUUUCAAGAAGGUGACUUAGUUUGGGGAAUGACUGGAUGGGAGGAAUAUAGUAUUGUAACAACUACUCAAAGUAUGUUUAAAAUUGAUCAUGACAAGGAUGUGCCUCUUUCCUAUUAUACAGGAAUCCUUGGUGAGUGUUUUCGACUGGGUUAAAGUAUUACAUAAUUAGUUGGGGUCUCUACUUAUAUGGAUUUGAAAAAAUUAAUUUUCGGGGUUGAGUUAGACCAAGCGUCAUAACUUUACAUGAUAUAUAUCUAUAUAUGAACCCUAUUUGGGAUCUUGGUCCACACUCUCCAGUUGGGCUUGGACUUGAAGGGAGUGCUAGAGUCCCACAAUGGUACUACAACAAAAACAGCUUUUAGCGGCAAUAAAUAGACACAUUAAUAAAGAGUGCUAAAGUCUUUCCCGGCAUUAGUUAAAUGUCAUUAGAUUAAAUGUCACUAAAGGCUUUAGGGGGAUAUACAAAGAGUGCUAAUUGCCGCUAAAAAUACAUAUUUAGUGGCAAUUGAGCUAUUACCGUUAAUUAAUUGCCACUAAAGAUCGUUUUUGAUGUAGUAUGGUUGGUUGGGGAAUAGAUUGAUAAUCGGCUUAUAUGGACUCGGACAAUAAUCUUCUGCUCUUGCAGGGAUGCCUGGGGUGACAGCUUAUGCUGGUUUUUAUGAGGUUUGCUCCCCUAAGAAGGGAGAAACUGUGUUGUUGUUGGUAGUGCUGGAAAUAAUUAAACAAAAGGUAAGUACUUAAACAUUUCAUUCCUUGAAUUUUAUUAGAGGCUUAUAAGUUAUCUUACUUAUCUUAAUCAUUGUUAAAUAAUCUAGCUAUCUCAUCUAUUCAUUAUUAUUAUUAAAGGUUGAUAUGUUGAAGACCAAGUUUGGUUUUUGAUGAAGCUUUUAACUAUAAAGAGGAGCAGAAUUUAGAUGCAGCUUUGAAGAGGUAAGUAAUCUUAUAAAUUCCCACAAGAAAACACUAACUAAUAUGAAAAAAAAAUAGUUUCCAGGGUGAAGGUGUUGGGGACUUUUUUUUUUUGCUUCUUUUAUUUUAAGCCAUCAUUUUAACGGUGUGGGGGGUUAGGCUUGACCCCUACUAUGUCUACAACAUCCAAAAAGUUACAAAAGCAGAGGGGACAUGGACCUAACCUCUGAUAGAGAACAACGAGGAUAAACUAAACAAUCUACGGUAAGACUAAGAUGACAUAGACUUUCAUACUAUAAGCAAAAUACAUUGGUUCAACUAACAAAAAAAAUUACAUUUGUUGUAUCUUCUCCUUAUGCUAAAGUUGCCACUUAUCUAGUAGAAAUAGUCCCUUCACCUCAGAAGAAUUGUGUGUGGUGGAUUGAACAUUAAGGGCAUAUAUGAAAAGAUAGCUAAUAUAACGCUAAAGGUAUAUAUGAACUGAUUGUAUAACGGAAAGCAAUACUAGACCUUUAAUUUUCGAUAAUAUAGGAGUAAAUAUGACUUUUUUUCGUAUUGGUUUAUUCUAUUAGGUACUUCCCUGAUGGAAUUGAUAUAUACUUUGAGAAUGUUGGAGGUAAAAUGCUUGAUGCAGUUCUUGUGAAUAUGAAACUUCAUGGUCGUAUUGCUGUGUGUGGAAUGAUUUCACAAUACAACCUUGACAAGACUGAAGGAGUGCACAACUUGUUUUGCCUCAUCGCGAAACGAAUCCGUAUGGAAGGAUUUUUUGUUUUUGAUUACUAUCAUCUUUAUCAUAAAUAUCUUGAAAUGAUCAUUCCACAAAUAAAGUCUGGUAACAUUGUGUAUGUGGAAGACAUAGCUGAAGGUUUUGAAAGUGCUCCUAGUGCUCUAGUUGGUCUCUUCUCUGGUCUCAAUGUUGGAAAGCAAGUUGUGAUGAUUUCAUGUGAAUGAAUGGAUUUGGAUCUUUUCCAUUUUCUCUCAAGUUUUUACUUGAAAGGAAAGAUAUUGUGUCAUGGUUAAAUACUUAAAUACGCAAACAUUUCUCAUGUAUUUACUAAUUCUCUGUAUGGUUUGAAAUAUUUAGUCAUUAAUUGAUAAUUUCAUACUAGAUUUCAAGUCAGUUGUACCUAAGUACAUGUAUUUUUGCUACUAGAUACAUUCUGAAAUGCAGAUACAUAGGAAGAGAGGGAGUGAGAGAGGAGAAGGAGAGAUGAGAGAGGCGAGAGGCAAGCAAAAGAGUUAGUGUAUCCCAGAUAUAUGCAAAUUACACUAGAUAAUCUGAGAUAUCAUAUACAAUUCAUAAACAUUCUGAAAUACAGAUACAUAAGGAGAGAGGCGAGCGAGAGAGGGAGAGAGGCGAGCAAUAUAAGAGAUAUGAGUGAGAGAUUCAGUGUUUCCAGAUACAUAUAAAUUAUGCUUGAAUACAGUAUAUCAGAAAUAAAUUGGACCUAAUUUUAAUUAAUAUAUCCAAGAUACAUAUAUUUGGAUGUGUCGCAUACAUGCGUUUGGGAACUGACACAAAUAAUACUUUCAAAGAGGCACAUAAUUAGACUCUAAACUAAAGAAAUUCUUAUUAUUUGCCCUUGAACUUAUUUAGGCAAAUAAAAGGUCGGAAGAGAUUUAAGAUUGCGAGAUUAAUAAUAAUUUAUAAAAUUAAAUAUAUAAUAUAGUAUUAAUUAUCUAAAUCAUAAAAAAGAUUUAUUUUGAUUAACUAAAUCUUAGUCAUUAAAUUUUACUUAUAUCAAUUUAGGGGGGGGAAAUGAAGAGGAGUCGGAUCCAGAUAUAUUCUUCAACAACUCUUGAUUUACAAAGUGAGAAAUGGCAGAGGAAGUGAUGAACAACAAACAGAUCAUUCUAAAACAUUAUGUGGAAGGUUACCCUAAGGAAUCUGAUAUGGAAUUUAAGAAUAAUAACAUUAAAUUGAAUGUUCAAGAAGGUACUAAUGUUGUUGUUUUGAAGAAUCUUUACUUGUCUUGUGACCCUUACAUGCGUUCACGCAUGAGCAAACUUGAGGGUUGCUAUGUUCAAUCCUUCACUCCUGGCUCAGUAAGUCGUUCACUUAUUUUAUUGAGUCGCCCUUAUAAAUAACGAUGUUGGAUUUAUCGAUGUAAAUUUUAUGUUUCCUUCGCCAUGUUAUGAUUGUGGAUUAUUUUUCCUUAAUUAACAUACAAGCAUUUCUAGUUAUUGUUGAAACAAUUUACAAGUGAGUUUAAAUUUCCCAUGCAAUUGUGUAGACCUUGGAUGUUUUUUAUUUAACAUUAUAUAGGGGUUUUGGUAAUGAUGAGUAUAUUUUUUUAGAAAAUGAAUGAGUUUCAUAUAUAUUUUCUUAUAUUUAAUAUGCGCAAGUAAAAAAUAUUUGUGUAUAAUCUAGAUAAAUACUAUGUCAAGUAGGCGUGUGCAGGGGCGGAGCCACGUAGGCUCCAGGGUGUCCAAUUGGACACCCUUCGUACGAAAAAUUAUACUACAUAUACAUGUAAAUUUUUGACUUUAUAUUGGUAUAUAUAGAAUUUGGACCCCCUGAAAUAACAAAGUGAUGCGCAGUGGAGUUGGCAAUAGCCUGUGCAAUCCUACUCUUUGUCUUGGUUCGAAUCCCCGCAGGGAUUUUUUCUUUUUCUGUAAUUAUUUUUACUUCUUAAAUUCAAUCAAGUAAAUAAACAUGCGUAAUUUAAACAUAAAAGUUCAGUAGCUUGGUGGUUAAUAGUAUCAUGAAGGUCUCCAAGACCCAAGUUCGAAUCCCUCCUCUACUAACUAUUUUUUUUCAAUUAAAAUUGAAUCAUUUCCCUAAAUUUUAGUACCUUUUCCUUGUAGAAUAAGAUUUCCUUAAAUUUAAUACUUUUUCUUGUGGAUUUUUUUCAAUUAAAAUUGAAUUAUUUACUUAAAUUUUAAUACAUUUUCCUUGUAGAAUAAGAUUUCCUUAAAUUUAAUACUUUUUCUUGUGGAUUUUUUUCAAUUAAAAUUGAAUUAUUUCCUUAAAUUUUAAUACAUUUUCCUUAUGGAAUAAGAUUUCCUUAAAUUUUAAUACUUUUCCCUUAUGGAAUAAGGUUUUCUUUCUCUAUAAAUAGGAGACUCAUUUACCCAAAUAUCACAAUAUUAUUAAGAAUAGAAUCUCAAUAAUUCUCUCUUUGUUUUUUCUUCUCGUUCUCUUAUUUUAUAACAAAAACAAAAAACUUAAUAUUUUAGUUUCAAGUUUCAAUAGACAUGAAGAAUUAUUAUAAUAGAGUACCAAAAAAAAGUUCGAUAUGGAAUUUAAGAAUAACAACAUUAAAUUGAAACAAUUUACAAGUGAGUUUAAAUUUACCAUGUAAUUGUGUAGACCUUGGAUGUUUUCUAUUUUAACAUUAUAUAUCUAGGGGGUGUUUGGUAAUGAUGAGUAUAUUUUCUUAGAAAAUGAAUGAGUUUCAUAUAUAUUUUCUUAUAUUUAAUACGCGUAAGUAAAAAAUAUUUGUGUAUAAUCUAGAAUACUAUGUCAGGUAGGCGUGUGGGAUAUAUACUGUUUCCCGAUGGGGAUGAGAGUGUAGAUAAAGUGUGUUAGAGAAUGGGGAGGACACAACUGAAGUGGAAUUUCAUUUGUGAAACUUAUUUUCCUACUUCCAGGCAGGGGCGGAGCCAACCUUCUGUUAGGGGUUCAUCUGAACCCCCUUUGACAAAAACAUUACUAUUUAUACAUGAUUAAAAUUAUUUUUUAUGUAUAUAUAAUAGAUGUCGAACCCCCUUCAGUUAGUUCGUGUGUUUAUUUCUUCAGCUAUUGAACCCCCUUAUUAAAAAUCCUAGGUCCGCCACUGCUUCCGGGAUAACUUUUACUAUACGAACAUGAAAAAAUUAUUGGCCAUACGAGUUUGAUAUAGCCCAUUUGAUACCUUCGUAUCCGAGUUCUCAAAAUCUCACUUCAAAGGUGUUGAGUUGGAAUCCCAUUCUAACUAACGAUUCUUGUGGUUCCAGAGGAUCCAACUACAGGAGAACCCAGGAACUCGAAGGGCUCCCCCCCCCCCCCACCUGUUCCGCCCAACUCUUUGGUCUUAAGAACGCUGGCUUAUUGAACAGGGUUCUAUGGUCGGUCCGUGACCCCCGGAUGCCAAAGUCAUCCUUGGGUGAUCUCUUAGUUCCUACGGGGUGGAGAUGCUGGGGUUGGUCCAAGGAUUUUCCUUCCUUUUCUUUUGCCGCAUUUCUCUCAAAGGGUUGAAGGGAGAUAGUGCAUCAAGUUGUUUGCAAGGGCCAACUUGAUCCUAUUCCCCAGGGAUCUCCGAUUAGGGAACCCUGGGAGAGAAAAAUGUUUCCACUGCGCACCCUAUUUCAUUUUUCAUUUCUUGUUCAAGAACUCUUAGAUGUUAGAAACAUUGAGGUUAAGUGAACUUCAUUCUCCCAACUGAAUGUUUAUUCCUUAUGUAUAUAUGAUAUGAAUGGAUUAACAAUUUGUCCUAUGAUAAUGUUUCUCAUAAGUACUUUUCUUUUCUGUUAUAUUAUAGCCUAUCACAGGAUGUGGAGUGGCUAAAGUUUUGAAGUCUGGUGAUUCAAAUUUUCAAGAAGGGGUAGUGGUGAUUUUGGUGGUGGAGAAGAUAGGUAUGUUCCAUUUGAGGUGGAGAAUGGUUCAUCGAGUCAUCGAGGAUCUAUCAAUGAUGAUAUUGAAUGUGGUGAUAGUGAUGAUGAUGAUGAUGAUGAUAAUCGCUCAGCUUUCUAGGAUUACCAUGACUCACCACAGCUAGUUUCAAAGAAUGGUGUUGGACAAUUUGCAAAGAUGUUAGGUUGUUGUGUUGUUGGUAGUGCUGGAAAUAAACAAAAGGUAAGUACUUAAGCAUUUCAUUCUUGAAUUUUAUUAGUGGCUUAUAAGUUAUCUUACUUAUCUUAAUUAAUCAUUGUUAAAUAAUCUAGCUAUCUCAUUUAUUCAUUAUUAAUUAAAGGUUGAUAUGUUGAAGACCAAGUUUGGUUUUGAUGAAGCUUUUAACUAUAAAGAGGAACAUGAUUUAGAUGCAACUUUGAAGAGGUAUGUAAUCUUAUAAAUUCCCACAAGAAAACACUAACUAAAAUGGAAAAAAAAUAGUUUCCAGGGUGAAGGUGGUUGGGGACUUUUUAAUUUUUUUUUUUUAACCCAUCACCUUAACGGUGUGUGUGUGUGUGGGGGGGGGGGGCUUGACCCCUACCAUGUCUAUAACAUCCAAAAAGUUACAAAAGCAGAGGGAGACAUGGACCUAACCUCUUGAUAGUGAACAACGAGGAUAACCUAAGAUGACAUAGACUUUCAUACUAUAAGCAAAAUACGUUGGUUCAACUAACAAAAAAAAUUACAUUUGUUGUAUCUUCUCCUUAUUCUAAAGUUUCCACUUAUCAAGUAGAAAUAGUCCCUUUCACCUUAGAAUUAGAAUUGUGUGUGGUGGAUUGACAUUUCAUUUUGGUUAAAAUGAAUGGGAUUAAUGAUAAAUGAAGAUUUGAACCACUUCUGUAACAUUAAGGGCAUAUAUGAAAAGAUAGCUAAUAUAACGCUAAAGGUAUAUAUGAACUUAUUGUAUAACGGAAAAGCAAUACUAGACCUUUAAUUUUCGAUAAUAUAGGGGUAAAUAUGACCUUUUUUCGUAUUGGUUUAUUCUAUUAGGUACUUCCCUGAUGGAAUUGACAUAUACUUUGAGAAUGUUGGAGGUAAAAUGCUUGAUGCAGUUCUUGUGAAUAUGAAACUUCAUGGUCGUAUUGCUGUGUGUGGAAUGAUUUCACAAUACAACCUUGACAAGACUGAAGGAGUGCACAACUUGUUUUGCCUCAUCGCGAAACGAAUCCGUAUGGAAGGAUUUCUUGUUUUUGAUUACUAUCAUCUUUAUCCUAAGUAUUUGGAAAUGAUCAUUCCACAAAUAAAGGCUGGUAAUAUUGUGUAUGUGGAAGACAUAGCUGAAGGUUUUGAAAAUGCUCCUAGUGCUCUAGUUGGUCUCUUCUCUGGUCUCAAUGUUGGAAAGCAAGUUGUGAUGAUUUCAUGUGAAUGAAUGGAUUUGGAUCCUUUCCAUUUUCUCUCAAGUUUUUACUUGAAAGGAAAGCUAUUGUGUCAUGGUUUAAAUACUUAAAUACACAAACAUUUCUAUCAUGUAUUUACUAAUUCUCUGUAUGGUUUGAAAUAAUAAGUCAUUAAUUGAUAGUUUCAUACUAGAUUUCAAGUCAGAUAUACCAAGGUACAUGUAUUUUUGCUACUAGAUACAUUCUGAAAUGCAGAUACAUAGGAAGAGAGCGAGUGAGAGAGGAGAAGGAGAGAUGAGAGAGGCGAGAGGCAAGCGAAAGAGUUAGUGUAUCCCAGAUAUAUGCAAAUUACACUAGAUACAUGUAUCUGAGACUAGAUACAUGUAUUUGAGAUAUCAUAUACAAUUCAUAAACAUUCUGAAACAAAGAUACAUAAGGAGAGAGGUGAGCGAGAGAGGCGAGCAAGAUAAGAGAUAUGAGUGAGAGAGUCAGUGUUUCCAGAUACAUAUGAAUUACCCUUGAAUACAGUAUAUCAGAAAUAAAUUGGACCUAAUUUUAAUUCAUAUAUCCAAGAUACAUAUAUUUGGAUGUGUCGCAUACAUGUGUUUGGGAACGGAAAUCUGACACAAACAUUAAUUUCAAAGAUGCACAUAAUUAGACUCUAAACUAAAGAAAUUCUUAUUGUUUUCCCUUGAACUUAUUUAGGCAAAUAAAAGGUCGAAAGAGAUUUAAGAUUGCGAGAUUAAUAAUAAUUUAUAAAAUUAAAUAUAUUAUGUAGUAUUAAUUAUCUAAAUCAUAAAAAAGAUUUAUUUUGAUUAACUAAAUCUUAGUAAUUAAAUUUUAUUUAUAUCAAUUUAGGAAAAAUAAAAUGAAGAGGAGCCGGAUCCAGAUAUAUCCUUGGACAACUCUUGAUUCACAUAAAUUGAAGUGAGAAAUGGUAGAGGAAGUGAUGAACAACAAACAGAUCAUUCUAAAACAUUAUGUGGAAGGUUAUCCUAAGGAAUCUGAUAUGGAAUUUAAGAAUAACAACAUUAAAUUGAAACAAUUUACAAGUGAGUUUAAAUUUCCCAUGUAAUUGUGUAGACCUUGGAUGUUUUUUUAUUUAACAUUAUAUAGGGGUGUUUGGUAAUGAUGAGUAUAUUUUCUUAGAAAAUGAAUGAGUUUCAUAUUUAUUUUCUUAUAUUUAAUACGAGUAAGUAAAAAAUAUUUGUGUAUAAUCUAGAUAAAUACUAUGUGAGGUAGGCGUGUGGGAUAUAUAUUGCUUUCCGGUGGGGAUGAGAGUUUAGAUAAAGUGUGUUAGAGAACGGGAGGAGGACACAAUUGAAGUGGAAUUUCAUUUGUGAAACUUAUUUUCCUACUUCCAAGAUAACUUUUACGAUAUGAACAUGAAAAAAUUACUGGGCAUACGAGUUUGAUACCUUCGUAUCCGAGUUCUCAAAAUCUCACUCAAAAGGUUCUGAGUUGGAAUCCCAUUCUAACUAAGGAUUCUUAUGGUUCUGGAGGAUCCAACUACAUGAGAACCAGGAAUGGAGGGCUUCACCCCCCUCCCCCCCUUCCGCCUGACUCUUUGGUCUUAAGAACGUUGGUUUUAAGAAUGAGUCAUUGCCCUUCUCCGACCCUGACUGCCCAACCUUAGAGCGGACAGCUAAUGCGUUCCACUUAUUGAACAGGGUUCUAUGGUCGGUUUGUGACCCCCGGAUGCCGAAGCCAUCCUUGGGGUGAUCUCAUAGUUCCUACGGGGUGGAAAUGAUGGGAUCGGUUCAUGGAUUUUCCUUCCUUUUCUUUUGUUGCAUUUCACUCAAAGGGUUGAAUGGAGAUAGUGCAUCAAGCUUUUCGCUAGGGCCAACUUGAUCCUAUUCCCCAGAGAUCUCAGAUGAGAGAUAUCUGGGAGAGAAAAAUGUUUCCUCCGCGCACCCUAUUUCAUUUUUCAUAUCUUGAUAAUGUUUCUCAUAAGUACUUUUCUUUUCUAUUAUAUUAUAGCCUAUCACAGGAUGUGGAGUGGCUAAAGUUUUGAAGUCUGGUGACUCAAAUUUCCAAGAAGGGGUAGUGGUGAUUUUGGUAGUGGAGAAGAUAGGUAUGCUUCAUUUGAGGUGGAGAAUGGUUCAUCGAGUCAUCGAGGAUCUAUCGAUGAUGAUAUUGAAUGUGGUGAUAGUGAUGAUGAUGAUGAUGAUAAUCGCUCAGCUUUCUCGGAUUACCAUGACUCACCACAGCUAGUUUCAAAGAAUGGUGUUGCUGAAAUUGAUGUGUUGAAGACAUUUUUCUUAUACUUGUAUGGUAUUGUGUCAGCUUGUUCUUGACAUUGUAAGUAUUGAAUUUCGUCGCGUUUUGUCCUUUUUUCAUUGAUGUGUAUUGAAUUAUUUGUAGUAAUGAUUAUAUAUUAGAGAUUCAUAUGCCAGUAGAAAAUGUCGAGAACUUUUUAUUUCGUAAAAUGUUGGCCUAAGAUGAAUUGAGAUGGGGAACAUGAUCAAUGAGGACUGAGACGUAGUAGUUAUUGUUGUUGUUUUUGUGUAUUGAAGCUUCAGAAAUUUUGUAGUCAUUCUUAUACGUUUACUUUAGGUCCUGUGCUUUCUAGGCGUCAUUUCGUCCUAUAAAUUAGAGAUUCCUAUGCAAGUAGGUAAUAUAGAGAACGUCUAGUACUGUUCAUGAUUAUGUUUAUUUCGUAAAGUGUUGUCCUGAGGUGAAUUUAAGUGGGGAACUUGAUCACAUAUAGACGAUCCCAGCUUGUUUUAGACUGAGUGUUGUUGUUUAUUGAAGCUUAAAGGAUGUUUUUGCUCUUCUUAUGUGUUGACAUGGGGAAUAGAUACAAUAAAAGUCUUCUUGGGGAUAAACUAGGGAAGUUAAUUCCCUGCGCCUUUACUGAUGAACACUGUGCACUUUGCGAUGCAAGCUGUUUUGUCCAAGGCCAUUACCGGGUUUUGGCAUCAAAGAUUUCAACCUACAGUGAUGAUGUCUUGGAGAGACUAUUCUUUGAAAGGUAACAUUAAGACUAAUAAUUCCCUUUUUUCUUUGGUUAUGAUUGAGUAGAAAGCUAAAAGUAUUUGGAAGGCAUAUGAUGAUAUAGAGUAGGAAAUAUGUGUACAAUGUGUUUAUGCACUUCUCCAGUGGAUUUGUUUACGAAACAUAGAAAGACGAGAGUAGGAUUAUUAACGAGCUUGAAUGUAUGUGGAUCUUAUGAGUUGACAGCUUCAAUUAGCCAUAGUUUGUGACUUAGUUAAGCCCACAUGUUACACUUAUUAGCUUAUUACUGAUAUAUCGACAAUGGUUUCAAAUGAACUUUUAUGUACACAAAUAGAGGCAGUUCCUGUUACGUACGAGAAUCUCAAUUUUUAUCCAAGUUAGUUCUUCAUGAGUUCAAGACAUAUAAUCUCUUAUGUCUUUCAUUUCUAACCUUUAUGUAGGAAUCUUUUUCCACGAUAUCUUAAUGUCGUCUAUAAAUACUGGCUUUCAAUAUUAUCCUGUUAAUUGUUAUGUUCACUUCUUAACAACUAAUACUAUAGACGGCCUUUGCCUUUCACAGUUGUACCGACAGCUCUUACAACAGCAAUGAAUGUGAACCUCAGCAAUGCAUCCCUUGUUUUCAUCUCAGUCACAUUUGCCACUAUGGUGUGUAACUCUUUCUCCUUAAUAUUUUUUCGAUCAUACAGUUUGUGUCAAUACUGAUAGACUGCAAUUUUUUCUUCAAAAAUUGAGCUCUGAGAAAGCAUGUUUGUUAAACUCACGACCUUAACAUUCGUCGAGGGCUCUAGUAUUUGCAUUUAUGUACCUUGAAAUUUAGCAGUCACAACCCUCUGCCACUAAAGUAAGUGUGAUUGUCAAAGCCUUCAAGGGCCACUCAAAUAAUCGUCUAUUAUCGAUAAGAAUAACAGAUUUCUUACUUUGUUUUCUCCUUCCUUAUUCUGAUACGAACUCUCUGCCCAUCUUUCUCCUAUUCUUCGCAUUUGCUUUCAGGUACUACUUUUAACCACUGAUCUCUUAUGUUUUAUUGUGCUUUUUUAUGGGGGGUAGCGGGCCAGAAGCAUCGAAUUUCUACUUGAUCCUUUGUUAUAGAUGUACAUCCAACAAUAUUAUUCAUAAAUGCAACUUUUUUUUCCAUAUGAGGACUUAAUAGAAUGUGAUUGUUAAUUCGUUAUGGACUAAAAACCUGAAAGCGUCUAUGAAAUAACUAUCUUUGAUGAAUACGAUACAUUUGACAGGGCUCAUAUCUAAGCUGAAUAAAUGGCCUCAAUUAUUUGUGUAAGGUUGGAGUCUCCAAGUGUAAAGCUGCUGGGGAUCAUCUUGGUCAUUUCUUGUAUUAUUUAUUCUCAUUUAUGAAGAAGUAUUCAUAAUUUUCAUCUUCAUCUGUCAUUCAUAAAUCAUAUCCGUAACCUUCACUUGUGCACCAGAUAAAACGUUUACUUUAUCGUACAAUAUUUUCUCGUUUCACAACUAUCAUUGACAAUUUGGAUAAACUUAGGUAAUCUUCUUAAUGAGUGUUUUCGUAAGCUUUAUCGCCUUGUUGAUAACUGUGUCGUUUGUUAAUUUACAUCCGUUUGGUAGAUAAGUCUGACUCUAUUUUAUGAUAAUGCAGUUGCAAAGGUGACAGAAUUUGAGUUUUGGGGGUUUGUCUUUGUUAUGCUUGCUGCAGUUAUGUCUGGAUUUCGCUGGACUAUGACUCAGAUUCUUCUGCAGGUUGUAUUUUGUGACACUCGUUGCAUUGUUAUCGUUGAUUUCUUGUUCCAUUGUUUUGUCAAUAGUAUGUUUGCUUACUUUGUGUAUUUUCUGUUUGUUUUCCCAUAUCCAACUGGUUGUGCUGAACAUAAAACUGGCAUAAAGAAAGAAGCCUAUGGUAAGGACUAUGAACAACUCUUGGCAAAUUUUAAAUAUUCUGGAAAUGUUAUUAUCACCAUCAUCAUUAUUAUUAGCAGUCGUAGCAGCAGCGACUGCACCACUACUUAGACUACAUCAAAUCUGAUCUUGUUUUAAAAGGGCAGUCCGAUGCACGAAGCAUCUCACAUUCACGCAGGGUCCAAGGUAGGGCCACACCUCAAGAGAGCAUGAUGUAGGCAGCCUACCCUGAUACAAAUCAGCGGCUAAUUCCAUAGCUCAAACCCUGCUUUGUCUUAGUCCUAGUUUUGACCAAAUUAAUAUGUUGAUUCGUUAUUUGUUUUAUAGUUUGUGAAUAAAUUGUGUAAUGAAAUGCAUGCUUUGGUUAUUGCAGGUCUAAAAAAUCCACUCACACUAAUGAGCUAUGUUACUCCAGUAAUGACUCUUUCAACUGCUGUGUUGUCCCUUAUUUUUGAUCCGUGGCACGAAUUCAGACACACCAAUUACUUUGAUACGUCAUGGCAUAUAGCUAGAAGUUGUUUGUUGAUGCUUUUUGGCGGAACUUUGGCUUUUUUUAUGGUAUGUAUGUGUCUAAGCACUGGUAUCAGUUCAAUUUGUGGAUUUUCCAUCUCAUAGUGAAAAUGAAGCCUUCUAAUAGGCUUAGUUCGUUUAGAAAUGAUUAUCAAUUAUUAAAGAACUUGGACGAACAUAACGAUAACUUCUUCAUGCUUACCUAGCAACGUUUGUUUACUGCAGGUGUUUGUUCCUAGCACUUCAGUCGUCCUAAAUCAAAACGACUGUAUGUUUACUUAAGCUAUAGUAGUUCAAUCAAAAUUGUUGAUAUCGAGCCAUUUUUAGUCGAAAACGUGACUUUGGCAUGGUUUAAUGGCAUGUGUUGAAGUCGUAAUUUUUCCAUUUUCCUUACUCAGGUAUGACAAAAUUACAUAAAGGUAGCACAAGUGAAGAUGAAACUGGAUCACCAUUAGGAUAUGCAGCUACCAAGUAUGUUAUACUUGAAGAAAUGGAAGAUCAAGACCAUGGUCCUUGAAGUAUUAUUACAUAUGACAUUCCAACUACGCUGCACUCUGAUGGCGUUUUGUAUUUGCAACGGAAGGAAAGGGACGAAAAAAUGCAUAGAUUUUCUAGCAAAUGAAGGUCAAUCGUAUACAUGAGGAAGAUUUCUUAAUCAAGGAAGAUGAGGAAGUUGAGAUUUUUCGCCUAGUAGACUUUAAGACAUGUUGCUUAUAGAAGAUAUUAGGACUUGAAAAAGAAACUUACAAAAAUGUUACUGGUUAAGAACUAACUACUUAAAUACACUACAUUACAAUAUUCGGAAUUUUACCAGAUUUUGGUGCAUCGAGAAAAUAUGUACUAGGAAUAAAAUAAAGAUUAUUUCGCUCGAUCUAGGUAUCGCCUAUAAGUUUCUCAAAAGAUUAUUUUACAUGACAUGUUUAAUAUUACAAAAUUAAAGUGUAUUUUGAAACAUUAUACAUAUUUUUAGUUUAAGAUCAUGAGAUUUUAAAAGUCGUCUUUACUUUCUUAUAUCAAUAUUAUGUAUAACCAAGACAUACAAAUUAAAAUUAAGGGAGUAACUUAAUUAGUACUAAUUUUUUUUUAAAAAACAAAUUUACCACUAGACAGUGUCUAGUGGUAUUUUAUUAAACAUAAAAAAUAUCAACAGGAACAAGUACAAGCAAGGGGGCUAGGCCUUACCUUACUAAUCCUAAUAAAGUACCUAACAAGCAUGAAGAAAAUAAGAGCUAGAGAGAACUAAAUAUUUUUUUAUUAUCACAAAGUUUGUAAUACACUCAAUGAUGAUAUUACAAAUGAGGAUGCUUAAAUAAUGUAAAAGUAUGUCAAUCAAGAAGCAAGUUGAGUUACCAGCCUAAAACUUUCUAUUACUAAAGCAUGAAUUAAAAAAGAUUGAUUAUCCAUCAAAAGUAACUUGAAGUAUUUUUCUCUUGUCUUCUUCUUCAAACCUAUCCAACAACACUUGAUGAUUCAUACCUUCUUUAUGGAUUUAUUGGAUCUAGUUGAACCUAUUGAUACUGUCAAAUGGUUUUGCUUUGCCUGUCACAUUGGUAGGUGCCUUGGAACAAACUCCUCAGUCAUUUUACCGUCCCAACUAUGUUGCCUUCCAUAUGUCUUCUUUUUGCUUUUGUUGCUUCCACUUCUUUGUUGCCUAGGUGAUAUAUCCCCUUCCUUAGCCACUCUAUCAAAGCAAAUGUCCAACAUAUUGUCUUCCUCAUCUUCAUCAAGAGAAUCCUCACCCAAAUUCACUCCAUCUUCAUCAAGAGAAUCCUCACCCAAAUCAAUUGUAUUUGACACUAAGACACUCGACUCAUUGUUCCUUGCAAGCACACAUUUAGGCACAAAUACAAGAGCUUCUGGACUUAAUUUGCUAUUUAAAGCAGGUGGUGAGACUUGUUUUUCUUGGAUCAAAUCGUGGUCAUUCUCUGUUAACCUUAUUUGAUUUGCUUGACACUAUUCUUUUAGUACUGGAUACAUGACAAUUCCAACACAAAUGACAAACCCAAUAACACAGAUGAAAGGACAACUAAAUUUCUUUUUAAAAACUAUUUUAAAUUACUCUAUUAAUUAUUCUAAUAUAUAAUUUUUUUUUAUCUCAAUAUAUGUGAUACUGAUAAAUUUUCGAGAAUACUCACAACUAUUGAAUUCCACAUGCAGUUUGUGUGGCUGUGUGCGGAAAGCUCUAUAUGUCUCCAUCUUUUUUAUUUCUUUUUCUUUAUACUUGAAAAUGUCGUUUGUUAGGUGGGAUAAGACGUGAUACUUUUGAGUUACUCUAGAGAUAAAAUUUAUUUCAUUAGUUGAGAUAUUUAAUGAGAAAAUUAGUUAUCUCACUAAUAUAUAUAAAAUAACUUAUUUUAUUAUAGUAAAAUAAAUAAUUUCAAAACCGACUUAUGCUUCUAAUUAAAUGAAAAAUAAAAUUAUUUAUAUUUUAUUUUGAAAUUAUUAUCUCGUUUUCUUGGUACCAAUUUGAUAUGAACCGUUAAGCUUUUCCUCUUCAAUUAUUUGGGAGCACGCUUAGUUCUUAUUUUUUGUAUUAUAUAGUUUUAAUAAAUAGUGAUUUUAGUGAUAAUUUCAGUUUUAUUUUAUGUGUUAUUUGACUAUACACAUUUAAUCUUAAAUUAUUAAAGUUGGGGUUUUGAUGCCUGAAGUUAACAAAAGUUAACUACAUUUAUUUAAUAAAAUGAUUAUUUGAAAAUAUUAAAAAUAGAAUAAAUGGUUGAUGAUUCUAAAUACUUGAGUGAAUAGAUUUACUCCAGUCCCUUAGCAAAAUUAAAAAAGCAAGUCAUAUCAUCUUCCAUUCUAAGUAUUCGAUUAAAUUCCUAGCUAAAACGAUAGUCUAGUUUUAGAAUUUAAUUACUCAAUCACUUUUUUGUUUGAAGACAAGGUUAGAAAAUUCGCAAAAUCACACUCUUUAACAUCUUGACACAAGCCUACUCUUCGUGGGAUCAACCCAAAUUUUUAUAAAAUAAGCAAAAAAAUUCAUAACAAAAAUAUAAUAUAUUAUCAUAAAAUUAUUUUUAAAAUCUACAAUUUUUAUUGAUUGAACUUUAGUUUAAUAAAAAAAAUUAUAAUUAAAUAUUACUCCCUCCAUCCUAUUUUAUGCGGCACUUUUUGGAUUUCGAUAUUCAAACAAAUCUAUCUUUGACAGUAAAUUUUUCAUAGAUCUUUUAAACAUUUUGAAUUAUCAAUUAUUGUGAAUUUUUGUACUUUCUACAUAGUUUACAAAUAUAUAAAUUACAUUUUAAAAAAUUGCAGAUUUCGUACGCAAAUUUUCGGUCACACUUAAACUGUUUGACUCUCGAAAAAUGAAAAUUGUCACAUAAAUUGGGACAGGAAAAUAAUAAUAUUAAUAUCUAGCAAUAUUUAAUAAUUUACCGGUUGGUACACCUAACAACCUCGCACAUGAAUAGCAACAAUAUUUUAAUAAAAGAUCCGUACACAUUUAUGUAAUCUGACUGAUUUGAAUUAUGCGAAAUAAAAUUUAUCUUAUAAAUUGAGAUAUUUUAUGAGAUAAUUAAUUAUUUUACUACAUAUAAAAAAAUAAUUUAUCUCACCAUUAUAAAUUAUAUAAUUUAAGAACUAACUAAUACUCCUUAUUAUAUUAAAUAAAAAACAAUUUUAAAUUUUAGAUCAAAAUAAUUACCUCUCUUUUUCCUCUUCAAUUAUUAGGGUCACGUUUAAACGACUUGCACAACAUUUCUAGCUGUAAUUGGUAGGUAAAGUCCUUCAGUGAACAGCUAAAAAAAACAAAAAAAAAAAGAAUAAAGCAUAGAACAUGUGGGAAAAAAGAUAUUAUUCCCUCCAUAUUAUUGUGUAGGUGACAUCUUUUCACUUUGACACUAAAUUUAAAAAAGAAAAGAUUUUGCAAUUUAUAAUUUAAAAUAAUUUAUAGUUAUCUAAAUAUCUAUGACUCGAUUAUUUUAUUACAUAAGUUUUAAAAAAUGUUCUUUCUUACUUUCUUAAAUUUAAUGUUGAUUUAAACUAAUCUGGUCAAUUUAUGUAGCACUUUUCAUUUUUUUGAUAGUCAAAUGGUCUAAUAAAAAAUUUGUGCAUGUGAUCUUCAAAUUUUUUGAAAUUAAAAUUACAUAUUUAUAAACUACGUAAUAGUACUAGAAAUUACAAAGAUAUAUAAAAAAAUUUAUAAUCAAAGAUAAAAUUGUUUGAAUAACAUUUAAUUAUGUGAAUACUCCCUCCGUCCUAUUUUAUGCGGCAUUUUUUGGAUUUCGAUAUUCAAACAAGUCUAUCUUUGACAGUAAAUUUUUCAUAGAUCUUUUAAACAUUUUGAAUUAUCAAUUAUUGUAACUUAUAGUACUUUCUACAUAGUUUACAAAUAUAUAAAUUACAUUUAAAAAAAUUAUAGAUUUCGUACGCAAAUUUUUGGACACACUUAAACUGUUUGACUCUCGAAAAAUAAAAAUUGUCACAUAAAUUGGGACAGGAAAAUAAUAAUAUUAAUAUCUAGCAAUAUUUAAUAAUUUACCGGUUGGUACACCCAAUAACCUCGCACAUGAAUAGCAACAAUAUUUUAAUAAAAGAUCCGUACACAUUCAUGUAAUCUGACUGAUUUGAAUUAUGCGAAAUAAAAUUUAUCUUAUAAAUUGAGAUAUUUUAUGAGAUAAUUAAUUAUUUUACUACAUAUAAAAAUAUAAUUUAUCUCACCAUUAUAAAUUAUAUAAUUUAAGAACUAACUAAUACUCCUUAUUAUAUUAAAUAAAAAUCAAUUUUAAAAUUUUAGAUCAAAAUAAUUAUCUCUUUUUCCUCUUCAAUUAUUAGGGUCACGUUUAAACGACUUGCACAACAUUUCUAGCUGUAAUUGGUAGGUAAAGUCCUUGAGUGAACGGCUAAGAAAAAAGAAUAAAGCAAAUUAUUGCAGGUGACAUCUUUUACACUAUAUUUUAAAGCAAAUUAUUGCAGGUGACAUCUUUACACUUGACUAUUUUAAAACAAAAAAAAAAUUAAAAUUUAUAAUUUAAAAUAAUUUAUAGUUAUCUAAAUAUCUAUGACUCGAUUAUUUUAUUUCAUAAGUUUUUUAAAAAAAUCUUUCUUACUUUCUUAAAUUUAAUGUUGAUUUAAAUUAACUUGGUCAAUUUAUGUAGCAUUUUUCAUUUUUCGAUAGUCAAAUGGUCUAAUCGAAAAUUUGCGCAUGUGAUCUUCAAAUUUUUUGAAAUAAAAAUUAUAUAUUUAUAAACUACGUAAAAGUACUAGAAAUUACAAAGAUAUAUAAAAAAAAUUAUGAUCAAAGAUAAAAUUGUUUGAAUCUUAUGAAAGCAAUUAUAUUAUUAUCGGUGGUCGUAUUUGUACUACUAAGUCCGUGAUCACCUCCUUUCGCAUGUUAACUGCUUUUCAUUACUUGUACAUUUCAUAAUUUUUUAAAUACAUUAUACAUAUUUUUAAUUUACAAUUAUGAGGUUUUAAAAGUCGUAUUUACUUUCUUAAAUUAAUAUUCUGUCAAACUAAGACACAUAAAUUGAAAUUGAGGGAGUAACUUAGAGGGUGUUUGGAUUGAUUUAAAAAUUGAUAAAACGUAGUUUUAAGUCAGUUUUUUUACUUUUGAAAGUGUGACAAAUACAUAAGCUUGUUAAAAUACAAACCCAAUAAUUACAAGUUAUCUUUCUUUGAUCAAGUUAUAUAUACAUUACUUGUUCAUUUCAUUCUUUUUAGGACAAGUUAAGUUUGAGUACAUUUAACCAUGAACUAUUCAAUGCAAGUUAAUAUUUUGUCCAAAAACCUCAUUAAACCAUCAUUACCAACGCCACAACACCUUAAAAAUUACAAGUUAUCUUUCUUUGAUCAAGUGGUGGAUGUAAUACACUUACCUCUUGUUCUUUUCUAUCCUCAUUGUAGAAAUAACUCGAAAAAUGAAGAGCUCGAAGAGUCCUUUUCGAGGAUUUUAACACAUCUUUACCCUUUAGCUGGUCGAUUUUCUGAAGAUGAAUCGUCAAUUCUUUGUCUCGAUCAAGGUGUAAGUUAUAUAAAAGCAACGGUCAAUUGUAAGCUUGAUGAUUUCCUUCAACAAGCAAACAAAGACCCUGAUCUAGCAUUGUCAUUUUGGCCUCAAGGAACUAUGGAUGUGGACGAGACGAAUUUAUUCGUCACGCCAGUUAUGGUUGUGCAAGUCACAACAUUUGAAUGUGGUGGUCUAGCCCUAGCUAUUAGCCAUGCACACCCUGCUAUGGACGGAUCCACCACAUUCAAAAUCAUUUACGAAUGGGCUAAAGUGUGCAAAUUUGGUACUCCUUCUAAGGAGAUCAACUUCAUGAACUUCAAUUUAGGCACUCUUUUCCCUUACAAGAAAGAUCUAACAACCAUUCUUGAGCCUCCGGUUGACGAAGGCAAACGUCCAAACUCUAAGUUAAUUGCCAGAAAGUUUGUUUUUGAGGAAGAUGCAAUAUCGAGGCUCAGAGAAAAAUUUGACUCAACAACUGGCGAAGGUUUGAGUUUCAAACCUUCGAGAGUUGAGAUGAUUACAACACUUUUAUGGAGGUCACUUAUCCGUUCCACAGGAAGUACUUCACAUUUGAAACGGUCUGUAAUGUCAUUUCCACUUAACUUGCGUGGUAAAGUAGCAACUUUUCCUGAAAUUGCCAACUCUUUUGGGAAUCUUAUCAUCGAUAUUCCAAUAAAAUUUGAACACGACGAUGAAACAAAAAUGGAGUCGUUGCAUCACAUUGUAAAACUCAUAAAAGAGUCAGUUCAAGUGAUUAUCAGUAAAUGUGUCAAAGCUACUCCGGAUGAAAUAGUUUCUUUGGUUAUCGACUUAUACAAGGAUAGUUACGCCGGAUUAGAAUGGGGAGGAGACAAUGAAGUUGUGAAUUUUACAUGCGCAAGUUUAUGUAGGUUCCCCAUACAAAAAACUGAUUUUGGUUGGGGAAACCCAAGUUUAAUGCACUUUGGGUCAAGACAUAGCCAAGUUUUUUGGUUGUAUGAUACUGAAUGUGAGACUGGAAUUGUUGUGCAAAUGGAAUUGGAGGAAAAAUACAUGGAUAAACUUGCAUGUGACCAAGAUAUCAUGGAUUUUGUUAAAUUUUAGGGUUUAAUUUUCAUGUUCUUUCUUCAUUUAAUUUGUACUCCCUUUGUUUUAAUUUAAGUACGUGUGUUGCUAUUGCUUUUCUUUGGUUUAAUUUGUUUUGAAUAUAAAUAUCACUUUCUAUGAACACGCUUUGACUAUAAUUAAGUAGCAUUUCACUACAACAAAUGUGAUAUUUAGUUACGAAAUUAUUAGGUAAGAUACUAAAUUCGUCACUAAUUAUUCACCUUUUGUGACAACAAUUAUAUUUCGUGUUUAAAUGUAUGAGCAAAAUACUUUUAGUGACGAAACAUACAAUUUCGUAGCAAAGUUUUGUCCAUUUAAGUUUCCCACCAAAAAAAAGAUUGGCGCCAUUUAUUAAGAACUAUUAGUGACGCAUUUUAAGUUAUCAACGACAACUUAUUUUGUCACUAAUAAUGCAUCCAAUUUGUGACAAAUUAUUAUUUGUCUUAGAUGAGUUAUAAUUUUGGACACGAAGAUUUUUUUUUUACUAAAGAUAAGUUAUUGCAAUAGCGACAAAUUAGAAUUUGUAGUCAAAUGUUGUAAGCUUUAGCCACAAAAUUUAUAUUUAAUUGCUAUCUAAAUUUUUGUCACUAAUAAUAUAAUCAAUUAGUGACAAACAUUUUCUUUUCUCUAAUCAACUUAUGAUUUAGUGACAACAUACUUUUGUCACAUAAUAUGCAAUAUUUAAAAAGCAAAAAUUUAAAAUUUGCAGCUGAAUAAUUUUAUUAUUUUCUAUUUUUUUUUAGCUAAAUAUAAAAUAAUAUUUGAUUAGGCUUAUUAUUUACAAUUGCAAAUAGCAACUGACGAAUAUUUCUUUAAAGCGUUCUGUAUAGGUAACAACAAAAGAAAACUAUAGAAUGAUAUAAUGAUAUGAUGAUAACGUCAAAUUAUACCUUAAGAAAAUUCAAGUGCCGAUGCUAACAUAAAAUCUAAUGUGAGUGGGGAUUGUGAUAUGACAGAGAGCAAUUAUACAAAAGAUAACAUCGAUGGUAAGUUUAUUUUGCAAAUUUUUUAAAUAUUUUAUGGAUAUUUAAUUAACUAUUUUCUAUAAUGACUAAAAAUAAGUUUAAUUGUGGAGGUCUCAAGAACCCCAACUAUUUGAUUUUAAUAAAAUUAGGGAUAAGGGUCUGAAAAAUACCCCAACUUUGGUCGAAUUUGCUGUUGCGAUACUAAACUUUCAUGUGGACCUAUUACCUCCCUUAUGAUGUUUGAAUUUAGAUGCAUAUCUAAAUAUUAUGAUGGGAAUUUAGAUUAAGAUGUAUAAAUCUAAAUAUGCAUCUCAAAAUUGAGAUGUUUUAAAAUUUGAAUACUAAAUAAUUAUGAUUAUUAUAAAUAUAUUAGUAUGUAAAAUUUAUCUUUAUUUAUAAUACUAAUAAAAAAAUUAUUAAAAUGUGAACUUAAUCUAAUAAUAUAUCAAUAAUAGUUUUUUUAAAAAAAAUAAAUUAAUGGCAGUUAGUAGUGACGAUGCCUAGUUGUGGUGGUUGUGGCCUUGUGGGUGUGGAUACCCUGUUUUACCAAAGAUAUUUUUAAUUAAUUAAUUAAUUCAUUUUUCUUUUAACUUAAUCAAGUUUCGUGAAUUUCAAACAAAGUGAAAUAACUAUUUAAAUGUGUCAAAACUAUUUUUAUAAUUAUUGUUGGUGCUAUUUUGUUAUUUCAUUUACCAAAAUAUCCUAAUAUACUAUUAUAUAUUUUACAUAUAAUUUUAAGUAUUAAUUAUUUCAUUUUAUUAAUUUAAAAACUACUUUAUUUAUUAAAAAACCAAAAGUGAGUAUGUUUUUUAUUUUGUCAAAUUAAAGCCAACUGUGGUUUAAUUAUAUGAUCAGGACUCCACUAUUACUAAUAAUUACUUUAUUUUGCUAAAUCAAAGGAUUUCAUUAUUAAAUUAAUUAAUGAUUAUCUCAAUUUUACUACAUAUUGCCUUUUUCAUAAAUAUCUUCAAUUAUAAAUAAUUGAUUAAAUUUGAUUAUUUAAUCAAUAAUUGGUCACAAUUGCAACGUGAAUCGGUUAUGUUUGAAAGAAUUAUGGCUAUAACUUAAAAGAUGAUUGAUUAAUUUUUAAAUUUAAUUUGGGUCAUUUUCACUCUUAAAGAACAACUUUCAAUCUUAGCUCUUUCCCACGUCAACUUUAGUAAUGACCCUAAGAUGGACUGGUUUUGAUAAUUUGUCCCUUCUAAAUUUUUUAGUCUAAAAUGACCUCCGUAAUGGGUGAUCUUGAUUUUUCAACCCCGUUAAAUAUUAUUUUUUUCUUUUAUAAAAAAUCCUUUACUUUAGAAAAUUCUAACUUUUGCCCAUAAGACAAUUUUCAAGAUAUUUUAAGACAAUAAACCUUCUCAAUUGACAUGAAGUUCUGCCUAUCAACAAAAAUUAGAACUUAGGUAUGAUCAGACACGAUUUCUAACUUUUUUCCCCUUAAGACAUUCAAUCAAGACAUCUUAAAAUAUAAUUUGUUCAAUUCAAACUUCGAUUAAGGUAAAUUUAAUCUUUUAUUUUAAAAAAAAUACUAUUAUACAACAUAUAAAAUUAAUUCAAUAUGAUUCGAUAAUUUUAAAUUUUAUUUUGAUAUUUUGCAGUAUCCAUGAAACAUUGGCAACCAUAGUUGAUUCAACUUCGAUUUAUUUAUAGUCAUAUAAUAUAGAAUUAUGAUUUAUAUUUUUUUUAAAAUAAACAUAUAAACAAAUUAUAUCAUAUUUACACCUUACAAUCUUACGUAGAAAUAUAUGUUAAGGAAAUUACAAGCUACCUUUUUUGUGAAUCAAUAAUUUUGGUAUCUGUUUCAAUAUCAAAUAUUUUGUAGUCAAAAUUUAAACAUCUUCACAUUUAAUUUUGUACUAACAUUAGGUUGUAUGAUAUAUACUAUAACUUUUUAUGUAGCUAUACAUUUUGGCAUAUUUAUAAAUAUCUAAUACUAAAAGAAUUUAAUAUAUAUAUAUAUAUAUAUCAUAAUACUGCAAGCACAGUAUUAAAAUUUUUGACUUGAUAUCUAAUGUAUCACGUGCACCAUAAUGUUGUGCGUUAACUCAUUUAAUUGGGCUACAAAUGAUAGAUUAUAUCAGUUUGCCAAACACAUAAUUUCAUUUUAUUCUAGAGGUCUAGUUUGAUGCUACAUAUCAACUGAUGUGGUAUACCAAAUCAAAUAAAUGAGAAAAUAAGAUCAUGUCACAUAUCAAAAUGACAUAACAUUACAUUUGAUGAGAAUAAAAAUAUACAACCGCAUUUGACUUGUUUCGACAAUUAAAUAUCACCAUGUCAUUUGAACCUGACAAAUCAAAAACAAUUUAUUCUCAUCAAAAUUUUUCAUCUUAUAAUUAUAAAUAAAUAGGAGUUCCUAAUUAAGAAAAGUCAUUAAAAUUUCAAAAAAAACAACCGUGGGUCAAGAAUUACAAAUUUUCUAUAAGUUGCAAGCAUUCAAACAUUUGUGUACACAUUAUAAUUACUUGAAAAUAAAGGACAUAGAUAAAUUAAAUAUCAAAACCUUCCAGAUCAAAUUCACUUGUUUGUGGAAAAACUUGUUUAAGGCGGUCAUCAAAGUACUUAUGACAAAUCAAAUUCAAGUCAAAAUAUAUCAAAUCCAACAUAAAUUCAAGAUCAAAUUAAAAACGUUUGAAAUUAUUUUGAAAAUGAAGAACUAGAAGAUUUAUACAAAUUGUAACACUCAUAAUAUUUUUCUAUCUUGAUUAUUAAUUUUUAUACACAAAUUUUAUUGUUUGUAGCCAUAAAUUAUGGGUAAUAUAAUAAAUUUAAAAUGUGAAAAUAAAAGGAAAUCAACACAUUUCCCUGCAUCCACCAGGUAUCUUUAUAUUAUAAUAAAUACUUAAUUUUCUACCAAACUUUCUUUUUAUAUUUAUAUUUCCCUUUGUUUUAAUUUAUUUUCCAAUGAUUCAAAAAAAAAAAAAAAAUUCCAAACUCUUUUGUUUUUAGUUUAUUUUUAAAAUAAAUUCUCUUUCCUUAUUGUGGUAAGUCUUUAAUUAUAAUUUUUACAUGAUAUAUUUAAAAUUAGAAGAUUAAAAACUAUUUUGACACACUUCACUUAUUUUUAGUUUAAGAAUACACAAUUUAAAAACUCUUAUUUACUUUCUUAAAUUUUAUGUUAAGUCAAAAUCAAAUAAAUUUCUUAAAUUUUAUGUCAAAUAAAAAUCAGAUAAAAGUAUUUAACAAAAUCACAUGAAGAAAGUAAAAGAGGGUAUUCAUUUCCAAAUUUGUAGGAAAAAAACACACGUAAUUCUCUCAUUUCCUGUUCCUUCUCCACAAAUCUCUCUUUUAGUUAUUAGCCACAUCCACUCCUUAUCUCCCCACGUAAUACUUCUCUCCCAUUAUCUUCAUUUUUAUUUUUUAUUUUUAUUGAAUUUUGAGUUUUUUAUCUGCAUAAUCCUUAAAUAUAAUAUGAAUAUGCAACUCUCUUACUUUCUGCUAUACCUCAUUUGAAUUUUUAGUGGGUUUCUUAAGUUUAUUUUAAUUUGUGAACUUUGUCUCCCUUCACUCUAGUGUUCUUUUUUUUAAAAAAAAAAUAGUAUGAUAAUUUAACUACGAGUUACUUGUGUUUAGCCUAUGAGUUUGUUCUGUGUUAGAGACUUUUAGGGACUUGUUAAAAAAUAUGAUCUAAUUUUUUCGACUGCUCUAUAUACUAAGUAAGUUUCUUCAUCUCGAUUGUUGAUUUUUUUUUGUUUGCAGACAAAACUCAAGGUCUAUAUCUUUAGAAAAGAGGGAAUGACAAUUUUACCAUGUAAUUUGAGUUAGUAUCUUUUCUAUUUAUUUCUCAUUCUAAUAUCAAUUUUACAAUUAAAUUUUGAAAAUAUGUCAUGUUUAUAUCAUAAUUGCAGCGAGUACAUAUUAAAAUUGUAUUCUUUUCCUUUUCACACAGGUAUGUACAUGAAUGGAAAAAUUGAAUGAAGAGUAAAGUUAUCAGAUAAGUUGUUUACAUUAGCAUAUAAGAAGUAACAUUUUUAUUUUCUUAUUGACGACACAUUAUGUACAUUCGUUAGGAUCAUAUAAUAAUCUUUAAUGAGAUUAUUUCAAUAUUAUUUUAGUUCUAAAAUAUUAUAGGAUCAUGAGUGACACUUUUUGUUAUUAUGUUAAAUUUUUUAUUUUGUUAUGUUGAGUUUAUAUUAUAAUAUGAUAUCUGCUAAGUUUAAAAAUUAAAUUUAAUAUUUGUCAUGAUGUUAAUUUAAUAAAUUUUUACGACUUAGACUUUUCCUUGUAAAAUUUUUAUAUUGAUGAAUUAAUUAAUCUUGUAAAAUAUGAGAAAAUUUGGCACCAUGUAUAAAUUAUAAAAUUAACGAGAAACUAGUGAAUUAUUACCAUUUACAAGUUUGAACGUCAUCAAAUGUUUGUUGUUUUAACUGUAUGAUAAUGGAUGAAUUUUAUUAUUAUUUAAGAUAUUUUAAUUAUUUAUUUUUCAAUUUAUGUAAUUCUAAUUUAAAAAAUAAUAUCAAUACGAAUAAUUAAAUGUCAUCGAAUAUUUGUGCUCAUCAAAAGAUUAUAUCAUCAAAAGUAACUUUUAGCAAGGACUAAAUCAUACUUUUCAAGACAAAUAUUUUUUUCACAAAUAAAUUAUUUCGUCAUAAGUCGACUACAUUUAGUGACAAACUAUAUUGUCACUAAUCAUGAUUAUUUACAGUGACAAGUAUAUCUUGUCGGUAAAAACAAUACUUUUAGUGACAAGAUGAUAGAUUUAACUACGAAAUUGUUAACCUUUUUAUGAUGAUAAAUUUGUCCCUAAUUUAUAUAUUUUAGGACGAAAUAAUUUUUUUAUAUAAAAACAAGUCAUUAGUGACAAAAUUACAUUUUUUCAACUACUAAAUACAUAUAACUUUAGAGACAAUUGAUGUUGUCACUGAUUGAACUAAAUAUAUAGUGAUGGUGUAAUUUUGUCGGUGAAAAUAACUUUUUAGUGACAAAAUCAUACUAUUAACAAAAAAUUUACACUUUUUAUGACAUAUAGAUUUGUCACAAAUAUCGACACAUUUGGGGACGAUUUUUCUUUUUGUAGUUAAUAUAACUUUGUUAGUGACGAUGCACUAAAUCGUCUUUGUAUACUUUUAGUGACGACUGAUUGACGAAAUUUUUUUCGUCACAAGAUCUUUGGUGACGAACUAUGAUUUAUAAGUGACGAAAUCAUUUGUCCUUGAUAGUCAAAUUUGUUGUAGUGUUUUAAGUUGUAGAAAAGAUUAUACUAAAAUAAAUGGGAGAAGGCACAGGUACCCCUAGACUAUGAUAGAAAUUCCAGAGACAUACCUUAACUAAACUAAAGUCCUAUUACCCCCUGAACUCAUUUUAUAUAUAAUAUUGUACACCUUUUGGCUUAUAUAGACUAGAGCUGUCAAUAUGGGCUAGCCCACCCCAUCCGGGCUGACCCAUACAGGCUUUGACAUUUUACGGGUCAGGCCGGGCUAGCCCAUUUUUGGUGUGGGUUAGAAAACGAUCGGCCCAGCCCACAAGUACAUGGGCUACAGGCUUGCCGGGCUAGCCCACUUUUUUUAAAAUUAUAUAUUUUUUAUAAUUAUUAAAAUAAAUUAUAAAUUAUAAUUUAAAAAUAUUAUCAUAAAUAUCGACAAAACAAUAUUACAUGGUGUUAAUGUUACUACUUGUUAAUCAAAUCCACAAAUAAAAUUAUCUUUAUAAUAAUUAUUAAGGUUUUUUCAAAUAAAAGUAUAAAUAUCUAAAUAGAAAUAUUAACAUAAUUGUUUUGUCACAUUAAAACACAAAAAAUGUGACAAUAUUCCAACCAUAAAAAAGUUAAAAAUAAACUCCUUAAAAAAAUCAUGAAACUUAUGGCAUAUCUAACANNNNNNNNNNNNNNNNNNNNNNNNNNNNNNNNNNNNNNNNNNNNNNNNNNNNNNNNNNNNNNNNNNNNNNNNNNNNNNNNNNNNNNNNNNNNNNNNNNNNNNNNNNNNNNNNNNNNNNUUUAAUUUUAAAUUUUAAUAUUAUAUUAUAUUUUUAAAAUUAUUUUUAUUUGGCCCACGGGCCGGCCCUACCUAUAUUUCUCAAGCCCCACAAAUCAGCAGGCUUAUUCAGGCUGGGCUAAAAAGCCCUUUUCUUAAAUGGGCUCCAAAAAUCUUAGUCCAGCCCUAUUAAAUCCCGGGUUAGGCCAGGCCGGCCCAACGGGCCUAGCCCAUAUUGACGGCUCUAAUAUAGACACGUGAUUUUUGACCGAGCAUAAGACUUUACACUUGUUUUUAUUCCUUAAAUAUUUAUUUUAGGUUAAGUUAGAUAUUUUGAUUUUUGUCUUAUUUUAGUAAGUUUAUUUUAAAAGAUUUGAAAAUAACAAAAAAGAAAAGAUAUUUUCAAUAUAUUAAACUUGUUGGACAUUUAAAAAAGAAACUCGUUGGACAUUUAAAAAAUAUUUUCUUUGAUUAUAAUCUUUUUUUUAAAAAUAUUUUACAUUAUUAAUAAUUCUGAUUAAACCAAAGUAGCGUGUGAUUUUGAUUUGCUUUAAUAUCAUGCUGGAAUGAGUCAAAGAUUGUUAGAAUAAAUAAAUAAAUAAAUAAAUAUAUAUAUCAGUUUUUAUUUUGGGCCUAAGAAUUAUAUGAAGGGAUGGAGUUUUAAAUUUCAGUUAUGUGCUUUUGCGGGCUAUUUUUGCUGUUAGUUUUAUUAUUAUUUUGUACCAAUAAUAAAAUAUAAUUUUUAAUAUUGCUUUAAUUAGUUGAUAUUUUAUUAUAAUUUAUUAUUUAUAUGUAUAGUUAAUUAUUAUUUUUUUAAAAGUAAAAUAAAACUAAAACUAAAAAUAAGAAAAUAACUCACCCCCACAAAUCCCAUAUACUCACCGUUAUCAUACCACAUUCUCGAGUCAUGAUGGCACCUACUAUACCCUACCAGUAGGUAAGCCAACCCGUAACCCAGAACAUCAAGCAAUGAGUGAAAGGGCAAAAACUAGCGAAAAUAAUAAUCUAAACCAGAAUAACAAGGCGGAAGCAACCCAAAAUAAAUAUAUACAGAAAUACCCUCCCAGAACCUGGAAGUCACUAGUACAGAGCUAUACUAAUAAAGAGUACAAGUCCCAAAGUGGACCACAACAGAGCGUGUCUCAAAGGCAACAAGACUAGCUAAAAACAAAAGAAGGAGACAGAACAAACCCCAAAAACGUCAAAGUAGCUCAACCCUCGUCUCCGAAUCACAGCUGCAAAAGAAGGCUGGAACUAAUCACCGCUAGUAACUGGUACUGGGACCUGCAUCACAAAAUAGAUGCAGAGCGUAGCAUGAGUACCAACACAACAUGUACUCAGUAGGUAUCAUAGGUCGACUGAGCAAAAAGGGUAAAAACAAUAAGAAAUGACAGAAUCAAGACACAGAGAGGUCAAAGCGAAUAAGAAAAGAAAGCACACGAGCAUACCAGAAAAAAACUAAGUACAACUAAACUAAACCUAACUGGACCCCCAAAAGCCCAGAAGGUACACUCGUGCGCAAGUUCAAAUAAAACCUGAACGGACCCCCAUAAGCCCGACAGGUACACAGCAAGGCUAAGUCUACUGAGAAAGAAGAAAACCGGGCUCCCAGCCCAAAGUAACUAAGAUAAUCCAUCAGACCCCACCCAGCCAGCAGUACACUCCCAGCCCAGCUAGAAAGAGUGACCCUAGGGGGCACCCAACCAAACAGUCCACUCCCAGCCCAGCUAGAAAGAGGGACCCGUGAGUGAGGUAGAUAUCGCGAGUCGUCCUACCAUGCAGUCAGCUCCCAGCCCAGCUAGAAAGAGCGACCCGGGGACACCCAGCCAGCAGCACACUCCCAGCCCAGCUAGAAAGAGAGGCCCAGGGGCGAUCGCUAAUAUCACCGAGUCUACCCAGCCAGCGAUACGUUCCCAGCCCAGCUAGAAAGAACGACCCCGGGGGUGAUGGUAUCUUCAAUAGGAUUCAAUCCAACAACAACCACCGUGGAACGCUGUCCACUCUAAGAUAUCACAUAAAAGGCUCCAAACCUAUACUAUCUCAAUCCCAUGCCUCGAGUGAUGCACCAAACCUUCAAAAAUGCGUCGGAACCGCAGAAUAAGAGGGAGAACAUACAGAAGUGCAGCAAGUAGCGAUAACGCCUAAUCUAAGGCUCAAACUAUCAGACUCAAGUCUGCUAUUCCAGUCUACAAGGAGCUAAGUCAUCCGAACGACGUCGGCAGAAAGUCAAGGCUAUCCAGCCCACACGGGUCAUAAGUCUAAGGCAAAGCUAGCCUAACCUAGACUAAGGACAUCAUGUUUACGGUUAAGGAUGAACAAGGCAUGCAAUACAUAGCAUGCAAGCAUACAAUAACAUUUAACACAUAAGCAUGCAACUCUACUAAACCGGUUAACAUGAUACUAUACCCGAAAUGUGACCAAUCGAUCCUAACAUGAGGUAUCUAAUCAAAAUAAGGUAGUAAACUGGUACCCACUCCCAAUUCACUACAAUCGACAUGCUUUUACACAAUUAAGCUCAAUCUAAAAGAAAGGAAGCCGUAGCCUACCUUAAGGCCGAUCGCGCGCUCUCCAAAUCACUUUACCGGACUUUUCCCUUUCCGAACAGUCUAGAAACGCUGCCCCGCUAUCAAAAAUAGAAUCACAAUGUUACUACGGUCAUUUAGACACCAAAAUUACAACAAACGGAGACGGGUCAAUUUUGGAGUCAAAAUGAGAAUCGUGGGACCCGCACCAAACUGUCCGAAUUUAACUCCGUCAAGAGAUCCUAAACAACACCCCAAACUUGUGUUCCAAAAUGGAACAUAAUUCGAGGCUCAAAACACAAUAAAAACCAACAAGCAAGAAACCACACUUUAAUCAACUAAAAGAAACCCUACAGCAUCAGUCUAAACUCGAAAUAAACAAGAAUCGAAAAGUGCCCAGCACUCCUUGAACACUCUACGACGAAGUCACGACAAUUCUCAACAUGUGGGACUUCGAAUCACCCAGAACCGAGCUAAAAUGAGUGAGAUAUGACCAAAACAAAAAUACUAAAAACAAAAACUCGAAAAAGGUACUGCAGUCAGGUUUUAUCGCGAAAUUACCUUGAACUACGUGCACCCAACAACUUUCGAACACCCUACAGCGAAGCCACCAAAAAUACGAAGCUUCUGCAAUUUUUCCAACAACUAAAAACUCCAACGGGUACUCCGAUCUCGUUCGGAACUCCGUGCACGCAAACGACCAGGUGACCGAACUGUCAGUCCCAGCAAGUCAUAAAUGACUUGGGGUCGCUAUAAGAACGCUCUAAACGACACACAGAAGAAAAGACACAGAAAUGACCAAGAGGGUCAUUACAAACAGUCACCCCUAUACCCACACACGACAAAAAAAUAAAAAAAAGGAUUGAGUUGUAAUUUUUGACGGCUUCAACUUCACAGAUUCAAAAGUCUGCAACUAUUAAUAUUUUUGGGAAAUCAGUAGAUUGUUAGGCAUUGUUUUUCGUGGUUUAAUCUUCAUAAGAGAUAACAUUUAUUUCUUCUUGGUAUAAGUUAAUGUCACGAUUGUUCAAGAUUUGAUUCCAAUGUUAUAAAGUUAUUCAAAUUUUAUGUGUUUAGCUUUGCCAAUAUACUAUUGAAAUACAUGUAAAUAUUUGUAUUGUUGUAUUUGGAUUAAAUAUGAUAUAACAUAUAUCGCUUCUUGCUUUCGUUGAUAGUACAAUUUAAAAAUCAUUAUUUUUUUUAGUAAAAAAAAUGCAUUUUUUAUACGAUUUAAUCGUUAUCAUCCGAAGUGUUUUAGAUUCUUGGUAUUCUAUAGAUCAUAGAUCUAAUGCCAGUUUCAAAUGUUGUGUGAAUAUAAAUGUUAGGUUUUUUUUUAUUUUAAAGGGCUCUUUUAUGUCCAUUAAUUCAGAAUAUUAGCUUUUGCGGUGAUCACUUGCAAAUAAUCAUGCCGCUUCAUUGGUUAAGCGAAAAUAUUUGUUAAAUUAGAUAUAGCCAGAUAUGUCAUUAAUUAUUAGUUACACUAUGUUUGGAUCAUUGUUACCCAUUGUAUUGUAUUGUAUUAUAUUGUAUUGUAUUGUAUUGUAUCGUUACUAUACCUACAAUGUUUGUUUUGAUUGUUACUUAAAAUGUAUUGUAUUGUUAAAUUUCAUUGUUACGUAACAAUGAAAGCCCUAUUUUAUGGAACAACCAAUUUGGUGUGUUCCCAUUGUUUCUUAAUUUCCUUUUCCAAUUAUAUCUUUACAUAAUAUUUCAAAAUACUAUUUUACCCUUUACCUUAAUUAUUUAAAUCUAGUCAAACCUCCUACCCUAGAAUAAUUAAGGAUAUUUUAGUAAAUUUAUAAAUUACAAUACAGUAUGAUACAAUCAAACCAAACAAUUAAAAUGUUAUUAAACAAUAACAAACAAUACAAUCUAGCCAAACAUUGUAUCUAUCAUACAAUAAAAUACAAUACAAUAGAGUACAAUACAAUACAUUAUGAAACAAUGGGUAACAAUAAUCCAAACAGAGUGUUAAAGUGUGCCUUUAGUGUAUUUGUUUAUUUAGUUAUGCUUUAUUGUAAAUUAAUAAUUAUAUUUAAAAAAUUAUAAACUAAUGACAUUCUGUUUUGCUAGAAACGAUAAGUACUAUCAUGUUAAUAAGACAAUGUAAUUAAUUGAAUAUAAUAUUUCGUGGGCAGGUGAUAAGUUAAAUGUAGAAAAGUUUGGUCACUUUAACAUUUUACUAUUUAUUUUUAGACUGCUUUAAUAUAAUCAUAGGUAUAUAUUAGGCUCUAUUAUACAUUAGAUGAGUAACAAUAAUAAUUAAAUUUCAUCUCAAUUAAGAAUGUGGUUCCACAUCUUUUUGAGAUACUUAAGAAACUCAAGGAUGCGGUUACGCACCUUGGCCAAAUUAUUUUAAUAAUUAAUUUUGUUAAUUCAAACCAAGAGGUGUAAAUUGAGAUUAUUAGGUGUGAUGAACUCGAGAGGGGAAGACAAUUAUGUCUCCAAAUGUCAAGAUCGAGAAUGCAGUUAUGCAUCCGGUUUAAGACUAAUAAAAAUUCUAACAAUUAAAAAAUAAGCAAACCAUGACAUAUAUACACAAAUUAUCCAAAAACAUAUCAAGAUAAGUAUAACUCAAUAAAAGAGACCGUGCUAGAACCACGAGAGUACUCGAGGGAUGCCUAAUACCUUCCCCUCGAUCAACAGAAUUCCUUACCUGAAUUUCUGGUUCGCAGACCAAACAAAGAGUCAUUUCCUUUUGAUUAGGGAUUAAAUAAAAUGUGACUUGGAACAUCAUAAUUCAAUUCCAAGUGGCGACUCUGGAAAAAAUAAAAAAAAUAAAAAUUUAUCUCUUAAUUAAUACGGACACUUAAAAAAACCCUUUCCACCGUGCGAAAAAAGAGGUGUGACAUCUCUGACGACUCCGCUGGGGAUACUAACCAGAAUUCGAGCUUUGUUAUGUUGACUUUUAUUUUAUCUUAUUAUUUAUUUUUUUGGAUAUAUUGUGUGUGAUUGCCUGAUAUGAUACUUGUUGCUCUUUUAUCACUUUUUAUAUUGUUGAACUAUAAAUUGUCUUUCUUAGCGCAACCAUCUGAGUUGGCAUGGUUUAAUGGUGUCACACCCCAAAUCCGGAUGUGAUGGCACAUGUCCAUUUCCCACCGGACACGUCAGCCUAACCCAACCACAACGAUAGAGAAGUAGAAAUACGAGAAUAAAAGAUAAUAAAUAAGCGGAAGACUUUAAUUAAGACUCAACACUACCCAGAAUUUGGUUGUCACAUGUACAAACCUCUAAAUACAGAAUUCGAAUAAAAAUAUACAAGUCUCAGAGUAUAGUUCUCGAAUAGAACAAAACUGAAAGUAAAGAUAACUCAAGGGCACGUCUGGAAUGAACCGCUACCUCUCGAGUAUGUCCCGAAGCUCAAUCUGCUAAAGAAAGAGUAUGUCCCAAAGCUCAAUCUGCUAAAGAAAAUACUAAGCCGAAUCUGAGAGAGCUGUCAACCUACACAAUUGUGUAGAAGCAAGGGUGAGUACCGAAAACCACAGGUACUCGCAAGUAACUCUAAACUAAGCAAAACUAGCAGCUACAAACAACUCCUUUCAAUCCCAACCGAACCACCGAAACUUCAAUCUAGCAGCAAACCAACCAACCUAUACUCAUAUUCAACAGCCAGAACCAACAGUAUAUCCUCAUCAACCUCAGAUCAACAAAUAAGAGCAAGUAGAUCAAAUUCCACAUAAGAAGGGUAAACCGAUACAAUCCACACAUCACAGACAAAGAUAAGGCAAAUGCGAUGCAAAAUGCAAUAAUGAUGUCAUGUAGUCGUGAUGCAUGUCUGUCCUACGAUACACAUCUGUUGACGUAAUCAGUCCGCGCUGAAUACUCAAAUCAGAACCCAUGGGGGCCACACAUGGACCAUGUAUCACCGCCGGAACCAGAUCCCAUCGGCAUCCAAAUCGCUAGUCGGAGCUAGUCCAUCUCAUAUAUCUCUAGCCGGAACUAGUCUCAACUGUGUCUCAUAUCCAUCCAUCAUCAUAUCAGUGUCUCAGAACUCAUGCAACAGAUAGUUCACACAUGUGAUGAAUAAUGAAUAUGCACAUAUCAUCAAUCACAAUCAUAUCACGAUCACAUCAUAAUAUUGUUGACACCCAAUUUUGACCCUCCCCGAUAAUAAUUAACUUCUGAGCUUCUUAAUUUUCAAACGAUUUAAAAUGAUUAGAUUUAUAAAAUUCAAACAGUUUCAAGAUUAGUUUAAAUAAUUUCAGUUGAUUUUUAUAGUUUUGAAUAAUGAAUAUGUUUCAUAUAAUUAUAUACAUAAUUAGUAUAUUUUACAAAUGUUUGAAAAUCAUAUCAAAGAUUUUACUUUGUUAAAAUAAAUAUUUUAUUAAUUUAGUUUUUAGUUCGAAUUAUAGUUUUAAUCUUGGAUUAAUUAGUUCAUAUAUAAAUCGAUUAGUUUAUAAUUAAGUUAAUUAUUUUAUUUCGUUAAAAUUAAAGAGCUCAUAAAUUAAUUAUAUUAAUCCGUACCUCUUGAAUUCUAGCCGAACUUAUCCUACUCAACUAAAUUUGGAUACGUCUUUAAGCUCCACUUGGUUAUGACUUAGAUUUGUAUGGCUAACUUAAAUUCAAUUUUAUCUUGAUUAAUUUUUUUAAAACACCAAAAUUUUGGGCUUUUUUCCAUUCCCUUAAAAUGACCCAAAUGCUCAACCCAUUUCCCAUUCUGGUUCCAAUUCAUUUCCUCCAACAACCUAUUGUCUUCCAAUUCCCUUACAAUUCCCACCGACCCAACACAUUAUUUGAGCAGCCCAUCAAAUUAUGACCCAACCCGGCCCAUUCAUCUAUUCUCAAAAGAAUCCAUCAACCUUUAACAACAGUCCAAACACGUUCACUGAAGCAAACGGAAAAGCAGCGAGGAACAGAGACGUACGCUGCGAAUUCUGUUUCUUCUCCAAUGUCCUUAUCGACAUUUAAUAUCGUAACAACAAAAGGGAGCACGCGUUUCUCCCCUUUCCCUUUUCGGAAUGAGUUGAAAAUUGCAAAGAAAGGGGUGUCUGGCCGAAAAUGGUGAAAGUUUUUUAGAUUUUGAAAUUUGAAUGGACCCUUGAAUCUAAAAGGGGACCCGAAAUUCCCCCCAUAUCAACCCUAAUAGUCCCCUAUAUAUAUUUUCUUCUUACUCACAUGAGGGGGGAUUUUUUGGAGUUUGAAAAGUUUAUGUUGAAGAAAAUGUUGAGAGAAGCUUGGAAAAACAGAGGGGAAGAAAGUUUCAAAAAAUAAAUAAAUAUAAAUACAAGAAUACAUACAAGGAAAAAUCAGUAGUUAUACUCAAGCUAGAAUCGAUAAAAGAUUUUCUUUUGUGCUUGCCAUUGGAAAAACUUGUCGGAAUCUCGUCGUGGUAGUGAAGUCGCCGUCCCUCUGCUCGCUCUGUCUCGGUUCACUGCCCUCAUAAAGUUUUGUUCUUUUCUAUGUAUGAACCGGCUCCUCCCGAGUCUAUUUUGGACUCCACCCCUACAUAUCCGAGUUGAUUUCCCAUCGAGUCAACCCCCUUUCGAGCUAAAGAAUUGACGAACAGGUCCCGAGAAUUGAAAGAAGCAACAGAUCGAGAAAAUCGAAAAUUUGGGCCAAGGGCCCAUUCUUAAUUCAAAAAAUUGUAUUUUUGGGCCUAAGCCCACUUAUUAGCUAUUUUAUGUUAGCUUAGGAUAGGUACAGGUGAUUCAAAUGAGCCAAAAGCUCAAAACGAAAAAGGGCCCAAAUACUGGCCCAGGCGGACAGAAACCAGAUUUGGGCCCAACUCUCUAUCCCUCUCUACUUUACCGUGUUCAUUUUACUUGUUAGUAUUUGCCGCUAAUUUUAAGGUUGAACAAUUCGAAUCCCCGAAAGAUACCCAUUUCGAAUUAAUUACUUAACUAAAUUACUCAUCUUUCACUUGACUUAAAAAAUAAAUAAAUGAUAAAUAAAUAAAUUUAUGAAAUGCUUCACUUAGAUAAUAUUUCAUUAUUUUUCUAUUAAAAUGGUUUCAACUAUAAAGUAGUUCACUUUUGCAAUUCAAGAUAAGUUAAAAUAUUUUAGCCAAAUAAUUAAUUGUCGGAUAACCGCGUAUUAGCGGACAUUCUGGGGUGCUUUUAAAAAACCUUCCUAGAAUGUUAAUAAGAACCUCGAACCCUUUUUAAGUUUUCAAUAGAUUUACUGUUUUAGUCUUUUGAAAACAACAGUUUUCUUGAUUUUUCUUAAAAAUUAAGUGGCGACUCUUAAACCAGUCCAAAUAAUAUUUUAAAUAAAACAAAUAUUACACAUCAUCUGUCUCAAUCACAACCAUAUCACGACCACAUCAUAGUAUUACACAUCAUCUGUCUCAACAUCAAUGUAUGUAUCAAUCAUAGCCUACUCAUGCUCUUCUAUCCCCUCAAUAUCAGUUAUCACAUGACUUAUUCAACAAAUUCAAGUCACAUAUAACACAUUUAGCUCGUUUUAUUUCCCCAUCUUUCAUUUACAACAAUUUCAAUCAACAAAUAAAACUCAUCCUCAAUCCCCAUUACUCCCCAACACAAUUAGGAAAGUAGUCAUGCGUAGUCUAAGAGUUUUACAAAGUUUGGAAGCCACUUGCCUUAAAACGAACUCCAAAAGUUACUUGACUUGAGCCCUUUCCUUUCCGAGUAUAAUCCGGAUCACGAUAAUCUAUUCAAACAAUUAUUCACAAUCACAAUUCGAGUCCAAUAUAAAUGGAAUCCCACAAUCAAUACGAAUCUAACAACACCAAUAUCGUGAAAUUUGGAGAACAAGGGUAAAAUGGUCAAAAAUCUCGUUCCGGAAAAUAUUCUCGAAAUCUGGAAAUUUUUAGUGAAAAAUGUUCCCCAAGAAAUUUAGAAUCCAAUAGUGAAAACCGUUUCGAAAAAGGAGUUGAAAUUAAUUCACAAACUCAAUUUGAAAGAAAAUCCACGUUCUUGAAGAAGCCUAAAAUAUUCAGAUCCGAAACUCCAACCCGAAAAUGAAAUAUCUCUUAAAAAACAUCUUACUCAUGCUUAGAUAAGUUCAAAUAUGAAAUUUCAUCAAAAAACGGAGUUAAGAUCGACCUUGAAAUUCUCAAUUUAUCAAACUUUAACUUUACCGGAAAGUCCAAAUUGUACGCGUUUAAUAUGAUGAAAAUAAUCGAUGAAUCAAUAAUUUUUAUGUUAAAAUCAGUUUUACCCAUAACAUAAGGAUCGUAAAUAUAUCUUUUUUAUCAAAAAGGGAGUCCAAAUCGAUAAAACCCCAAUUUUUCCCAAGAGAUUUACGGAUAGGAAAAAAAACCAGAUAAAGAAAUUAUGAGAAAAUGUCGAAUUGAAGAUUGAAUACUAACUCUCAUAUUAAUUCAAGAAGAAACCCGUAAGAAUCAUUCCAUUCCGAUCUCUAGAACUCCAGAUAUGCUCAAAAUACCAAAUGAACACAGUCUGAGAUUUUUAUAACAGUACAUGGCUGUUAUGCACCAGAAAAACAGCAGUUAAUCUUUCACUAAAAAGGCCGUAAUUUCCUCAUACGAUAGUGAAAUGACCCGAUUCUUUUUUAUAAAUGUCUUAAAUAAUGAUACGGACCUGCUCGUUCAAUCGGAGCUCAAUUUCAUGCUCGUUUGCCCAGUCAAAUAUCAUUUCUACUCGGUAAACAAUUAUUUCUUAUUUGCGAUAAAAAUCCAAUCUCGGGUUAGCGAAAAUGCACCAAAAUUUGCAGAUAAGUCCUAUAAUUCAUGAUCAAAAUUUCAGAACCUUCAGAAAUUUUUUUCGACCUUUAAAACUAAUAAUGAACCCUUUAGUUGCCACAAUUUGCUGAAAUAGUGUCAAAGCAUCCAAGAAGCUUAAAAGCUCACCCAAAACUCAUUUGGCACUUCCCGAACACAAACCAAAUAUGCUACUAGCUUGAAAAUGACAUUUCGGACUCAAUGAAAUCGUCGGAAUUUGAAUUCGAGGUCUCCUUGACCCGGUAUCCGAUAAGGCGUCAAGAAACUAACUUUAGGCUCAAAAACUCGAAACGCACUCGGGGCCUCUAAAAAUUCAACCAAGACUCAUUCUAGACUUAGAAUCACCCCCUGAAUCCAACGGUGCCCUCGGAAUUCCAUUUCGAGCACCGGAACCUCGUUUGUUGACCAAAGUCAACUCUUGAUCAAAAUUUCACAAUUUUAGCAACUUAGGACCUCAAAUCUUCGUUUUAACUCCAAAUUCGACUCAGUAAAUUCUCAUAGACCCAUUUCAACAUUCUAAAAUUGCUGGAAUCGACGGAAAUCCGAUUCGAGUCUCGAAACUCCAAAUGACUCGAAAUAGCACUUUUAACCAAACUUUAACUCUUAAAAACUCAACUUUCCAAAAACUCAACUUUUCAUCAAUUUUCCUUCAAACCAACUUCAAAAAUACAACAAUUAGGACUCGGGGCAACUAUCGGGAGGGGUAAAACGGUCAUUUUAUGAAAAUUUCCAAAAAUGACUUUUAGGGUCAUUACAAGGCUAACCUUAGACAAAAUCUUGGCUAAGUGGGGUGUUGGUCAUAUGAGGAUGAGUGGGGUGUAAUGUCUAGGCGGCAUGUGUUGAAGCAGUAAUUUUUCCAUUUUCGUUACUCAGGUAUGACAAAAUUCAUAAAGGUAGCACAAGUGAAGAUGAAACUGGAUCACGAUUAGGAAAUGCAGCUACCAAGUAUGUUGUAAUUGAAGAAAUGGAAGAUCAAGACCAUGGUCCUUGAGGUUUUACAUAUGACAUUCUAACAAUGUUGCGCUCUGAUGGCGUUUUGUAUUUGCAACGGAAGGAAAUGGACAAAAAAAUGCGUAGAUUUUCUAGCAAAUGAAGUUCAAGUCGUAUACAUGAAGAAGAUUUGUUAAUCAAGGAAGAUGAGGAAGCUGAGUUUUUUCACCUAGUAAACUUUAAGACAUGUGGCUUAUAGAAGGGAAAUUUAUUACUCCCUAUGUGCUAAAAAAGUAAUGAUAUACAUUUUUAUAGUUAGUAAAAAUUUAACUUUUAAACUUCUCAUUUUACCCCUAAAGUUAGGGGUGAAAGUUUGGUAUUCAGUUCAAGAUUUCCAAAUUUUGAGUUCGAUAGUUAAAAAUAGAUUCAAUUCAGUAUGGUAUUCAGUAAUACCGUAUUAAAGUUGUAGGAUUUGGAAAAGAAUGAUCACAAAUCUUUCUACUUUUUGUUUGUUAAAAUCAUGUCCUUUUCUGACUAAGUUAAAGAAAAAGAGAAAUUGGUCUCUUCUUUUGUUUAGAUGAUAAUGUUAGUGGAAUGUGAGACAAAAUUAUAUGAAUUAAAGUUUGAUUUCGAUAUGUAAUCCGAUUGAUUUGAUGUUAUUUUUAUUCUUUAUUUGAUUUCAAGUAUGCAUAAAAACAAUGUAACGUAUAUUUUACAUCCACACAAAUAUCUAUACAUAUUUUUAGUUUAAGAUUACAAAAAUUUUAAAAGUCGUCUAUACUUUCAUAAAAUUAAUAUCCCAUGAAACUAAGAUACACAAACUAAAACUAGCGGAGUAACUUAGUACUAAUUCGAUUUGCUUCAUACAUUGUUUUAGUACUAGACAUAUAAGCUCGUAGCUAACACAGACUCAAUAACAUACAUAGAAUUUGGAAAGACAAAUAAUUAUUAACACGAUUAUUAUUAAUUUACGAGACUUUUACGAUAAUUUUUUUCUAUUCAAAUUUAUGUGAUACAAAUUAAUUUUCGUGUGUAUUAUCCCAUGAAUUUGGCGCCUCGGAGCACCCAAAAACAUUUUUUGAAAAAUCUUUAUGAGGACCUCUGUAAUGAGUUGGGAACCAUCGCUUAUACUCACACUAUUUUUCUUAACGCUUAUUUCCGGAUUUACUGACCCUUUUUUAGGAAUUACGUAAAAAAAUUCAAUUUUUGGGUGUAUUAGCCUAUGGAUCUGGCGCAUUAGAGCACCCAAUUUUUUUUUCUGAAAAAAACUUUAUGAGUAAUUAUGUAAUGAGUUAGAGAUCACCACGUAUACUCACACCAAUUUUAACGACUAUUUCCGCAUUUAUAGAUUUUUUUUUUAGAAAUUACACAAAAUUCUUGAUUGUUCGUGUGUAUUAGCCCAUGAAUCUGGCGACUCAGAGCACCCAAAAUUAUUUUCUAAAAAACUUUAUGAGAACCUCUGUAGUGAGUAAGGGAACCACCAUAUAUACCCACACCAUUUUUAAUAGCUAUUUUCGCAUUUAUAGGCCAUUUUUUUAUGAAUUAUGCAAAUUCCUUGAUUUUUCGUGUGUAUUAGCCCUUGAAUCUAGCGCCUCAGAGCACCCGAAUUUUUUUUAUGAAAAAACAUUAUGAGGACUUCCGUAAUGAGUUAGGGAACCACCAUAUAUACUCAUGCAAUUUUUUAAUGCCUAUUUCUGCACUUACAGACCUUUUUUUUAGGAAUUAUGCAAAUUACUCAAUUUUUAAUGUGUAUUAACCCAUGAAUAUAUUGGUGAUAUGGCUUUCAGACGAAUUUUUUGUAAAACUCUUUAUGGAACCCUUCAAAGGGAGUUGGGGGAGCAGUACGUACAAUUUUACCAUUUUUAGAGUGAUUUAUGGGCAUAAGGAGUCAAUUUACAUUAGUUAGGCGAUUUUCUCAAUUUUUCAUGUGUAUUAUGUAACAUCCGGCAAUUUGAAAUAGCUAAGAAGAGGCUUAGAAUUUGAAAAUUUUCAAUUUUUGGAAAGGAUUUGAAAAUCUAGAAAAUUUGGCUAAGUAUGGAAAUCAGUGAUUUUUGGCCAACUUUGAGCAGUCAUAACUUCUAACUCAGGAUGAGUUAGGAGUAGUUCCAGUUAUGGUUGUGAAUCUUGUGGAAUGAUCUUUCCAACGCCACCGAGUUUGCUCAAUUCCGAGUUCGUAUGAGCGAGUUAUGGCCUUUGAAAGUUGGGCAGUUGACAAGGAAAUCCGUCCGGGAAUCAUUAAGGGCAUUUUGGUCUUUUCCCUAGCUAUUUCUUUUGAGGAUGUAUUGUUGUAUAGGGCUGAUCUUUGGAUCAUUUUGUUCCAUUUUUAAGAGAGUGAAGGCUAGGGCUUGAGAGUGAAGAAGAGAAGAAGANNNNNNNNNNNNNNNNNNNNNNNNNNNNNNNNNNNNNNNNNNNNNNNNNNNNNNNNNNNNNNNNNNNNNNNNNNNNNNNNNNNNNNNNNNNNNNNNNNNNNNNNNNNNNNNNNNNNNNNNNNNNNNNNNNNNNNNNNNNNNNNNNNNNNNNNNNNNNNNNNNNNNNNNNNNNNNNNNNNNNNNNNNNNNNNNNNNNNNNNNNNNNNNNNNNNNNNNNNNNNNNNNNNNNNNNNNNNNNNNNNNNNNNNNNNNNNNNNNNNNNNNNNNNNNNNNNNNNNNNNNNNNNNNNNNNNNNNNNNNNNNNNNNNNNNNNNNNNNNNNNNNNNNNNNNNNNNNNNNNNNNNNNNNNNNNNNNNNNNNNNNNNNNNNNNNNNNNNNNNNNNNNNNNNNNNNNUUGCCUACUGAUCUACGGUCAUGACUUACGGACCGUGAAUGGACCUACGGUCUGUAGAUCACUUCCGUCAAGGCCAUGUUUCUGCAUUUCUUAUUGUACCUAUGUUUCCAAGUUGUCUCCAACACUUCAAGUUGCAUCUAAAUGUUUAGAACUCAUUCAUAACAGGUGAUUAUAUCCCUUGAAUCCAUAAUUCAAUUCAAGGCGAGUUAGAAUCGAGUUAAAGAGAAGUUAGAGUCAAGUCAAGCAAGGUUAAGAAGUUAGUUCAAGCAAGUUUUCAAAGUUGUUCGAGAGUCUUUAAUGAACGUUUUUACUUCAUUCUAAGGCUCAAGUUGCAGGUCAAGUAAAGAGUUUAAAGUUGAGUUCAUUUCUCAAAGUUAUUAGGGAACUAUGUAUUCCCAAAGCAGUUUUUAAGGAAAUGUUUUUACAUUUAAACAAGGUUGGAAACUGAGAUUUCCAAAGGGGCCUUCGGGCCAGUUUUUCAGAAAAGAGUUAUCAUUUCCUAAAUGAAGCAAGGUUGGAAACUGAGAUUUCCAAAAGAGCCUUCAGGCAAGUUUUUGAGUAAUUAUCUCAUAUCAGCAGGAAGAAAUAUGUUUUAAAAACAUAAGAGCUAGUACAUUUUUGGGAGUAGUAUCGAGCACCGAAAAUCGUUUCAAAAGAUUUUAGUUUUACUUAAAUAUUUUAUUAAGUUAAUUAGUAGUUUAUAUUUUGAAUCAUUAGUUUAUUAAGUUAAUUAUUUUAUUUCAUUAAGAUUAAGAAGCUCCUUAAUUAAUUUAUGAAAAUUCAUCUUGUUUAAGUAUUGAUCAAAUCCACCGACUAAAUGCUAAUCGAAAUUCAAUUGAUUAAUAUGGCAAUUUUAGUCAAUUUCUUCAACCCUUUGCAAGACCCAAUUAUCUUAAACCCUUUUAGCCAAACUUUUGACCCAAUAUUAGAAGCCCACCCUUUUCAUUCUUCUGACCCAAGCCCAAAACCCACUUCUUCUUUUCUCAAAAGAACCCAACGUGAACAACAGCAUACCAAAUUGACCCGACCCCCAACACAGCUGCUCGUUCUUCUUCAACAAUACACGUCAAAUUCCAACGAUUUAAUUCACGGAGUCAAGCGGAGGCAGACGGAAAAGCAGUAAAGCAGGCAGUGCUCUGCAUUUUUCUUGUCUUCUUCCUCAAUGUCCCUUUCCAAUUUGUACCUGCAGCAGCAAAAGCACCUGCGAUUUUGUCCUUCCAGCCGCGUCUCAGUCCUUGGGGAUGUGGGAUCGAUCCACGUCGCGCCUAAGGAUGAGUUGAAUUGAUCAAGUCCGCCCGUCUACCCUUUCCCCUUUCGGAAUGGGUCAAAUUUUGGAGAAAAAGGUUGUCUCCCUGAAAGGGGUGAACGAUUUUGAAUUCAAAUUGGAGUUGGGCUUUGUCUAUUCGAAUUUUUUUGAUCUGUUUCCCUCAUUUUUCUGAACCCUAAUUUCCCCCACUAUAUAAACCCCAUUUUUAUUCACUAUCGGGUUUCUCUUUUUUUAGAGGAAUUUUUGGGGCAAAAACACGAAGAGUAAGUUAAGAAAAUAGCUAAAAUACAUACAUGUAUAUACAGAAACACAGUCAAGGCCAAGAGGAUUGAGUUUCGAUAGGAGUAUCGCGUUACUACUUCGUUUUGCAUCGGUUUUCUCAAGCUUCACUCGAGUCUGAGGUUCUGCCCGGAAUUCUCGUCCGUCGUUCGUGUUCGAGUCUCGUGGUGAAGAUCGUUUCCUUGCUCGUUUGUAUCCCAGUUGCUGCUCAUCAAAAGGUAUACAACUCUCAAUUCUCGCAUUUGUUUAGAUUCCAAUAGAUGUUUGAGAUCUGAGUUGUAUUAUGUAUUGGUGUGAUUCGAUUGUUUGUGUAUAAAUGAUAAAAGGUUAAUUCUUUGUUGGUGGUGGUUCUCGUUUUGUUUUAUUCUUGACUCUCAUAGCUUUUCAAAACACUCCUUUCACAGUUUAUUCUCUCAAAAUGUAAGACAUUUAAGUAUUGGGGUUUUAAGAAUAUUAAGAGCGACUGGAAAUUUUGAAUCUCUUGAAAUAGCGAGAAUUUGACUUCGGUACUUCGUGUGGAGUUUGGUAUCUCCUUCACGUCUUGUUUGAUUCCGAGUGGUAUGAAAUGAGCACUUUGUUGAUCUCUAUGGCUUCAUCCUUACGUUAUCCUUUAUUUCGAUUUCCGUACCUUUGUUCGAAAGUCUGUUUGGUUUAAAUUUCUAACCGAUCAUCAUGUUAUUGAUUUCACUGUCUUGGUUAAAUGUAUAAAUCCGAUUUAUAGCUUUUUUUUUAGCCUAGUUUUCGUAUUGUUUUGAAUCAUAUGAUUGUCUUGUUGUAAUUAGUAUGCCUAAUACGUCUUCAAGCAUGAGAUGCUCUCUUUCUAGUUUGUCAUUGUUAGUGUAGUUGCGUUUUCAUUCUGAUGGCUUGGCUUCCUCUGUUUAUUGGAUCCCUUUGUUGCCUUACUGCUUUAGCGAUAUGUUAGACCCGCUUCCGUGCUUUCGUUUUACUUAUUUUUUUUGAUGCAAAAUUUGCAGUUGAGUUUUAAAAUGUAAGAUUUCCGCUAAUGAUUCAGAUUUUCAUGACUAUCUGUGUUGCAUUGAAUCCAAUGAUACCAUUCCCAACUAAAUAACAAAAAUGAAUAUGUUUGUAUGUUUGGUAUUUAUUAUUAUUAUUAUUAUUAUUAUUAUUAUUAUUAUUAUUAUUAUUAUUAUUAUUAUUAUUAUUAUUAUUAUUAUUAUUAUUAUUAUUAUUAUUAUUAUUAUUAUUAUUAUUAUUAUUAUUAUUAUUAUUAUUAUUAUUAUUAUUAUUAUUAUUAUUAUUAUUAUUAUUAUUAUUAUUAUUAUUAUUAUUAUUAUUAUUAUUAUUAUUAUUAUUAUUAUUAUUAUUAUUAUUAUUAUUAUUAUUAUUUUUACUUAAAAUUGGUCUAAGUGUUUUUUUUUAUUCAAAAUCGGGGGGGCAUUUGUUAAUUAUGGUUUAUCCAUUUUUGCUUAAAAAUAAUAAUAAAAAAAUAUGUAUGGAAUUCUCAAGCGGUAUAUUAAAAGGCUUAAGUCGGUAGCAUCUCAUCUCCUCAUUUGAUCUUACGUCAUUAUUAUUAUUCUUGGUUUCAUGUGAUAUGUCUUUAGAUAAUAUUUAGGAGUUACUUGUUAUGCAUUAAUUUUUAUUUUUAUUUUUAUCUCAUUUGUUUUUACUUGUCAUAUCAUUCUAUCUAGUUUAUACAUAUAAAUGAUAAUUAUAGGAAUCCUUUGUUGACUCCCUAUUAUUUGAUUUUCCUUAUAGAAUAGCUACAAUAUUGGUAAUUAAGUUAUGUUAGUUUGAUCACUGUAGUGUUAAACUUGCUAAGUCAUUUAUCUCUUAGUCUUAUUGGUUUAAAAUAUAGUAUUAAUCUCAUUUGAUAACAGUUUCUAUGUGUACUCCAGAGUUCUGCCUUAAGUGCUUAACAUUUGUUCGCUGCCUGCAUUCUCAACAAUUCAUUUAAUCAAUGUCAAUUUAAAGGUAUAUGCAUGAAAAUGGAGAGUGGACCGAGGUCAAACUAGAAUUUGUUCACGAUUCGCAUAUCACAUUUCUUUGUUUAUAUCCUAGUAGUAUUUGUGAAUGUGUAUCAGAAUAACUUUAUCCAUUUUUCUCAUUGUAGCUAGCGACGAGUAGUGAUUAUUAGAUUAGUCCUUAAUAUCUUAUUAUGAUUUUGUCGUAUUGAGUUGUUAGUCGCCUUAAUGUUGUUCAUUUUUUAGAAAAUGUGUUAGAAUUUUCUCGUCCCAUGCUAAUAUGAUUUUAUUUGUCUUUGUAUGUGAAAUCCGCCCGAGUUCGCCAUGAACUCUUAUCUUCCCUAUUGCAUUUCGGGAGGGCCGCGAAGGCUCAAGUCUUUUUUUUUUACAUAUCCGAGUCAGCCAGAUCUUAAAAUCGACGAACAGGUCUCGAAAUUGAAAGAAAAGCGGACCAAAUCGGGAGUUGAAAAAGAUUGGGCCAAAGCCUACCUUUAUUUAUUCGGAAUUGUAUUUUGUUAUUAUUGGGCCUAAGUCCUUGCCAUUUUACUUACUAUUACUUGUUAGUUCCUAGGACAGGUGGAGAAAUUGGGCUUAAGGUCCAAAAGAAAGAUAUUUAUUUCAUGUCAGACUAGGACAGGUGCAGGUGACUCAAAUGGGCCGAAAAGCCCAAAACGAAAGUGGGCCCCAAAAUAUUGGCCCAGGCGGACAGAAAAACCAAUUUGGGCCCGAAUCUCCCUCUCUCCUUAUUAUAUAUUUCGUGUUAAUUUUAUUGUUAGUACAUGCUUAUUUGCUAAUUAAUUUUAAGGUUCUUAACUCAUAAUUCCCCAAAGGACACCCAUUUUAAGUUAGCUAACUUAUAGUACUUUAUCUUAAAAUAACUAAGUAUACUUGUCUUUUUUCUAAAUUAAUUUCUAAAAAAAUUAGAAGCUUUUCUCUACUUGGACAUUUUAGAUAAUAUAUUCCCUUUUCCUCUUUAAAUGAUUUUAAGUUAUAAAAUUCGUUCAUUCGGUAACUAGUCAAGCAUGCCCAUUGUUAGCCAAAUAUUUUAAUUGUUGGAUAACCGCAAGUUAGCGGACAUUUUGGGUGUUUUCAAACCCUUCCCGAAAUGUUAAUAAGAACCCCGAACCCCCUUAAUAGUUUUCAAUAGAUUUACUGUUUUGAUCUAUUUGAAAAUGAAUAGUUUUCUUGAUUUUUCUUAAAAAUUAAGUGGCGACUCUUAAACCAGUCAAAAUACAUUUUUAAAUAAAACAGUUAGAGAUUCAUAUGCCAGUAGAAAAUGUGGAGAACUUUUCUAUUUUAUUUCGUAAAAUGUUGGCCUAAUAUGAAUUGAGAUGGGGAACAUGACCAAUGAGGACUGAGACGUAGUAGUUAUUGUUGUUGUUGUAUAUUGAAGCUUCAGAAAUAUUUUUUUCAUGUUCAUACAUUUACUUCAGGCCGAUGCUUUCUAGGAGGUUUGUAGGACUAUAUGAUAGAGUUUCUUAUGCCAGUAGGAAAUAUAGAGAACUUCUAGUACUUUUCAUGAUUAUGUUUAUUUCGUAAAGUGUUGUCCUGAGGUGAAUUUAAGUGGGGAACUUGGUCACAUAUAGACGAUCCCAGCUUAUUUUAGACUGAGACGUAAUUGUUGUUGUUUAUUGAAGCUUAAAGGAUGUGUUUGCUCUUCUCAUGUGUUGACAUGGGGAAUAGGUACAAUAAAAGUCUUCUUGGGGAUAAACUAGGGAAGUUCCCUGUGCCUUUACUGAUAAACACUGUGCACUUUGCGAUGCAAGCUGUUUUGUCCAAGGCCAUUACCGGGUUUUGGCAUCAACGAUUUCAACCUACAGUGAUGAUGUCUUGGAGAGACUAUUCUUUGAAAGGUAACGUUAAGACUAAUAAUUCCCUUUUUUCUUUGGUUUCGAUUGAGUAGAAAACUAAAAGUAUUUGAAAGGCAUAUGAUAUUAUAGAGCAGGAAAUAUGUGUAUAAUGUGUUUAUGCACUUGUCCAGUGGAUUUGUUUACGAAACAUAGGAAGAUGAGAGUAGGAUUAUUAACGAGCUUGAAUGUAUGUGCAUCUUAUGAGUUGACAGCUUCAAUUAGCUAUAGUUUGUGACUUAGUUAAGCCCACAUGUUACACUUAUUGGCUUAUUACUGAUAUAUCGACAAUGGUUUCAAAUGAACUUUUAUGUACACAAAUAGAGGCAGUUCCUGUUACGUACGAGAAUCUCAAUUUUUAUCCAAGUUAGUUCUUCAUGAGUUCAAGACAUAUAAUCUCUUAUGUCUUUCAUUUCUAACCUUUAUGUAGGAAUCUUUUUCCACGACUAAUACUAUAGACGGCCUUUGCCUUUCACAGUUGUACCGACAGCUCUUACAACAGCAAUGGAUGUGAACCUCAGCAAUGCAUCCCUUGUUUUCAUCUCAGUCACAUUUGCCACUAUGGUGUGCAUCAUACAGUUUGUGUCAAUACUGAUAGACUGCAAAUUUUUCUUCAAAAAUUGAGCUCUGAGAAAGCAUGUUUGUUAAACUCACGCCCUUAAUAUUCGUCGAGGGCUCUAAUAUUUGCAUUUAUGUACCUUGAAAUUUAGCAGUCACAACUCUCUGCCACUAAAGUAAGUGUGAUUGUCGAAGCCUUCAAGGGCCACUCAAAUAAUCGUCUAAUAUCAAUAAGAAUAACAGAUUUCUUACUUUGUUUUCUCCUUCCUUAUUCUGAUACGAACUCUCUGCCCAUCUUUCUCCUAUUCUUCGCAUUUGCUUUCAGGUACUACUUUUAACCACUGAUCUCUUAUGUUUAAUUGUGAUUUUUUAUGGGGGGUAGCGGGCCAGAAGCAUCGAAUUUCUACUUGAUCCUCUGUUAUAGAUGUACAUCCAACAAUAUUAUUCAUAAAUGCAACUUUUUUUUCCAUAUUGAGGACUUAAUAGAAUGUGAUUGUUAAUUCGUUAUGGACUAAAAACCUGAAAGCGUCUAUGAAAUAACUAUCUUUGAUGAAUACGAUACAUUUGACGGGGCUCAUAUCUAAGCUGAAUACAUGGCCUCAAUUAUUUGUGUAAGGUUGGAGUCUCCAAAUGUAAAGCUGCUGGGGAUCAUCUUGGUCAUUUCUUGUAUUAUUUAUUCUCAUAUAUGAAGAAGUAUUCAUAAUUUUCAUCUUCAUCUGUCAUUCAUAAAUCAUAUCUGUAACCUUCACUUGUACACCAGAUAAAACGUUUACUUUAUCGUACAAUAUUUUCUCGUUUCACAACUAUCAUUGACAAUUUGGAUAAACUUAGGUAAUCUUCUUAAUGAGUGUUUUCGUAAGCUUUAUCGCCUUGUUGAUAACUGUGUCAUUUGUUAAUUUACAUCCGUUUGGUAGAUAAGUCUGACUCCAUUUUCUGAUAAUGCAGUUGCAAAGGAGACAGAAUUUGAGUUUUGGGAUUUGUCUUUGUUAUGCUUGCUGCAGUUAUGUCUGGAUUUCGCUGGACUAUGACUCAGAUUCUUCUGCAGGUUGGAUUUUGUGACAUUCGUUGCAUUGUUAUAAUUUAUUUCUCGUUCCGUUGUUUUGUCAAUAGUAUGUUUGCUUACUUUGUGUAUUUUUCUGUUUGUUUUCCCAUAUCCAACUGGUUGUGCUGAACAUAAAACUGGCAUAAAGAAAGAAGCCUAUGGUAAUGACUAUGAACAACUCUUAGCAAAUUUUAAAUAUUCUGGAAAUGUUAUUAUCACCAUCAUUAUUAUUAGCAGUCGUAGCAGCAGCGACUGCACCACUACUUAGACUACAUCAAAUCUGAUCUUGUUUUAAAAGGGCAGUUCGAUGCACGAAGCAUCUCACAUUCACGCAGGGUCCAAGGUAGGGCCACACCUCAAGAGAGCAUGAUGUAGGCAGCCUACCCUGAUACAAAUCAGCGGCUAAUUCCAUAGCUCAAACCCUGCUUUGUCUUAGUCCUAGUUUUGACCAAAUUAAUAUGUUGAUUUGUUAUUUGUUUUAUAGUUUGUGAAUAAAUUGUGUAAUGAAAUGCAUGCUUUGGUUAUUGCAGGUUUAAAAAAUCCACUCACACUAAUGAGCUAUGUUACUCCGGUAAUGACUCUUUCAACUGCUGUGUUGUCCCUUAUUUUUGAUCCGUGGCACGAAUUCAGACACACCAAUUACUUUGAUACGUCAUGGCAUAUAGCUAGAAGUUGUUUGUUGAUGCUUUUUGGCGGAACUUUGGCUUUCUUUAUGGUAUGUAUGUGUCCAAGCACUGGUAUCAGUUCAAUUUGUGGAUUUUCCAUCUCAUAGUGAAAAUGAAGCCUUCUAAUAGGCUUAGUUCGUUUAGAAAUGAUCUGAGUGUUCAACUGACACAGUGGAGACGAGUUGAUGUGUCUGAAUGUGCGUUCUCAAAGUUGGAGUGUUUAAACUGUUCCUAGCAGUUUAGUCGUCCUAAAUCAAAACGACUGUAUGUUUACUUAAGCUAUAGUAGUUCAAUCAAAUUGUUGAUAUCGAGCCCGUUUUAGUCAAAAAUGUGACUUUGGCAUGGUUUAAUGGCAUGUGUUGAAGUCGUAAUUUUUCCAUUUUCGCUACUCAUGUAUGAAAAAAUUCAUAAAGGUAGCACAAGUGAAGAUGAAACUGGAUCACCAUUAGGAAAUGCAGCUACCAAGUAUGUUAUACUUGAAGAAAUGGAAGAUCAAGACCAUGGUCCUUGAAGUAUUACAUAUGACAUUUCAACUACGCUGCACUCUGAUGGCGUUUUGUAUUUGCAACGGAAGGAAGGGGACGAAAAAAUGCAUAGAUUUUCUACCAAAUGAAGGUCAAUCGUAUACAUGAGGAAUAUUUCUUAAUCAAGGAAGUUGAGUUUUUUCACCUAGUAGACUAUAAGACAUGUUGCUUAUAGAAGAUAUUACGACUUGAAAAAGAAACUUACAAAAAUGUUACUAGUUAAGAACUAACUACUUAAAUACACUACAUUACAAUAUUCGGAAUUUUACCAUUUAGUGGCGACUUCCAAAAGUCGUUAAAUAACAUUUGAUUAUGGAUUCACAUGUAUCUAGGAUAUACAUUGAUUCUCUCGCUCGCAUCUCUCAUCUCUUGCUCCCCUUUCUUCCUUUCUCGCUCCCCUCUCUUCCUAUGUUAGGAAACCUUUAUGGAAUCCUCCGUUGGGAGUUGGGGGAGCAUUACGUACAAUCUCACAUUUUUUAGAGUGAACUUUGGGCAUUUAAAGACCAAGAUUUUCUUAAUUUUGUGUGUGUGUUAUUCCAUGAAUAAUUUGGUGAUAUGACUUCCGAACGAUUUUUUUUGUGAACCUUUAUGGUACCUUCCGUAGGGAGUUGGUGGAGCAUUACGUACAGUCUCACUAUUUUUAGAGUGAUAUGACGGAGAUAUAACUCCUAAUAGCCCAAAAUAUGUCUAAAAAAUGACAAGACUUCACAUAUUUCUCUCACAACUCUCUACAGAGGGUUCCGUAAUGACUUUGCACAAAAAUCAACCGUCAGUCACAUCACCAAAAUAUUCAUGAAUUAACUGUGUCCACACAAACCCAAUAGCAUAGAUGGAAUUUGGAAAGAUAAUUAUGUUGGGAUAUUUUCUUCCUGUGGUGCUCGCUGCAGCGUACAAUGAUGAGCUGUAUAUGUCUCCAUCUUUUUUCAUUCAUUUUUUUAAAUUUAAAAUGAUCGUUCCAUAGGUGUGAUAAGAUAUGAUAUAUUUUAAUUACACUUAAAGAUUAUGUCAUAAAUUGAGAUAUUUUAUGAGAUAAUUAAUUAUAUUACUAUGUAAAUGAAUAAUUUAUAUUUCAUCAUUAUAAAAUGGAAAAAUUCUUUUGGCCAGAAUGGUAAAAUAACAUAUUUCACACUAUGUUAUUUUAUCUUUUUGAACAUUUUUACCAUUUUAACUUUAAUACCAUUUAAUUAAAAAAAAUUUAAAAAAAUCAGUUUUUUUAAAAAUAAAAAGGAUAUUAUAGACUUUUGAAAAUUUCUAACCAAAUUCUGGCCAAAUUUUCCGGAUUUUGGUUGUAUGAUACUGAAUGUGAGACUGGAAUUGCUGUGCAAAUGGAUUUGGAGGAAAAGUACAUGGAUAAACUUGCAUGUGACCAAGAUAUCAUAGAUUUUGCUAAAUUUUAGGGUUUAAUUUUCAUGUUCUUUCAUUUAAUUUGUACUCCCUUCAUUUUAAUUUUCAUGUUCUUUCAUUUUCUAUGAACACGCUUUGACUAUAAUUAAGUAGCAUUUUAAGUUGUAGCAAGGAUUGUACUAAAAUAAAUAAUGUAAGAUUUUUGUUAGCAUUUUUGUUUACUUGUAGUAGCGAAUGUUCGCUACAAAAAAUCACUAUUUAGUGGCGACUUUCAAAAGUCGUUAAAUAACAUUUAGUUGUGGAUUCACAUGUAUCUAGGAUAUAUACACUGACUCUCUCGCUCGCAUCUCUCAUCUCUUGCUCCCCUUUCUUCCUCUCUCACUCCCCUCUCUUCCUAUGUUAGGAAACCUGUAUGGAAUCCUCCGUAGGGAGUUGGGGAGCAUUACGUACAAUUUCACAUUUUUUAGAGUGAACUUUAGGCAUUUAGAGACCAAUUUACAGGAAUUAUGUGAUUUUCUUAAUUUUUUGUGUGUGUUAUUCCAUGAAUAAUUUGGUGAUAUGACUUCCGAACGAUUUUUUUUGCGAACCUUUAUGGUACCCUCCUUAGGGAGUUGGUGGAACAGUACGUACAGUCUCACCAUUUUUAGAGUGAUAUGACGGAGAUAUAACUCCUAAUAGCCCAAAAUAUGUCUAAAAAAUGACAAGGCUUCACAUAUUUCUCUCACAACUCUCUACAGAGGGUUACGCAAUAGCUUUGCACAAAAAUCCACCGUCAAUCACAUCACUAAAAUAAUCAUGGGCUAACUGUGCCCACACAAACCCAAUAGCAUAGAUGGAAUUUGGAAAGAUAAUUAUGUUGGGAUAUUUUCUUCCUGUGGUGCUCGCUGCAGCGUAUAAUGAUGAGCUGUAUGUGUCUCCAUCCUUUUUUAUUCAUUUUUUUAUUUAUUUAAAAUGAUCAUUUGAUUGGUGUGAUAAGAUAUGAUAUAUUUUAAUUACACUUAAAGAUUAUGUCAUAAAUUGAGAUAUUUUAUGAGAUAAUUAAUUAUGUUAGUGAAAAACUUACAAGAUAACAAAAAAUACAAGAUUACAAUUGAAACUAAAAAUGAAGAAAUAAAUCUCUUCAGGAUGAGGCACGGAUAUCUCGCUCUCUUUAAGGAGAUUCAAGCCCACUGCAACAAAUGUUCUUGACUGAUCCAGCAGUAGUCCUCUUGACUAGCAAAGGUUUGAGUUUCAACACAUCUUUACCCUUUAGCUGGUCGAUUUGCUGAAGAUGAAUCGUCAAUUCUUUGUCUCGAUCAAGGUGUAACUUAUAUAAAAGCAACGGUCAAUUGUAAGCUUGAUGAUUUUCUUCAACAAGCAAACAAAGACGUUGAUCUAGCAUUGCCAUUUUGGCCUCAAGGAAUUAUGGAUGUGGACGAGACGAAUUUAUUCGUCAUGCCACUUCUGGUUGUGCAAGUCACAACAUUUGAAUGUUAAAGUGUUAAAGUGUGCCUUUAGUGUAUUUGUUUAUUUAGUUAUGCAUUAUUGUAAAUUAAUAAUUAUAUUAAAAAAUUAUAAACUAAUGACAUUCUGUUUUGCUAGAAACAGCAAGUACUAUCAUGUUAAUAAAACAAUGUAAUUAAUUGAAUAUAGUAUUUCGUGGGCAGGUGAUAAGUUAAAUGUAGAAAAGUUUGGUCACUUUAACAUUUUACUAUUUAUUUUAGACUGCUUUAAUAUAAUAUAUUAGGCUCUAUUAUACAUUAGAUGAGUAACAAUAAUAAUUAAAUUUCAUCUCAAUUAAGAAUGUGGUUCCACAUCUUUUUGAGAUACUUAAGAAACUCAAGGAUGCGGUUACGCACCUUGGCCAAAUUAUUUCAAUAAUUAAUUUUGUUAAUUCAAACCAAGAGAUGUAAUUUGAGAUUAUUAGAUGUGAUGAACUCGAGAGGGGAAGACGAUUAUGUCUCCAAAUGUCAAGAUCGAGAAUGCAGUUAUGCAUCCGGUUUAAGACUAAUAAAAAUUCAACAAUUAAAAAAUAAGCAAACCAUGACAUAUAUACACAAAUUAUCCAAAAACAUAUCAAGAUAAGUAUAAGUCAAUAAAAGAGACAGUGCUAGAACCACGAGAGUACUCGAGGGAUGCCUAAUACCUUCCCCUUGAUCAACAGAAUUCCUUACCUGAAUUUUUGGUUAGCAAACCAAACAAAGAGUCAUUUCCUUUUGAUUAGGGAUUAAAUAAAAGGUGACUUGGAACAUCAUAACUCAAUUCCAAGUGGCGACUCUGGAAAAAAUAAAAAAAAUAAAAAAUAAUAAUCUCUUAAUCAAUACGAACACUUAGAUUGAAAAAACCCUUUCCGCCGUGCGAAAAAAAGGGUGUGACAUCUCUAGCGACUCCGCUGGGGAUACUAACCAGAAUUCGAGCUUUGUUUUGUUGACUUUUAUUUUAUCUUAUUAUUUAUUUUUUUGGAUAAAUUGUGUGUGAUUGCCUAAUAUGAUACUUGUUGCUCUUUUAUCACUUUUUAUAUUGUUGAACUAUAAAUUGUCUUUCUUAGCGCAACCAUCUGAAUUGGCAUGAUUUAAUGGCACGUAUUGAAGACGUAAUUUUUUCAUUUUCGUUACUCAAGUAUGACAAAAUUCAUAAAAGUAGCACAAGUGAAGAUGAAACUGGAUCACCAUUAGGAAAUACAGCUACCAAGUAUGUUAUAAUUGAAGAAAUGGAAGAUCAAGACCAUGGUUCUUGAGGUUUUACAUAUGACAUUCUAACAAUGUUGCGCUCUGAUGGCGUUUUGUAUUUGCAACGGAAGGAAGGGGACGAAAAAAUGCGUAGAUUUUCUAGCAAAUGAAAGGUCAAGUUGUAUACAUGAAGAAGAUUUGUUAAUCAAGGAAGAUGAGGAAGUUGAGUUUUUUUCACCUAGUAAACUUUAAGACAUGUUGCUUAUAGAAGGGAAAUUUAUUACUCCCUAUGUGCUAAAAAAGUAAUGAUAUACAUUUUUAUACUUAGUAAAAAUUUAACUUUUAAACUUCUCGUUUUACCCCUAAAGUUAGUGGUGAAAGUUUGGUAUUCAGUUCGAGAUUUCCAAAUUUCGAGUUCAAUAGUUAAAAAUAAAUUCAAUUCAAUAUGGUAUUCAGUAAUACCGUAUUAAAGUUGUAGGAUUUGGAAAAGAAUGAUCACAAAUCUUUCUACUUUUUGUUUGUUAAAAUCAUGUCAUUUUUUCUGACUAAGUUAAAGAAAAAGAGAAAUUGGUUUCUUCUUUUGUUUAGAUGAUAAUGUUAGUGGACCUAGCUUGAAAUGUGAGACAAAAUUAUAUGAAUUGAAGUUUGAUUUCGAUAUGUAAUUCGACUGAUUUGAUGUUAUUUUUAUUCUUUAUUUGAUUUCAAGUAUGCAUAAAAAACAAAUGUAACGUAUAUUUACAUCCACACAAAUAUCUACACAUAUUUUUAGUUUAAGAUUACAAAAUUUUAAAAGUCGUCUAUACUUUCAUAAAUUAAUAUCCCAUGAAACUAAGAUACACAAACUAAAACUAGCGGAGUAACUUAGUACUAAUUCGAUUUGCUUCAUACAUUGUUUUAGUACUAGACAUAUAAGCUCGUGCUAACACAGACUCAAUAACAUACAUAGAAUUUGGAAAGACAAAUAAUUAUUAACAUGAUUAUUAUUAAUUUACGAGACUUUUACGAUAAUUUUUUUCUAUUCUAAUUUAUGUGAUACAAAUUAAUUUUCGUGUGUAUUAUUGCAUGGAUUUGGCGCCUCGGAGCACCCAAAAACAUAUUCUGAAAAAUCUUUAUAAGGACCUCUGUAAUGAGUUGGGAACCAUCACUUAUACUCACACUAUUUCUUAACGCUUAUUUAUGCAUUUACUGACCCUUUUUUAGGAAUUACGUAAAAAAAAUCAAUUUUUGGGUGUAUUAGCCUAUGAAUCUGGCGCAUUAGAGCACCCAAUUUUUUUUUCUGAAAAAACUUUAUGAGUAAUUCUAUAAUGAGUUGGAGAUCACCACGUAUACUCACAUCAUUUUUAACGACUAUUUCCACAUUUAUAGAUUCUUUUUUAGAAAUUAUGCAAAUUGCUCGAUUGUUCAUGUGUAUUAGCCCAUGAAUCUGGCGACUCGGAGCACCCAAAAUUGUUUUCUGAAAAAACUUUAUGAGAACCUCUGUAGUGAGUAAGGGAACCACCACAUAUACCCACACCAUUUUUAACAGCUAUUUUCGCAUUUACAGGCCAUUUUUUUAUGAAUUAUGCAAAUUCCUUGAUUUUUCGUGUGUAUUAGCCCUUGAAUCUAGCGCCUCAGAGCACCCGAAAAAAAUUUCUGAAAAAACUUUAUGAGGACUUUCGUAAUGAGUUAGGGAGCCACCACAUAUACUCAUGCAAUUUUUUUAAUGCCUGUUUUUGCACUUACAAGCCUUUUUUAGGAAUUAUGCAAAUUACUCGAUUUUUCGUGUGUAUUAACCCUGAAUAUAUUGGUGACAUGGCUUUCAGACGAAAUUUUUGCAAAACUCUUUACGGAACCCUUCAAAGGGAGUUGGGGGAGCAGUACGUACAAUUUUACCAUUUUUAGAGUGAUUUAUGGGCAUUAAGGAGUCAAUUUACAUUAUUUAGGCGAUUUUCUCAAUUUUUCAUGUGUGUUAGCCGAUUAAUAUUUUGGUGAUAUGACUUAUAGAUGAAUAUAUUACGAAACCUUUAUGGAAUUCUCUGUAGGGAGUUGGGGAAGCAUUGUGUACAGUCUCACCAUGUUUAGAGUGAACUUUUGGCAUUUAGAGGCCAAUUUAUAGUAAUUAUGUGAUUUUCUCUAUUUUUUGUGUGUGUAAUCCCAUGAAUAAUUUGGUGAUAUGAUUCUGAACGAAUUUUUUUCGUACCUUUAUGGUACCCUCCGUAGGGAGUUGGUGGGGCAGUACGUACAGUCUCACCAUUUUAGAGUGAUAUGGCGGAGAAAUAACUCCUAAUAACCCAAAAUAUAUCUGAAAAAUGGCGAGGAGACGUAUUGCUCUCCCAACUACCUACAGAGAGUUACGUAAUAAAUUUGCACAAAAAUCGAUCAUCAAUCACAUCACCAAAAUAUUCAUGAGAUAACUGUGCCAACACAAACCCAAUAGCAUAGAUGGAAUUUGGAAAGAUAAUUAUGUUGGGAUAUUUUCUUCCUGUGGUGCUCGCUGCAGCGUACAAUGAUGAGCUAUAUAUGUCUCCAUCUUUUUUAUUCUAUUUUUCAUUUAUUUAAAAUGAUCGUUCGGUAGGUGAUAUAAGAUAUGAUAUAUUUUAAUUAUAUUUAAGAUAAAAUUUAUUUCAUAAUUUGAGGUAUUUUAUGAGAUAAUUAAUUAUAGUACUAUGUAAAAGAAUAAUUUAUAUUUCAUCAUUAUAAAAUAUAUAAUUUCAGAACUAACUAAUACUCCUAAUUAUUUAUUCUGUAUUUUAUCUUAAUAUUGUUAUCUCUUUUUCUUUAAAUUCCAUAAGUUUUUCCUCUUCAAUUAUUAGGGAGCACGUUUAAAAGGCUUGCAAAACAUUGUUGUAAUUGGCUGGUAGAGUCGUGAGGAAACAACUAAGCAAAUGGAGAAACAAAAAUACUUUUUUCGUUCCAUUUUAAUUAACACAUUUUAUUUGAUACAAUAUUUAAAAAGGAAUGAGACAUAAGUACCUCCUAGACUAUUAUGAUCGAAAUCUCUGAGACACAUCUUAACUAAACUAAGAUCCUAUUAUCCGAACUGUUUUGUUUUUUUUUUGUAAUUUUUUACACCUUUUUGACUUACGUAGCAUCCAAACAUCUCUCACAUGCCUACAUGGAGUCAUGGAGUAUGCCACAUAAAUUAAUGGAUUAGUUCAAUUAUAUAUGCUUUUAUUUGAAGUUUAUUCUUCUACGUUCUUGAAUAAUCGAUUUCUACUAAUACAACUAAGGAUCGUUUGGUAAUUGAUUAGAACUUUACAAGUAUUAGUAUAAUGGAGAUAUUAGUUAUUAACUGUUCCACCUUCUAUCACACAUAAAAUAAAGGCAUAAUACAUAAAUAUGUCAUUUAACUUNNNNNNNNNNNNNNNNNNNNNNNNNNNNNNNNNNNNNNNNGCACAAGUAGACACUUAAACUUAUAUAAAGUUGAACAAAUAGACACACAUGUACUACAUGGCAUCCUACAUGUCAUUUUUUGUCCUACGUGUAUUGUGCCACGUAAAACUCAUGUGUCUACUUGUUCAAGUUUAUACAAGUUUAAGUGUCUACUUGUGCAUAUCCAAAGUUGAAGCGCAUAAAUGUGAAAUGAAGCCAAGUUAAAGGACAUAUUUAUGUAUUAUGCCUAAAGUAAAUGAUACACCAAUUUUUUCAUAACUUAAACAUACAUUAUUCUACAAGUUCUAAAAUUACAAAUCAAACGUUAUAUUAAGGUGUACGCCUCGUACCCCUAACUCUUCUCUCUCUCUAUACAUAUAUACACCUAUUUUUACCACAACUCUUCAUUCACAUUAAAGCUAGAAAUGGCAGAAGAAAUGAUGAACAACAAACAAAUCAUUCUAAAACAUUAUGUGGAAGGUUAUCCUAAGGAAUCUGAUAUGGAAUUUAAGAAUAGUAUCAUUAAAUUGAGUGUUCCAGAAGGUUCUAAUGUUGUUAUUUUGAAGAAUCUUUACUUGUCUUGUGACCCUUACAUGCGUAACCGUAUGAGCAAACUUGAGGGUAGCUAUAUUCAAUCCUUCACUCCUGGUUAUGUAAGUAUUUCAAUAAUUUACUACCACACAUGAUUAUUUAGUUGAUAUAUAUUAUACGAGAGUCAAAAAAAUAUAUUUAAUGUAUUUUUAUAAAUAGGUGUUUGGAUUAAUUUAUUUUAACAGUUUUUGGCUUUUAAUCUUCUUUUGAAACUUUUUGAAGGUGUUUGAUAAAAAACACCUUUUUAAGGCUGAGAAAUUACAAAAAUAAGUUAAAAGUAUAGAUAUUCUCAACUCGUGACUUUUAAGUUUUUGCUUAUAAGAUACUUAAAACAAAGUCAAUCUAAACAGCCCGUGAUCGUGGAUCUGGGCAGGGUGGUGAGUACUGGCUUAAUUUCUAUCUUGUGGAGGUAGAGAGAUUAUUUUCAAAAGACUUUCAAAAUCAAGUCCGAAUUUUGAGAGUCGAACUUGUUAAUCUUGAUCUGGAUUUGAAUAUAAAAUCUUUAAUUUUUUAUAAAUAUUCAAGAACAAUGUUAAAAGUAUUAUAAAUCAUAACAAUUGAAUAUAAAAUCUUUAAAUAGUGUAGACCUUGAUUGUUUCAAAUUUAACAUUAUGUUUUGUCUGCAGCCUAUUACAGGAAAUGGAGUGUCUAAAGUUUUGAAAUCUGGUGAUUCAAAUUUUCAAGAAGGUGACUUAGUUUGGGGAAUGACUGGAUGGGAGGAAUAUACUAGUAUUGUAACAACUACUCAAAGUAUGUUUAAAAUUGAUCAUGACAAGGAUGUGCCUCUUUCCUAUUAUACAGGAAUCCUUGGUGAGUGUUUUCGACUGGGUUAAAGUCUUACAUUAGUUGGGGUCUCUACAUAUAUGGAUUUGAAAAAAAUAAUUUUCGGGAUUGAGUUAGGCCCAGGCGUCAUAACUUUACAUGAUAUAUAUAUAUCUAUAUAUGAACCAAGUUCAUCCCUAUUUGGGAUCUUGGUCCACACGCUCCAGUUGGGCUUGCACUUGAAGGGGGGUCUAGAGUCCCACAGUGGUACUACAACAAAGCCAACUUUUAGCGGCAAUAAAUAGACACAUUAAUAAAGAGUGCUAAAGUCUUUACUGGCAUUAGUUAAGUGUCGUUAGAUCCAAUGUCGCUAAAGGCUUUAGGGGCAUAUACAAAGAGUGCUAAUUGCCACUAAAAAUACAUAUUUAGUGCCAAUUGAUCUAUUACCGUUAAUUAAUUGCCACUAAAGAUCGUUUUUGAUGUAGUGAUGGUUGGUUGGGGAAUAGACUGGUAAUCUGCUUAUAUGGACUCAGACAAUAAUCUUCUGCUUUUGCAGGGAUGCCUGGGAUGACAGCUUAUGCUGGAUUUUAUGAGGUUUGCUCCCCUAAGAAGGGAGAAACUGUGUUUGUUUCAGCUGCUUCUGGAGCAGUUGGUCAACUUGUUGGACAAUUUGCAAAGAUGUUAGGUUGUUAUGUUGUUGGUAGUGCUGGAAAUAAACAAAAGGUAAGUGCUUAAACAUUUCAUUCUUGAAUUUUAUUAGUGGCUUAUAAGUUAUCUUACUUAUCUUAAUCAUUGUUAAAUAAUCUAGCUAUCUCAUCUAUUCAUUAUUAUUAUUAAAGGUUGAUAUGUUGAAGACCAAGUUUGGUUUUGAUGAAGCUUUUAACUAUAAAGAGGAGCAGGAUUUAGAUGCAGCUUUGAAGAGGUAAGUAAUCUUAUAAAUUCCCACAAGAAAACACUAACUAAUAUGGAAAAAAAUAGUUUCCAGGGUGAAGGUGUUGGCAACGACUUCUUUUUUAACCUUAACGAUGUGGGGGGUUAGGCUUGACCCCUACCAUGUCUAUAACAUCCAAAAAGUUAAAAAAGUAGAGGGGGACAUGGACCUAACCUCUUGAUAGUGAACAACGAGGAUAAACUAAACAAUCUACAAAAAGACCAAGAUGACAUAGACUUUCAUACUAUAAGAAAAAUACACUGGUUCAAUUAACAAAAAAAUUAAAUUUGUCGUAUCUUCUCCUUAUGCUAAAGUUGCCACUUAUCUAGUAGAAAUAGUCCCUUCACCUCAGAAGAAUUGUGUGUGGUGGAUUGAACAUUAAGGGCAUAUAUGAAAAGAUAGCUAAUAUAACGCUAAAGGUAUAUAUGAACUGAUAGUAUAACGGAAAAGCAAUACUAGACCUUUAAUUUUCAAUAAUAUAGGAGUAAAUAUGACCUUUUUUUCGUAUUGGUUUAUUCUAUUAGGUACUUCCCUGAUGGAAUUGCCAUUUACUUUGAGAAUGUUGGAGGUAAGAUGCUUGAUGCAGUUCUUGUGAAUAUGAAACUUCAUGGUCGUAUUGUUGUGUGUGGAAUGAUUUCACAAUACAACCUUGACAAGACUGAAGGAGUGCACAACUUGUUUUGCCUUAUCGCGAAACGAAUCCGUAUGGAAGGAUUUCUUGUUUUUGAUUACUAUCAUCUUUAUCCUAAAUAUUUGGAAAUGAUCAUUCCACAAUAAAGGCUGGUAACAUUGUGUAUGUGGAAGACAUAGCUGAAGGUUUUGAAAGUGCUCCUAGUGCUCUAGUUGGUCUCUUCUCUGGUCUCAAUGUUGGAAAGCAAAUUGUGAUGAUUUCAUGUGAAUGAAUGGAUUUGGAUCUUUUCCAUUUUCUCUCAAGUUUUUACUUGAAAGGAAAGAUAUUGUGUCAUGGUUAAAUACUUAAAUACGCAAACAUUUCUAUCAUGUAUUUACUAAUUCUCUGUGUGGUUUGAAAUAAUUAGUCAUUAAUUGAUAGUUUCAUACUAGAUUUCAAGUCAGAUAUACUUAGGUACAUGUACUUUUGCUGCUAGAUACAUUCUGAAAUGCAGAUACAUAGGAAGAGAGUGAGCGAAAGAAGAGAAAGGAGAGAUGAGAGAGGCGAGAGGCAAGCGAAAGAGUUAGUGUAUUCCAGAUAUAUGCAAAUUACACUAGAUACAUAUAAUAUGAGUGAGAGAGUCAGUGUUUCCAAAUACAUAUAAAUUAUCCUUGAAUACAGUAUAUCAUGGAUGUGUCGCAUACAUGUGUUUGGGAACUGAAAUCUGACACAAACAAUAAUUUCAAAGAGGCACAUAAUUAAACUCUAAAUUAAAGAAAUUCUUAUCGUUUGCCCUUGAACUUAUUUAGGCAAAUAACAAUAAUUUUUAAUAAAAUAAACAGCAAUAAAAUACAUGGUGAAUAGCAAUGAUCAUUAGAGUAAAUAUAAUGUAUUUUAUUAAUAUUGAAAUAUGUGAAAAGAAAAAUAUUAUAGUGUAGCACAAGAUUGUAGGAGGUGUUUAUGAAAAAGAGAAGGGCAAAGCUUUUAAAUUUGAUGGGUAGAUAUCCUAAGUAGGGAAAAUAAAAGGUCGGAAGAGAUUAAAGAUUGCGAGAUUAAUAAUAAUUAAUAAAAUUAAAUAUAUAUAAUAUAGUAAUGAUGAGUAUAUUUUCUUAGAAAAUGAAUGAGUUUCAUAUAUAUUUUCUUAUAUUUAAUACGCGUAAGUAAAAAAUAUUUGUGUAUAAUCUAGAAUACUAUGUCAGGUAGGCAUGUGGGAUAUAUAUUGUUUCCCGAUGGGGAUGAGAGUGUAGAUAAAGUGUGUUAGAGAAUGGGGAGGACACAACUGAAGUUGAAUUUCAUUUGCGAAACUUAUUUUCCUACUUUCAGGCAUGGGAGGAACCAACCUUCAGAUGAACCCCCUUUGACAAAAAUAUUACUAUUUAUACAUGGUUAAAAUUAUUUUUUAUGUAUAUAUAAUAGAUGUCGAACUCCCUUCAGUUAGUUCGUGUGUUUAGUUCUUUAGAUAUUGAACCCCCUUAUUAAAAAUCCUAGGUCCGCCACUGCUUCCAGGAUAACUUUUACUAUACGAACAUGAAAAAAUUACUGGGCAUAUGAGUUUGAUAUAGCCCAUUUGAUACCUUCGUAUCCGAGUUCUCAAAAUUUCACUUCAAAGGUGCUGAGUUGGAAUCCCAUUCUAACUAACGAUUCUUGAGGUUCCGGAGGUACAACUACAGGAGAACCAGGAUUGGAGGGCUCCCCCGCCCCCCGUUCCGCCCAACUCUUUGGUCUUAAGAACGCUGGUUUUAAGAAUGAGUCAUUGCCUUUCUCCGACCCUGACUACCCAGCCUGAGAGCGGACAGCUAAUGCGUUCCACUUAUUGAACAGGGUCCUAUGGUCGGUCCGUGACCCCCGGAUGCCGAAGCCAUCCUUGGGGUGAUCUCAUAGUUCCUACGGGGUGGAGAUGAUGGGGUCGGUCCAUGGAUUUUCCUUCCUUUUCUUUUGCCGCAUUACGCUCAAAGGGUUGAAGGGAGAUAGUGCAUCAACCUGUUCGCAAGGGCCAACUUGAUCCUAUUCCCCAGAGAUCUCAGAUGAGGGAACCCUGGGAGAGAAAAAUGUUUCCUCCGCGCACCCUAUUUUAUUUUUCGUUUCUUGUUCAAGAACCCUUUAGAUGUUAGAAACAUUGAGGAUAAGUGAACUUCAUUCUCCCAACUGAAUGUUUAUUCAUUAUGUAUAUAUGAUAUGAAUGGAUUAACAAUUUGUCCUAUGAUAAUGUUUCUCAUAAGUACUUCUCUUUUGUGUUAUGUUAUAGCCUAUCACAGGAUGUGGGGUGGCUAAAGUUUUGAAGUCUGGUGAUUCAAAUUUUCAAGAAGGUGAUUUAGUUUGGGGAAUGAUUGGAUGGGAGGAGUAUAGUAUUGUAACUGCUACUCAGAGUGCUCUGUUUAAAAUUCAUGACAAGAAUGUACCCAUAUAGACGAUCCCAGCUUGUUUUAGACUGAGACGUAAUUGUUGUUGUUGUUUAUUGAAGCUUAAAGGAUGUUUUUGCUCUUCUCAUGUGUUGACAUGGGGAUCAAUAGGUACAAUAAAAGUCUUCUUGGGGAUAAACUAGGGAAGUUCCCUGCGCCUUUACUUAUGAACACUGUGCACUUUGCGAUGCAAGCUGUUUUGUCCAAGGCCAUUACCGGGUUUUGGCAUCAACGAUUUCAACCUACAGUGAUGAUGUCUUGGAGAGACUAUUCUUUGAAAGGUAACAUCAUGACUAAUAAUGCUCUUUUUUCUUCUUAACAACUAAUACUAUAGACGGCCUUCGCCUUUCACAGUUGUACCAACAGCUCUCACAACAGCAAUGGAUGUGAACCUCAGCAAUGCAUCCCUUGUUUUCAUCUCAGUCACAUUUUCCACUAUGGUGUGCAACUCUUUCUCCUUAUACAGUUUGUGUCAAUACUGAUAGACUGCAAAUUUUUCUUCAAAAAUUGAGCUCUGAGAAAGCAAGCUUUGUUAAACUCACGACCCUAACAUUUGUCGAGGGCUCUAGUAUUUGCAUUUAUGUACCUUGAAAUUUAUCAGUCACAACUCUCUGCCACUAAAGUAAGUGUGAUUGUCAAAGCCUUCAAGGGCCACUCAAAUAAUCGUCUAUUAUUGAUAAGAAUAACAGAUUUCUUACUUUGUUUUCUCCUUCCUUAUUCUGAUACGAAUGCUGGAUUCCUAAAUGCAAUUUAUGUCAUUGCAGUGUAAAUCUGCAUCUCCCAUCUUUCUCCUAUUCUUCGCAUUUGCUUUCAGGUACUACUUUUAAUCACUGAUCUCUUUUGUUUUAUUGUGCUUUUUUUAUGGGGGUAGCCGGUCCAGAAGCAUCGUAUUUCUACUUGAUCCUUUGUUAUAGAUGUACAUCCAACAUUAUUGUUCGUAAAUGCGACUUUUUAUUCCAUAUGAGGACUCAAUAGAAUAUGAUUGUUAAUUCACUAUGAACUAAAAACCUGAAAGCAUCUUUGAAACAACUAUCUUUGAUGAAUACGACACAUUUGACGGGGAUCAUAUCUAAGCUGAAUAUAUGGCCUCAAUUAUUUGUGGAAGGUUGGAGUCUCCAAGUGUAAAGCUGCUGGGGAUCAUCUUGGUCAUUUCUGUUGGGAUACUAUUAACAGGUAUGUUCCAUGCUUGCAUUUAGUUGUCUUGGUAUUGUUUUUCGUAUUUUAUAUUCUCUUAUAUGCAAAAGUAUUCACAAUUUUCAUCUUCAUCUGUCAUUCAUAAAUCAUAUCCGUAACCUUCACUUGUGCACCAGAUAAAACGUUUACUUUAUCAUACAAUAUUUUUCGUUUCACAACUAUCAUCGAUAAUUUGGAUAAACAUAGGUAAUCUUCUUAAUGAGUGUCUUCGUAAGCUUUAUCGUCUUGUGGAUAACUGUGUCGUUUGUUGAUUUACAUCCGUUUGGUAGAUAAGUCUGACUCCAUUUUCUGAUAAUGCAGUUGCAAAGGAGACAGAAUUUGAGUUUUGGGGAUUUGUCUUUGUUAUGCUUGUUGCAGUCAUGUCUGGAUUUCGAUGGACUAUUACUCAGAUUCCUCUGCAGGUUGGAUUUUGCGACACUCGUUGCAUUAUUAUCAUUGAUUUCUCGUUCCGUUGUUUUGUCAAUAGUAUGUUUGCUUACUUUGUGUAUUUUUCUGUUUGUUUUCCCAUAUCCAACUGGUUGUGCUGAACAUAAAACUGGCAUAAAGAAAGAAGCCUAUGGUAAGGACUAUGAACAACUCUUAGCAAAUUUUAAACAUUCUGGAAAUGUUAUUAUCAUCAUCAUUAUUAUUAGCAGUCGUAGCAGCAGCGACUGCACCACUACUUAGACUACAUCAAAUCUGAUCUUGUUUUAAAAGGACAGUUCGAUGCACGAAGCAUCUUGCAUUCACGUGAUGUAGGCAGCCUACCCUGAUACAAAUCAGCGGCUAAUUCCACAGCUCAAACCCUGCUUUGUCUUAGUCCUUGUUUUGACCAAAUUAAUAUGUUGAAAAUCGUUAUUUGUUUUAUAGUUUGUGAAUAAAUUGUGUAAUGAAAUGCAUGCUUUGGUUAUUGCAGGUUUAAAAAAUCCACUCACACUAAUGAGCUAUGUUACUCCGGUAAUGACUCUUUCAACUGCUGUGUUGUCCCUUAUUUUUGAUCCGUGGCACGAAUUCAGACACACCAAUUACUUUGAUACGUCAUGGCAUAUAGCUAGAAGUUGUUUGUUGAUGCUUUUUGGCGGAACUUUGGCUUUCUUUAUGGUAUGUAUGUGUCCAAGCACUGGUAUCAGUUCAAUUUGUGGAUUUUCCAUCUCAUAGUGAAAAUGAAGCCUUCUAAUAGGCUUAGUUCGUUUAGAAAUGAUUAUCAAUUAUUAAAGAACUUGGACGUACAUAACGAUAAGUACUUCUUCAUGCUUACCUAGCAACGUUUGUUUACUGCAGGUGUUGACGGAAUAUAUUCUUGUGUCUAUCACAAGUGCAGUAACAGUGACAAUAGCGGGAGUUGUAAAGGAGGCGGUAACUAUCUUGGUACGUCGUAGUAGGUUCAACCUUUAAAGUGUCUAUCUAUGUAUUAUGUCAAAGCAAUUUUAUGCACUUUUAAGUCCUAUUUUUGCUGGUUGACUGAAGCUUACUUACCUCAAAGAUAUUGUACUAUUCGAACACUGAUAGACUGAGAUAGGACGUGGAUUGCUUCAAUCUUGAAUAUUUUUCGAUAUUUGUCAAAUAUCUAUGGUCUAUGGAGUCCAUGGUUUCAACAAUUUGUGUAAUAGCUGGUAAUUUGCUGCCCUGUUCAGGUUGCUGUGUUUUAUUUUCACGACGACUUUACCUGGAUGAAAGGGUUCGGUCUCCUGACGAUAAUGUUUGGUGUCAGUUUGUUUAACUGGUACAAGUAAGUGACUGAAUCCUUCAUGUUCUAGCAAGAAGUUAUCUCAUAAUGUCUCGUUCUGCACUGACAUUAAAAUUAGAUUUACUGAACACAAUAUGUGUGCAUUCUGUUUUAUGUUAUCAAUUUAUGAUCCUCAGUUAGUAGACACCUUAACUUAGCCUCAACUGAUCAAAGUAAACACUCCAACUUUGAGAAUACGCAUCUAGACACCUCAACUCGUCCCCACUGUGUCUCGUGACAUUGACAUGACAAAUAGAUUUUGGAGGUGUCUAUGUUGAUUGUUUUGUAAGUUGGAGUGUUCAACUGACAUAGUGAAGACGAGUUGAGGUGUCUGGAUGCGUGUUCUCAAAGUUGGAGUGUUUAAACUGUUCCUAGCACUUUAGUCAUCCUUAAUCAAAACGACUAUAUGUUUACUUAAGCUAUAGUAGUUCAAUCAAAUUGUUGAUAUCGAGCCAUUUUUAGUCGAAAAUGGGACUUUGGCAUGGUUUAAUGGCAUGUGUUGAAGUCGUAAUUUUUCCAUUUUUCGUUAAUCAGGUAUGACAAAAUACAUAAAGGUAGCACAAGUGAAGAUGAAACUGGAUCACCAUUAGUAAAUGCAGCUACCAAGUAUGUUAUACUUGAAGAAAUGGAAGAUCAAGACCACAGUCCUUGAAGUUUUAGUCAUAGUCAUAGUUUAUUUUAUUUGUAAUUCGCAGCAAACAUCCCAUUUUUUUGUUCAUCUGGUUCGGUAUACAAUUACUCAUUCGGUAUACAAAUGUAUAAAAUGUGUUUGUAUUUGUAUAAAGUGAGAGAAAAAGUGUAUAUACAAAUACAGAUACAAAUACAUAUAUUUUCAUCUUAUACACUUAUAAUUAAACAAAUACAGAUCUUAUUAUACAAAAUACAAUGUAUAAAUGAAUUUAUACAAAACUGAACAAUUUGUAUAAAUUGGAUGUAUCUAGCAAAUUAUACAAAUCAAAAGCUCCAUAACAAACAUAAAAUUUGCUAUGAAACGCAAUUAUGCAAACUAUAGUUAUAACAUACAAAUAUAAUUUUUAUGUUUGCUAUAUUGAAAGUUGCUCUAAUUUUUUUGUGAAAGACAUUCUACAUUUACUUCUUAAGGAAAAGACACACUACAUUUACUUCUCAAGGAAAAGGCACUCUCUUUUGGGAAGAUGCAUGGUUAAUUCCGAACGAAACUCAAAGACAGAAAUUUAUAGGCCCUCUACCUUGGAAUGCCCUAACAAAGACACUGUUGUGAACACGACUGGACAAGUUGUGGGCUUGAGGCUAACUAAACCACAAAGAGGCCCAAGAAUUAGACAGCCCAAUACUUGUUUUCCUUGGGAUCCAGGUUGAGUAGACUUGAUUUAUCGUAUUCAUAAUUUCUAGCAAAUUACAACGGAAGGGGAUGAAAAAAUGCGUAGAUUUUCUAGCAAAUGAAGGUCAAUCGUAUACAUGAGGAGGAUUUGUUAAUCAAGGAAGAUGAGGAAGUUGAGUUUUUUCACCUAGUAAACUUUAAGACAUGUUGCUUAUAGAAGGGAAAUAUAUUACUCCCUAUGUGCUAAAAAAAUAAUUAUAUACAUUUUUAUACUUAGUAGAAAUUUAACUUUUAAACUUCUCAUUUUACCCCUAAAGUUAGGGGUGGAAGUUUGGUAUUCGGUUCGAGAUUUCCAAAUUUUAAAUUCGAUAAUUCAAUAAUUGAUAGUUAAAAAUAGAUUCAAUUCAGUACGGUAUUCAGUACUAUCAUAUCGAAGUUAUAGUCUAUUGUAUAACAAAAUUAAUAUUGUUACUUCAGUCAUUUUGAUUUUUUUAUAUGAAUGCACGAUAUAAUAGAAAAUUAACAACUAAGAAGACAUCAAGAUCUCUGCCACUGUAUACAUGAUUUGUAUUAAUGCAAGAUUGUGUUUAAUCCAUUGUUAAUGACCUUCUCAAAAAAUAUUUAUAAAUUUCCUAGGGAAGCCAACUUAUUUUUUAAAACAUGUCAGAGUAAUAAUUUCUGGAACAACUUGACGUAAAAACAGGUUGAACCUUAUCUCGAUUCGGUAUUAUUUUCUCCGUUUAUUUUUAUUUAUUUUAAUUUAGAAAAUUAAAAAAUAAUUUAUGUUUUCUCAGCAGUUUAGUUUAGAAAAUUAAGAACAACUCCCUCUCUCAGUCUCGCUCGCCAUUCUCCUCCCUAUAACAUGUAGCUACGAAUUAUAAUUAACAAAUUAUAUUACUCCCUAUUUUAUGCGGCACUUUUCAAAUUUUGAGAUUCAAUUAAGUCUAUCUAUAACUGUAAGUUUUUUAUAGAUCUUUUAAACAUUUUAAAUUAUCAAUUAUUGUGACUUAUAACACUUUCUACAUAGUUUAUAAAUAUAUAAAUUUCAUUUUAAAAAAUUAAAGAUAUCUUCGCAAAUUUCCAGCGAAACUUAAAACUUUCAAAAAAAUGAAAAGUGUCACAUAAAUUGGGACAGAUGAAAUAAUAAUAUUAAUACCUAGCAAUAUUUAAUAAUUUAUUGGUUGGUACACCUAACAAUCUCGUAAUCGUAUAGCAACAAUAUUUUAAUACUCCCCCUGUCCCAUAUUAUAUGUCACCUUUUUCAUUUGCAUUUGCAUUAAGAAAUGAAUUAUCAAUUAUUGUGUCUUAUAACACUUUUUAUAUAGUUUACAAAUAUAUAAAUUUCAUUUUAAAAAAUUAAAGAUAUCUUCGCAAAUUUUCGACGAAACUUAAAACUCUAAAAAAAUGAAAAGUGUCACAUAAAUUGGGACAGAUGAAAUAAUAAUAUUAAUACCUAGCAAUAUUUAAUAAUUUUUCGGUUGGUACACCUAACAAUCUCCUAAUCGUAUAGCAACAAUAUUUUAAUACUCCCUCCGUCCCGUAUUAUAUGUCACAUUUUUCAUUUGCACUUACAUUAAGAAAUGAAGUAAUUUUACCCUUAUGCCCUUAUUUAAUGUUUGCUUAAAACAACUUUGUAAUAAAUGAUGAAUAGGUUAGAUUUCAAAAAUAUAAAUGCAUUUGGAUGACUUUAAAUUUUAGAGUUUAUUUUUGGAGCCAAAAAAUUUCACCAAUUGAUCCAAAAAAAAUUAAAAAUCAAGUUUUUUCCACCUCAAUUUUCCUAUAUAUUUUGUGUAAAAUGUUUUUUUAUAUUUUAUAUAUAAAUUCUUAAAGCAAACAUGACAACAUCACAAAAUAUUCAAAUUCCAUUACUUUAAAUUAAUCUAAAUUUUCCUGCUGAAUCUGAUGUUAUUGAUAAUGAAAUUAGACGACAAAUGAAUUUUAGUUCUAGUUCGACAAAUCAUUUAUUUUUUUUAUUUAAACAUCGAGGCACAUAUUAAAGAAGAUUUGAAUACAAAUAUUGGUUUGUUGUUUUGUUUAAAAUUUUGAUUCGUAUUUUAAUUGUUUUAUUUAUAUUUAUAUACUUAAUUCAUUUUUACAAUACCAUUUGAAGGGCUGCAAACUGCAUCAGAAGAAGAUAUAUUAUCGAAAGAGUCAACUACAAAUAUUGGUUUGUUGAUAUUUUUUUUCAAAAUUAGAUUCUAUAGAAUAAGUAGUGAAUAAAGAAAGUAGUUAAUUAAUGAAUGAAGUACUCUCCCAAUGAAAUUAAUUACUUGUAGAUUUUCUAGGUUAAUCAAAGUAAAUACAUUUUCAAGAUUAAUUGAUUAAUCUAUCAAGGGUAUAAUGGAAAAAAUAUGAUAAUUUAUGCAUAAAUUUUAUAAAAUGAUAUAUAUUGUGGUCCAGCUAUUUUUAGAAAGGGAUGACAUAUAAUAGGGUUACGGAGGGAGUAAAAGAUCCGUACACAUGCAAUUGGUUACUGAUUUAAAAUAAUUUGUCUCUACUCUCAUCCAAAUAUGUAAUCUGACUGAUUUUAUGUUAUUUUUAUUCUUUAUUUCAAGUAUGCAUAAAAAAACAAAUGUAAUAUACAUAAUUAUUUAAUUAAAUUGAAAAAAAAAGUUAAGUUUUUUUUAAAAAAAUGGACAAGAUUCAACAAGAAGAAAGGUAGAAGAGAGAUGAAAAAUGGUAAUGGGCUUGAGGUGGGGGAGGGGUGAGUGUAGAGGCUAAUUAUUUAUUUAUUUUUUAAUUUAUAUAAACACAAAAUUAGAUCAAUUAUAUAAGGUUAUAUAUUAAAUAAUUUUUAAUUAUUUAAAUAGAGAAGGACCCAAAAUUUUCCCAAGCUAUGACAUUUAAUUUGUAUAAUAUUGUCCUUUGUUCAUAUUAAAGUGUGGUCCGUAAAAAAUAAAGACAUAUUGUACCAAACAAGUUAACGCUGAGAGCAUUUCUAACUCGAAAAAUUGACGAAGAACAGUUUUAUAUCAAAUAAAUAUGAAUCCUUUUACAAAAUUUUAAAAGUUAUCUUUACUUUCUUAAAUUAAUUUCCCGUGAAACUAAGAUACGCAAACUGGAACUAACGGAGUAACUUAGUACUAAUUCGAUUUGCUUCAUACUAUUAUUUUAGUACUAUGAUUAUCUCUUUUUCCUCUUCGAUUAUUAGGGCCACAUUUAAACUGCUUGCACAACAUUUCUAGCUGUAAUUGGUAGGUAAAGUCCUUGAGUGAACAGCUAAGAAAAAGAACAAAGCAUUGAACAUGUGGGAAAAAAUAUAUCACUCCCUCCAUAUUAUUGUAUUUUUCACUUGACACGAUAUUUAAAAAAUUUAAAAUAAUUUAUAGUUAUUUAAAUAUCUAUGACUCGAUUAUUUUAUUUCAUAAGUUUUAAAAGUUUAUUCUUUCUUAAAUUUAAUGUCGAUUUAAACUAAGGACAAUCGAGUAAUAUUUAGUUUAUGUAGCACUUUUUUAAAUUUUACUUCCUUUGGUCAAUUUAUGUAGCACUUUUUGUUUUUCGAUAGUUAAAUGGUUUAAUAAAAAAUUUGCGCAUUGAAUCUUUAAUUUUUUAUACUUAGUAGAAAUUUAACUUUUAAACUUCUCGUUUUACCCCUAAAGUUAGGGGUGGAAGUUUGGUAUUCGGUUCGAGAUUUCCAAAUUUCAAAUUCGAUAAUUCGAUAAUUGAUAGUUAAAAAUAGAUUCAAUUCAAUACGGUAUUUAAUACUAUCGUAUUGAAGUUAUAGUCUAUUGUAUAACAAAGUUAAUACUGUUACUUCAGUCAUUUUAAUUUUUCUAUGUGAAUGUACGAUAUAAUAAAAAAUCAACCAUGAAGAAGACAUCAAGAUCUCUGCCACAUGAUUUGUAUUAAUGCAAGAUUGUGUUUAAUCCAUUGUUAAUGACCUUUUCAAAAAAUAUUUAUAAAAUUCCUAGGGAAGCCAACUUAUUUUUUUAAACCAAGUCAGAGUAAUAAUUUCUGGAACAACUUCACGUGAACCUUAUCUCGAUUUGGUAUUAUUUUCUCCCUUCAUUUUUAUUUAUUUUAAUUUAGAAAAUUAAGAAAUAAUUUAUGUUUUCUCAACAGUUUAGUUUAGAAAAUUAAGAACAACUUCCUCUCCCAGUCUUGCUUGCCACUCUCCUUCCUAUAACAUGUAGCUACGAAUUGUAAUUAACAAAUUAUAUUUAUAAAGCGUAAUUAGAUUGUUUUUGAGUGGCUAUAUAUGAAAGUUCCUCAUUUUUUUAUUUCGUAAAAUUUUAUUUUUAACAAAAAAAAUUUAUAUCAACAAAUUUUAAUUAAUGUAAAUAUCACUUCAUUAGUAUAUCGAUCUGAUCAAUUUACUAUCAGUUUAGUUUUAAAUAAUACUUUGAUCUUUGUUAAUGAAUUAAUUGUUUGAUAAUAAAUUUAAGUCUAAAUUGUUAAUUUCAAUACAUGAAUAUUCUUAAUUUAAUUUGUUCAUUAGUUGAUCCAUUGAUCCAAUGAGCUAAUUUGAAACAUUAUACACGUUUUUAUUUUAAGAUCAUGAGAUUUUAAAAAUCGUCUUUACUUUCUUAAAUCAAUAUUUUAUAUAAUUAAGACACACAAAUUAAAAUUAAGGGAGUAACUUAGUACUGAUUUGAUUUGCUUGACACUGUUCUUUUAGUCUGUGUCAACACUAGUGUUCACUGUUUGGAUAAAAACCGAUCCAAAUCGAAAAACCAAAUCAAAUCGAUAAAAUAAAACCCAUUUUAUUUGGGUUUAGUUUGAUUUUAGAUUUUUGAAAAUCGGUAGUAUUUGGUUUGGUUAUGGUUUUACUCGAAAAAACUGAGGAAAUAAUCGAACCGAACUGAUGAAUUAUAUACAUAUAUUUUAUUAAUAUACAUACUUAAUAUAUUGUUUUUAUAAACAAUUUUAAAGAUCUUAUAUAUGUUUUCAAUAAAAUUUCUUUAUAUUUUACUUAUUGAAAGCAAAGAAUGCCCAAGGCGAAAACAUUUAUCUUAUUGAUUUCAUGUAAUAUGAGUGUCUAUGACAAUUCUUUGUUAGACUGAAAAUGUUAUUGUCACUUCCUUUUUGGGCAAUAUAGUGAAUUUUAAAGUUUUAUUGAUAGUAAAUUCAAUGAUCGAAAGUUCGGUAAUUUAAGUCAUUCUAACUAUUUUUUAUUUUGAAUGGAUUGUUGUCACUUUUUUCACAUUUUGAAUGAAUUGUUUCUUUUAUUUAUGUGUAUGGUUAAUAACCGAACCAAACUAAACUGAAACCGAUAACCACCAAACCGGUAAAUGUAUAUUAUAUUUGGUUUGGUUUGGUUUUGAUAAUUUUAAAACCGAUUAAGUUGGUUUGGUUUUAAUUUUGACCAAUAACCGAUCCAAACCAACUCGUAAACACCCCUAGUCAACACAAACCUAAUAACACAGAUAGAAAGACAAUUAAGGUUUUUUAAAAAGUAUUUUAUUAUUAAUUAUGGUAAUAUAUAAAAAAAAAAUUAUCUCAAUAUAUAUGAUACUGAUAAAUUUUCAUGAGUACUCACAACUACUGAAUUUGCACAUGCAGUUUGUGUGGCUGCGUGCGGAAAGGUCAGUAUGUCUCUAUCUUGAGAUAAAAUUAUUUCAUAAGUUGAGAUAUUUUAUGAGAUAAUUAGUUAUCUCACUAAUAUAUAUAUAUAUAUAUAUAUAUAUAUAAAUAUAUUUUACUCUUAUUAUAAACAUAUUUUACUAUUAUAAAAUAAAUAAUUUCAAGACUAACUUAUACUUCUAAUUAAAUGAAAAAUAAUAUUAUUUAUAUUUUAUUUUGAAAUUAUUAUUUCGUUUUCUUUGUACCAAAUUGAUAUGAACCCUUAAGCUUUUCCUCUUCAAUUAUUAGGGAGCCCACUUAAGGCUUGUACAACAUUGCACAUUUAAAUAAUGAUUUUAGUGAUAAUUUGUAUUUUACUUUAUGUGUUAUUUAACUAUGCACAUUUAAAUGGUGAUUUUAGUGAUAAUUUCUAUUUUACUUUAUGUGUUAUUUAACUAUGUACAUUCUUAAUUAUUUGAAGGGUAGGUUUUGGUGCUUGAAGUUAACAAAAGUAAACUACUCUUAUUUAAUAAAAUGAUUAUUUGAAAAUAUAAAAUAAAAUAAACGGUUGAUGAUUCUAAAUACUUGAGUGUUGUAAUUGGUGGUAGAAUAAAUUUACUCUAGUCCCUUAACAAAAUUCAAAAGUAAGUCAUAUCAUCUUGCAUUCUAAGUAUUCGAUUAAAUUCCUAGCUAAAACGAUAGUUUAGUUUUAGAAUUUAAUUACUCAAUCACUUUUUUGUUUGAAGACAAGGUUAGAAAAUUCGCAAAACCACAGUCUUUAACAUCUUGACACAAGUCUACUCUUUGUGGGAUCGACCCAAAUUUUUGUUGAGUUUAUUAUUGCUAUGAGGCCAAAGGCCAAUUUAUGUAUAUAUUUGGGGGUGUACGUGCACCCGUUAAUUUCGGAAAGAAUCACACAUAUAUAUAUAUAAUUAUCAAUCUUGAGAAACUUUCAGAAACUAAAUAUACUCCCUCCAUUCUAUAUUAAUUGAAUUGUUGAGACAUUUUUCAUUUUUCAUUUUUCAAAUUUAAUUGUUCAGUUUUCAAGACUACAUUUAGAGUGUUCUUCCAAUUUUUACCCUUCAUUAGUUAGUAUUGAAAUUAGUGAUUAAUUAAUAUUUAGUUAUUUUAAUUAUAAUUUUGACAAUAAUUAAUAAGGGUAAAAAUGGAAAACUAUGUUCAAUUUAUGUCUUAAUCUAUUUUUCUUAAAGGAUGUGAAACACCUCAAAAAUUAAAUAUUACUCCCUCCGUCUUAUUUUAUACGACACUUUUCGAAUUUCAAGAUUUAAAUAAGUCAAUCUUUGAUUGUAAGUUUUUUAUAGAUCUUUUAAACAUUUUGAAUUAUCAAUUAUUGUGACUUAUAGUACUUUUUAAAUAGUUUACAAAUAUAUAAAUUUCAUUUCAAAAAAUUGAAGAUUUCUAUGCAAAUUUCCGGCCAUACUUAAACUCUUAAAAAUUAAAAGUGUCACAUAAAUUUGAACGGAUGAAAUAGUAAUAUUAAUACCUAGAAAUAUUUAAUAAUUUAUCGGUUGGUAGUUGCUACGCCUAACAAACUCGUACUUCGUAUAGCAACAAUAUUUUAAUAAAAGAUCCGUACACAUGCAAUUGGUUACUGAUUUAAAAUAAUUUGUCUCUACUCUCAUCCAAAUAUGUAAUCUGACUAAUUUGAUGUUAUUUUAUUCUUUAUUUGAUUUCAAAUAUGCAUAAAAAACAAAUGUAAUAUACAUAAUUAUUUAAUUAAGUUGAAAAAAAAGAGUUAAUUUUUUUUAAAAAAAUGGACAAGAUUCAAGAAGAAAAGUAGAAGAUAGAUGAAAACAGGUAAUGGUUGCGCCGGGGGGGGGGGAGUGUGGAGGCUAAUUUUUAUUUUUUUUAAAUUUAUAUGGAACUCAAAAUUAGAUCAAUUAUAUAAGGUUAUGUAUUAAAUAUUUUUUAAUUAUUUAAAUAGAGAAGGACCCAAAAUUUUCCCAAGCUAUGAGAUUUAAUUUAUAUAAUAUUAUCCUUUGUUCAUCUUAAAGUGUGGACCGUCAAAAAUAAAGACAUAUUGUACCAAAUAAGUUAAAGUUGAGAGCAUAUCUAACUUGAAAAAUUGACGAAGAACAGUUUUAUACCAAAUAAAUAUGAAUCCUUUUACGACAUUUUAAAAAUUAUGUUUACUUUCUUAAAUUAAUAUCCCGUGAAACUAAGAUACACAAACUGAAACUAACGGAGUAACUUAGUACUAAUUCGAUUUGCUUCAUACUAUUAUUUUAGUACUAGACAUAUAAACUCAAUACAGACUCAAUAGCAUAGAUAAAAUUUUGGAAGGCAAUGAAUUUUUUUUAUAUAAAUAUUUUAUAUUAUUACAUAAUUAUUAUUAAAAUAUGAUACUUUCACAAUAUUUUUUUUCUAUCCUAAUUUAUGUGAUACUGAUUAAUUUUUGAGAGUACAAUCAAAACUACUGAAUUUCCACAUGCAGGCUUUGUGUGAGAAAAGCUCUAAUUUUUGGAAUAUUUUCUUGUUGUGGUGCAGGCUACAACGUACAAUAAUAAGCUCUAUAUCUUUUAAUCUUUUACUUUAUUUAUCUUUAAAAAGGUUACUGUAUUUGAUUUGUGGGAUUAAAAUUUAAACGUGAUAUUUUUGAAUUAUGCGAAAAUAAAAUUUAUCUUAUAAAUUGAGAUAUUUUUUGAGAUAAUUAAUUAUUUUUCUAUAUAUAAAAUUUUUUUAUCUCACCAUUAUAAAUUAUACAAUUUAAGAACUUACUAAUACUCAUUAUAUAUAUAUAUAAUAAUUUUAAAUUUUAGGUCAAAUAAUUAUCUUUUUUUCCUCUUCAAUUACUAGGGUCACGGUUAAACGACUUGCACAACAUUUCAAGCUGUAAUUGGUAGGUUAAGUCCUUGAGUGAACAGCUAAGAAAAAAGAAGAAAGCAUUCAACAUGUGGGAAAAAAGAUAUUAUUGUACGAACAUCUUUUCACUUGACACGAUAUUUAAAAAAUAAUUUUUUUAAAAAUUUAUAAUUUAAAAUAAUUUAUAGUUAUUCGAAUAUCUAUGACUCGAUUAUUUUAUUUCAGAAGUUUUAAAAGUUUUUCUUUUCUUCUUUCUUAAAUUUAAUGUCGAUUUAAACUAAGGACGGUCGGAGUAAUAUUUGGUUUAUGUAGCACUUUUCUUAAAUUUUACUCCCUGGUCAAUUUAUAUAGCACUUUUCGUUUUUCGAUAGUCAAAUGGUUUAAUCAAAAAUUUGCGCAUGGAAUCUUCAAAUUUUUUGAAAUAAAAUUUAUAUAUUUAUGAACUACGUAAAAGUACUAGAAAUUACAAAAAAUAUAUAAAAAAUUUAUGAUCAAAGAUAGAAUUGUUUGAUCUCGAAAUGUCAACUCAAUUAUUAUCGAGUGGUCGCAUUUGUACAACUCAAGUCUGUGAUCACCUCCUUUCGCAUGUUAAUUAAUUCCAUUUCAUUCUUUUUUAAAUACAUUAUACAUAUUUUUAAUUGGUUUUAAAAGUCGUAUUUACUUUCUUAAAUUAAUAUCCUGUCAAAUUAAGACACAUAAAUUGAAAUUGAGGGAGUAACUUAGAGAGUGUUUGGAUUUGUUUAAAAGUUGGUCAAACUUACUUACAAGUCAGAUUUUUACUUCUGAAACUGUUUGACAAAUACAUAAGCUUGUACCAAUACAAAUCCAGUAAUGCAAAUGAAAAGACAAUUAAAUUUCUUUUUAAAAAAUAUUUUAAAUUAUUAAUUAUUAUUUUUUAUCUCAAUUUAUGUGAUACUGAUAAAUUUUCGAGAGUACUCACAACUAGUGAAUUUCCACUCUAAUUUAAGUUAGGGAUAUUUUCUUCUUUAUGAACUUAUAUAUACAUUACUUGUUCAUUUCAUUCUUUUUAGGACAAGUUAAGUUUGAGUACAUUUAACUAUGAACUAUUCAAUGCAAGUUAAGAUUUUGUCCAAAAACCUCAUUAAACCAUCAUUACCAACGCCACAACACCUUAAAAAUUACAAGUUAUCUUUCUUUGAUCAAGUGGCGGAUGUAGCACACUUACCUCUUGUUCUUUUCUAUCCUCAUUGUGACAAUAACAUGAAAAAUGAUGAACUCGAAGAGUCCUUAUCGAGGAUUUUAACACAUCUUUACCCUUUAGCUGGUCGAUUUGCUGAAGAUGAAUCGUCAAUUAUUUGUCUCGAUCAAGGUGUAACUUAUAUAAAAGCAACGGUCAAUUGUAAGCUUGAUGAUUUCCUUCAACAAGCAAACAAAGACGUUGAUCUAGCAUUGCCAUUUUGGCCUCAAGGAAUUAUGGAUGUGGACGAGACGAAUUUAUUCGUCAUGCCACUUCUGGUUGUGCAAGUCACAACAUUUGAAUGUGGUGGUCUAGCCCUAGCUAUUAGCCAUGCACACCCUGCUAUGGACGGAUGCACCACAUUCAAAUUCAUUUAUGAAUGGGCUAAAGUGUGCAAAUUUGGUACUCCUUCUAAGGAUAUCAACUUGAACCUCAAUUUAGGCACUCUUUUCCCUUACAAAGAUUUAACAACUAUUCUUGAGCCUCCGGUUGACGAAGGCAAACGUAAAAACUCUAAGUUAGUUGCCAGAAAGUUUGUUUUUGAGGAAGAUGCAAUAUUGAGGCUCAGAGAGAAAUUUGACUCAACAACUAGCGAAGGUUUGAGUUUCAAACCUUCGCGAGUUGAGAUGAUUACAACACUUUUAUGGAGGUCACUUAUCCGUUCCACAGGAAGUACUUCACAUUUGAAACGGUCUAUAAUGGCAUUUCCAAUUAAUUUACGUGGUAAGGUAGCAGCUUUUCCUGAAAUUGCCAACUCUUUUGGGAAUCUUAUUAUCGAAAUUCCAAUAAAAUUUGAACACGACGAUGAAACAAAAAUGGAGUCGUUGCAUCACAUUGUAAAACUAAUAAGAGAGUCAGUUCAAGUGAUUAUCAGUAAAUGUGUCAAAGCUACUCCGGAUGAAAUAGUUUCUUUGGUUAUCGACUUAUACAAGGAUAGUUACGCCGGAUUAGAAUGGGGAGGAGACAAUGAAGUUGUGAAUUUUACGUGCUCAAGUUUAUGUAGGUUCCCCGUACAAAAAACUGAUUUUGGUUGGGGAGAACCAAGUUUGAUGCACUUUGGGUCAAGACAUAGCCAAGUUUUUUGGUUGUAUGAUACUGAAUGUGAGACUGGAAUUGUUGUGCAAAUGGAUUUGGAGGAAAAGUACAUGGAUAAACUUGCAUGUGAUCAAGAUAUCAUGGAUUUUGCUAAAUUUUAGGGUUUAAUUUUCAUGUUCUUUCAUUUAAUCUGUACUCCCUUCAUUUUAAUUUAAGUAUGUGUGUUGCUAUUGUUUUUUCUUUGGUUUGUUUUGAAUAUGAAUGUCAUUUUCUAUGAACACGCUUUGACUAUAAUUAAGUAGCAUUUUAACUUGUAGCAAGGAUUCUACUAAAAUAAAUAUAUAAUAAGAUUUCUGUUAGAAUUUUUGUUUAGUGUAGUGGCGAAUGUUCGCUACAAAAAAUCACUAUUUAGUGGUGACUUUCAAAAGUCGUUAAAUAACAUUUAGUUAUGGAUUCACAUAUAUCUAGGAUAUAUACAUUGACUCUCUCCUCACAUCUCUCAUCUCUUGCUCUCCUUUCUUCCUCUCUCGCUCCCCUCUCUUCCUAUGUAUCAUAGAUGCAUUUAUCUAGUACUGUGAUUCACAUGUAUCUGGGAUCUCGCCUCUCUCCUCUCUCGCUCGCUUCUUUCCUCUCUCGCUCACCCCUUUUCCUCUCCCGCUAGCUCCCUAAGUAUUUGUAUUUCAGAGAGUAUUUAGAAGCAAUUUAGGUGUAUUUGAUUUGAAAUUUUGUAUGAAAUUAUUAAUUAGUGAAAUGAUAUGUAAUUGUUUCAAACCUUAGAAAAAAAUAGUAAAUAUGAUAAGAAUGUUUAUUUAUAUAAAAUAUUUUUUUUAAAAUUAAAAAAUAGUGAAAGGAAAUAUAUAUAUAUAUAGUCAUUACUUUAGUUUCUUAUAGUCAAGUCAGCCCGACAAGGAAGAGCCAGAACCCUCAGUAGAGAGUUGGAGGAGCAGUAUAUGAAGCCUCACCGUUUUGGGAAAUAUUUGGGCAUUUAGGGGUCACUUUACAGGAACUAGGUGAUUUUCUCAAUUUCUCGUGUUUGUUAGGGCAUAAAUAUUUUGGUGAUAUCGCUUGUGGACGAUUUCUUUGCAAAACCUUUACGAAAUCCUCCAUAUAUAGGGAGUUGGGGGGAGUAGUCCAUGCAGUCCCACAAUUUUUACAGUCCAUUUGGAUAUUUAGGGGCCAAUUUACAAAAAAAUAGGUGAUUUUUUCAAUUGUUUGUUUGUGUUAGCCUAUGAAUAUUUUGGUGAUAUGGUUUCCAUACGAUUUCUUUGCAGACCUUUACAGAGCCCUCCAUACGGAGUUGAGGGAGCACUGCGUAUAGUCUCACAAAUUUUAGAGGCCAUUUUGGGCAUUUAGGGGCCAAUUUAGAGUAUUAAGAUGAUUUUCUUAGUUUUUCUUGUGUGUCAGCCCAUGAAUAUUUGAUAAUAUGGCUAUCGGACAAUUUCUUUGUGAAACCUUAACGGAACCCGCCGUAGGUAGUUAGGAGAACAGUACGUACAAUCUCACAAAUUUUAGAGUGAUUUCAGGGCAUUUACGGGCCAAUUUACAAGUAUUAGGCGAUUUUCUCAGUUUUUCGUGAGUAUUAGCCCAAACAUCUGGCACCUUGGAGCACCCAAAACAUAUUUCUGAAAAAAAACAUUUUGAGGACCUCCGCAAUGAGUUGGGAAACAUUACAUAUUGUCCCACCAUUUAAAGACAUAUUUUUGCUUUUACGAGCUAAUUUUUAGAAAUUAUGCAACUUUCUUGGUAUUUCGUGUGUAUUAGCACAUUGAUUUUGCGCCUUAGAGCACCCAAAAAAAAUAUUCUGAAACUUUUUUAUGAUGACCUCCAUAAUAAGUUGGGAAGCAUUAGGUAUAGUCCCACCAUCGUUUAAGGCAUAUUUUCGCAUUUACGAGCUAACUUUUAGGAAUUACGCGACUUUCUUGGUUUUUCGUGUAUAUUAGUCCAUUGAUCUGGCACUUUGGAGCAACCAAAUUACGAGGACCUCCAAAAUGAGUUGGUAAAUCAUUUUAACGCCUAUUUCCGCAUUUACAAGCCUUUUUUUUAUGAAUCAUGCAAAUUUCUCGAUUUUCGUGUGUAUUAGCCCAUGGGUGUCGGAGCACCCAAAUUUUUUUUCUGAAAAAAUUUUAUGAGAACCUCCGUGAUGAAUUUGGGAACUACCAUUAAUACUCACACAAUUUUUUAACUCCUAUUUUCGCAUUUACAGACCUUUUUUUAAAGAAUUAUGUGAAUUCCUCGAUUUUUCAGAGUGUAUUAGCCUAUGGAUCUGGCACCUCAAAGAACUCAAAAAAAAUUUCUUAAAAAACUUUAUGAUGAUCUUCGUGAUAAGUUGGGGAACCACCACGUCUACUCACACAAUAUUUUAACGUCUAUUUCCGCAUUUACAUGCCUUUUUUAGGAAUUACGCAAAUUCCUCGAUUUUUCGUGUGUAUAAGCCCAUAGAUAUGGCGGCUUAGAGCACCCAAUUUUUUUUUCCUGAUAAUACUUUACGAGGACCUCCAAAAUGAGUUGGGGAACUACCACAUAUACUUACACUAUUUUUAACGCCUAUUUCCGCAUUUACAAGCCUUUUUUUAUAAAUUAUUAAAAAUUCUCGAUUUUUCGUAUGUAUUAUCCCGUGGGUCUAACGCCUCGAAGCACCCAAUUUUUUUUCUGAAAAAACUUUAUAAGAACCUCCGUGAUGAGUUUGGGAACUCAUAUGAAUACUCACACAAUUUUUAACACCUUUUCGCAUUUACAUGCCUUUUUUAGGAAUUAUGAGAAUUCCUCAAUUUUUCAGUGUGUAUUAUUAGCCUAUGGAUCUAGCGCCUCAGAGAACCCAAAAAAAAAAUCUGAAAAAACUUUAUGAUGAUUUCUAUGAUAAGUUGGAGAACCACCAUGUAUACUCACACUAUUUUUAACAUCUAUUUCCGCAUUUACAGGCCCUUUUUAAGAAUUACGCAAAUUUCUUGAUUUUUCGUGUGUAUUAGCCCAUAGAUCUAGCGCAUCCGAGCAUCCAAACAUUUUUUUUGAAUUUUUCUUUAAGGACCUUCGUAAUGAGUUGAGAACCAACACGUAUACUCUCACAAUUUUUUAAUUUCUAUUUCUGCAUUUACAGGCCUUUUUUAGGAAUUAUGCAAAUUUUUCGAUUUUUUGUGUGUAUUAGCCCAUGGAUCUGGCACAUCAGAGCACUCAAUUUUUUUUCUGAAAAAACUGUAUGAAGACCUCUGUAAUGAGUUGGGAAACCACCAUGUAUACUCACACCAUUUUUAACGCAUAUUUCCGCAUUUAACGGCCUUUUCUUAGAAAUUGCGAAGCACCCAAACUUUUGGCCUCUCGGAGCACCUAAACUUCUUUAUAAAAAAACUUUAUGAGGACCUCUGUAAUGAGUUGGGAACCACCACAUAUACUCACACCAUCAUUUAAUGCCAAUUUUCGCAUUUACAUGAACCUUUUUUUAGGAAUUACAGAAAUUUCUAGAUUUUUUUUGUGUAUUAGCCCAUGAAUAUGACACCUCAGAGCACCCAAUUAUUUUUUUUUGAAAAAAACCUUAUGAGAACUUCUGUAAUGAAUUUUGGAACCACCACGUACUCACAUAAUUUUAUUGUUAUUUUUGCAUUUACAUGCCUUUUUUAGAAAUUACACAAAAUUCUCAAUUUUUCGUGUGUAUUAGCUGAUGGAUCUAGCGCCUCGGAGCACCCAAAUUUUUUUCUGAAAAAACUUUAUGAGGACCUCCAUAAUGAGUUGGGAACCGCCACGUAUUCUCACUUCAUUUUUUAAUGCCUAUUUCCGUAUUUACAAGCCUUUUUUAAAGAAUUACGCAAAUUCAUUGAAUUUCUGUGUUUAUUUAGCCCAUGGAUCUGGCGCCUCAGAGCACCCUCAUUUUUUUUCCUGAAAAAGCUUUAUGAGGAUCUAAGUAAUGAGUUGGGGAACCACCACGUAUAAUCAUACCAUUUUUAAAACGCUUAUUUUCGAAUGUACAGACCCUUUUUAGAAAUUACUCAAAUUUCUCUAUUUUUUAUUGGUAUUAACCUAUUAAUUUGGAGCCUCAAAGCACCAACAUUUUUUUUAUGAAAAAACUUUAAAAGAACCUCUAUAAUGAGUUGGGAACCACCACGUAUACUCAUACAUUUUUUCAAUGCCUAUUUAUGCAUUUACAUGCCCUUUUUUUUUUAGAAAUUACACAAAUUCCUUGAUUUUUCAUGUGUAUUAAUUAAGCCCAUUGAUCUGGCUCCUCUGAGCACACAAAACUUUUUUCUGAAAUUUUUUUAUGAGAAUCUCUGUAAUGAAUUUGGGAACCACCACGUAUAUUGAAAUAAUUUUUUAAACGCCUAAUUCCGCAUUUACCGGCCCUUUCUUAGGAAUUACGCAAAUUCCUCAAUUUUUCGUGUGUAUUGGCCCAUGGAUUUUACACAUCAAAGAAUCCAAAUUUGUAUUCUGAAAAAACUUUAUGAGGAUCUUGGUCAUGAGUUGGGAAUCACCACAUAUAUUACACCAUUUUAAAACGCCUAUUUCCGCAUUUAAGGCCCAUUUAGAAAUUAAGCAAAUUCCUAAUUUUUUUUUUGUGUAUUAGCUUAUGGAUCUGGCGCAUAGGAGCACCCAAAUUUUUUUCCAGAAAAAUUUUAAUGAGGACUUCCGUAAAGAGUUCGAGAAUCACCGCGAAUACUCAUACCAUUUUUAACGGCUAUUUCCGCAUUUACAUGCCCAUUUUAGAAAUUACGCAAAUUCCUCAAUUUUUCAUCAAUAUUAGCCUAUGGAUCUGGCGCCUCGGAGCACCCUAAAUUUCUUUCCGAAAGAACUUUAUGAAGACCUCUGUAAUGAGGUUGGAAACCAUCACGUAUACUCAUACUAUUUUAUUAUCGUCUAUUUCCGCAUUUGCAAACCCUUUUUAGGAAUUACACAAAUUUCUCGAUUUUUUGUGUGUAUUAUCACCCAUGGAUCUAGCGCCUCUAAACACCCAAAAUAAAUUUAUGAAAAAACUUUAUGAGGACAUAAGUAAUGAAUUGGGGAACCACCACUUAUACUCACAUAAUUUUUAACGCUUAUUUCCACAUUUACAGACCCUUUUUUAAGAAUUAAGGAAAUUUCUUGAUUUUUAGUGUCUAUUAGUCUAUUAAUCUGGCGCCUCGAAGUACCCAAAAAUUUUUUUUGAAAAAACUUUAUGAGGUCCUCCAUUAUGAGUUGUGGAACCACCACGUACAGUCACAUCAUUUUUUUAACACCUAUUUAUGCAUGCAUUUACAGGCCCUUUUUAGGAAUUACACAAAUUCCUUUUUCUCUCAUAGAUACGGUGCCUCGGACCAUCCAAAAAAAAAUUUGAAAAAACUUUAUGAUAACCUUCUUAAUGAAUUGGGAAAACACCACGUAUAGUCAGUCACACCAUUUAACACAUAUUUUCGUAUUUACAAGUCCUAUUUAGAAAUUACGCAAAUUUCUUAAUUUUUGUGUGUAUUAGCCCAUAGAUCUAGCGCCUCAGAGAACCCAAAAUAUUUUCUGAAAAAAAUUCGUUAAUAGGUUGGAAAACCACCACGUAUAUUCACACAAUUUUUAACGCAUAUUUGAACAUUUAUAGACACCUUUUUUAGGAAUUACACAAAUUUCUGAAUUUUUCGUGUGGACAAGUCCUUUUUUAAGAAUUGCCCAAAUUCCCCAAUUUUUUGUGUGUAUUAGCCAAUGAAUCUGACGUCCGAAGCAUCCAAAUUUUUUUUCUCAAAAAACUUUAUGAGGACCUCCGUUAUGAUUUGGGGCCCUUCACGUAUACUCACGCCAUUUUUUAAAAUCUAUUUUCGCAUUUACAAGCCUUUUUUUAAGAAUCGCCCAAAUUCCCCAAUUUUUCGUGUGUAUUUGCCUAUGGAUCUGGCGCCCAGAACACCCAAUUUUUUUUACAAAAAACAUUACAAGGACCUCUGUAAUGAGUUAGGGAACCUUCACAUACACUAAUACCAUUUUUUAACGCCCAUUUCUGCAUUUAAAAUCCCUUUAUAAGAAUCGUUCAAAUUUCCCAAUUUUUCGUGUGUAUUAGCCUAUGGAUCUGGCGCCCGGAGCACCCAAUUAUUUUUUCCAAAAAACAUUUUUAGGACCUGUGUAAUGAGUUGGGAACCUUGACGUGUUCUCACACCAUUUUUUUAACGCUCAUUUUUGCAUUUACUAGGUUUUUUUAAUAAUCGCCCAAAUUCCCCAAUUUUUUUGGAUUUGGUGCCCAGAGCACCUAAAUUUUUUUUCUCAAAAAUUUUGUGAGAACCUCCGUAAUGAGUUGGGGAACCUUCACGUAUACUCACACCAUUUUUAACUCCUAUUUCCGCAUUUACAAGCCUUUUUCUAUGAAUUGCCCAAAUUUUUCAAUUCUUCGAUUUUUCGUGCGUAUUAGCCCAUGGAUCUGGCGUCCGCAACACCAAAACAAAUUCUCAAUAAACUUUAUGAGGACCUCCAUAGUGAGUGGAAACUUCACGUAUACUCAGACCAUUUGUUUUAACUCUCAUUUCUGCAUUUACAAGCCCUUUAUUAAGGAUUGCCCAAAUCCUCAAUUAUUCGUGUGUAUUAACCCAUUGAUCUGGUGUCCAAAGCACCAAUUUUUUUUCUCAAAACACUUUAUGAGGACCUCCGUAAUGUGUUGGGGAACCUUCACGUAUACUUACACCAAUUUUUAAAUGUCAUUUCCGCAUUUACAAGACCCUUUUUUUAAAAAUCGCCCAAAUUUCUCAAUUUUUCGUGUGUAUUAGCCCAUCAAUCUUGCGCCCGAAGCACACAAAUUUUUUUCUCUAAAAACUUUUUGAAGACCACCUUAAUGAGUUAGGGAACUACCACGUUUACUCAUAUCAUUUUCUUUACGCCUAUUUUUGUAUUUACAAGCUCUUUAUUAAAAAUCACCCAUAUUUACCCAUUUUCCGUGUGUAUUAGCCCAUGGAUCAAUCAUUCGGAGCACCCAAUUUUUUUUCUCAAAAAACAUUAUGAGGACCUCCGUAAUGAAUUGAGAAUCUUCACGUAUACUCACACCAUUUUUGAACGACCAUUUUUGCAUUUAAAGCCUUUUUUUAAGGAUCGCCAAAAUUUCCUUUUUUCGUGUGUGUUAGCCCAUGGAUCUGGCAUCCGUAGCACCCAAAAAAAAUUUCUCAAAAAACUUUAUGAGGACCUCUGUAAUGAGUUGGGGCACCUUCACUUAUACUCACUAUUUUUCAAUAACCAUUUCCGCAUUUCCAAGCCUUUUUUUAAGGAUCGCCAAAAUUUCCUUUUUUCGUGUGUGUUAGCCCAUGGAUCUGGCAUCCGUAGCACCCAAAAAAAAUUUCUCAAAAAACUUUAUGAGGACCUCUGUAAUGAGUUGGGGCACCUUCACUUAUACUCACUAUUUUUCAAUAACCAUUUCCGCAUUUCCAAGCCUUUUUUUAAGAAUCGCAAAAAUUUUCUAAUUUUUCGUGUGUAUUUGCCCAUGGAUCUAGGGUCCUGAGCACCCACAAUCUGUUUCUCAAAAAACUUUAUCAGGACCUCCGUAAUGCAUUGGGGAAGCUUUAUGUAUAAUCACACCAUUUUUUUAAUCCGCAUUUAGAAGCCUUUUUUUAUAAAUCGCCUAAAUUUCCCGAUGUUUCGUCUGUAUAAUCCCAUGGAUCUGGCCCGAAGCACCCAAAAAAAUUUAUAAUGACCUCCAUAAUGAGUUGAGGAACCUUUACGUAUACAAACACAAAUUUUUAACGCCCAUUUCCGCAUUUACAAGGCUUUUCUAAAGAAUCGCCCAAAUUUCCCCAUUUUUCGUGUGUAUAAACCUAUAGAUCUGGCGCUCAGAGCACCCAAUUUUUUUUCUCUCAAAAAACUUUAACUGGAUCUCCGUAAUGAGUUGGGGAACAGUCACGUAUACUCACACUAUUUUUUUAAUGCCCAUUUCUGCUUUAACAUGCAUUUUUUUAAGAAUCGCCAAAAUUCACCGAAACACGCAAAAUUUAUUUCUCAAAUUUUUUUAUGAGAACCUCUGUAAUGAUUUGGAUAACAUUCACGUAUACUCACACUAUUUUUUUAACAUCCAUAUCCGCAUUUACAAACCCUUUGUUAAGAACCCCCCAAAUUCCCUUUCGUGUGUAUUAUCCCAACGAUCUAGCGCUUGGAGACCCAAAUAUUUUUUCUUAAAAAAUAUUAUGAGAACCUCCGUAAUGAGUUGGAGAACCUUCACGUAUACUCACACCAUUUUUUUAACGCUUUUAUCCGCAUUUACAAGCCCAUUUUUAAGAAUAACCCAAAUUCUCUUAUUUUUCGUGUUUAUUACCCCAUGAAUCUGACACCCGGAGCACUCAAAAAAAAUUCUCAAAAAAUUUUCAGAGGACCUCUGUAAUGAGUUGGAAACUUUCACUAUUCACACCAUUUUUUUAACACCCAUUUUCGCAUUUACAAGUCUGUUUUCUUAAGAAUCGCUCAAAUUCUACAAAAAAAUUUCAUAUGUAUUAGCCCAUGAUCUGGCGCCCGGAGCACCCAUAAUUUUUUUCUCAAAAAACUUUAUGAGGACCUCCGUAAUGAGUUGGGGAACCUUCCCUCACACCAUUUUUUGAACGUUCAUUUCCGCAUUUACAAGACUUUUUUUAAGAUUCACCCAAAUUUCGUUUUUUUAAUAUGUAUUAGCACAUGGAUUUGGCACCCGUAGCACCCAAAAAAAAUACUAAAAAACUUUUACGAGGACCUCUGUAAUGAGUUGGGAACAUUCACACAUGCUAACAUCAUUUUUUUAACUCUCAUUUCCACAUUUACAAAUCAUUUUUUAAAAAUCGCCCAAAUUUCCAUAUUUUUUUGAGUGUAUUAGCCCAUGGAUCUAACGCCUGGAGCACCCAAAUUUUUUUCUCUCAAAAAACUUUAUGUGGACCUCUGUAAUGAGUUGGGGAACCUCACGUAUACUCACAUCAAUUUUUUAACGCCCAUCGUCGCAUUUACAAGUCGUUUUUUAAGAAUCUCUAAAAUUUCCCAAUUUUUUGUGUGUAUUAUCCAUUGAUCGGGCUCCUGGAGAACCCAAAUUUUCUUUCUCAAAAAACUUUAAAAGAAACUCUGUAAUGAGUUGGGGAACCUUCGUAUACUCACACCAUUUUGUAACGCCCAUUUUCACAUUUACAAAACCUUUUUUAAGAAUCGCUCAAAUUUCCCGAUUUUCGUGUGUGUUAGCCCAUGUAUCUGGCCCCGGAGUACCAAAAAGAAAUUUUCUCAAGCAACUUUAUGAGUACCUUUGUAAUGAGUUGGGAAAUCUUCACGUAUAUUCAUACUAUUUUUAAACACCCAUUUCCGCAUUUACAAGCCUUUUUUAAAGAAUAACCCAAAUUCCCCAAUUUUUCGUGUGUAUUAGUUCAAGGAUCUGGCGCUCGGAGCACCCAAUUUUUUUUUCCUCAAAAAACAUUAUGAGGACCUCCGUAAUAAGUUGGGAACCUUCACGUAUACUCACGCAAUGUUUUUAACUCCCAUUUUCACAUUUAAAAGCCUUUUUUUAAGAAAUGUCCAAAUUUCUCGAUUUUUUAUGUGUAUUAGUCCAAUGAUCUAGCGCCAGGAACACCCAAAUUUUUUUCCCACAAAAACCAUUAUGUGGACCUCCAUAAUGAGUUGGGAACCUUCAUGUAUACUCACACCAUUUUGUAAACGCCCAUUUCGCUUUUACAAGCCCCUUUUUCAAAGAAUAACCCAAAUUUCCCAACUUUUCAUGUGUUUUAGCCCAUUAAUCUGGCGCCUGGAGUACCAAAAUUUUUUUCCUCAAAAAACAUUAUAAGGACAUUCGUAAUGAGUUGGACAACCUUCACGUAUACUCACAUAAUUUAUUAACGCUCAUUUUCACAUUUACAAGCCCUUUUUAAAGAAUCCCCGCAAUUUCCCAAUUUUUCGUGAGUCCUUAACUCAUGGAUCUGACGCUUGGAGCACCUAAAUUUUUAUUCUCAAAAAACUUUAUUAGGAUCUCCGUAAUGAGUUGGGGAACCUUCACGUAUACUCACACCAUUUUUUAACGCUCAUUUCCAAAUUUACAAGAUUUUUUUUAAGAAUCACCAAAUUCCACAAUUUUUCGUGUGUUUCCAUGGAUCUGGCACCCGAAGCACCUAAAAUUGUUUUCUCAAAAAACUUUACGAGGACCUCCGUAAUGAGUUGGGAAACCUUCACGUAUACUCACACCAUUUUUACGCUUAUUUCCGCAUUUACAAGCCCUUUUUUAAGAUCGUUAAAUUCGAUAAUUUUUGUAUGUAUUAUAGCCCAUGGAUCAGCCAUCGGAGCACUUGAAAUUUUUUAAUCAACAAAUUUUAUGAGAACCUUCGUAAUGAGUUGGCAAAUCUUCAGCUUUACUUACACUAUUUUUAAACUCCCAUUUCCAUAUUUACAAGUCCUUUUUUAAGAAUCACCCGAAUUUCUUGAUUUUUUGUAUGUAUUAGCCCAUGGAUCAGGCGCCCGGAGCACCCAAAUUUAUUUUCCCAAAAAACUUUAUGAGACCUCCGUAAUGAGAGAGAAAACGACAGAUUUUUAAGAGUCACCACUUAAUUUUUAAAGAAAAACUAAGAAAACUAUUUUUUCACAAGAUUAAAACAGAAAUCAAUUGAAAAUAUUUAAAGGGUUUGGUGUUCAUAUUAGCAUUUCGGGAAGGGUUUGAAAGCACUCGAAAUAUUAACUAACACGCGGUUAUUCGAUAAUUAACUAUUUGGCUAACAUUUAAAUAGAGAAAGUAAACAACUUUUGAACUCACUUUUUCUUUGGGGAAAGGGAAUAAGGAUGUUGUUUAAGUAGAAAAUACUAAAUGUUUUAAAGUCAAAAUAAAAUGAAAAUAAACUUAUUUGAUUUUAACAGUUAUGGUUAACUCAUCUUUUUGGGGAAUUGAAUUAAGGAAAAAAAUCUUAGAAUUAACUAGCAAAUAAACAAUUAAACAAAUACGAAAUACGGAUAAAAUAAAGAGCGAGAAGGCAUUGGGUCCAAGUCUGAUUUUCUGUUCGUCUGGACUAAUACUUGGGCCUACUUUGUUUUGGGCCUUUGGCCCACUUAAACCUGUCCUAAAACUAACAAAAAUCUGCCAAAGAUAAGUGUGGGCUUUUGGCCCAAUUCUCUGUCCUAAAACUAGCAGAGUAAUACUAAAAAUAUAUGGACCUUUGGCCCAAAUACAACACAAAUGCAAAACCAAAAUUUAAGAAGGGGUUUUGUCCCCUUUUUGCCACCAUAUACAGCGUAUACACUUAUUGUAUAUCAUUGUAUAUUCUUGAAUACCAUGUCAUUUUCUAAUUCCGAGUUCUACAAUUUCAAUUUUUUAGCCUUGUAUAUUGCCUUCCAUUCGAAAUUCGAAUGCUUGCUUUCCAAUUCUGGACUUGGUAAUGAAAAUGGUGACGCGGGAAUGACUUAGGGCUUAAGUGGCCCAAUCAAUGAUGCAAGAAAAGGAUCUGUCCCCAAAUGGAAUGGUCCACAGUUGCUCACAAUAAACAAAAGAAAGUAAAAUUAGUCAGCAAAAAAAGAAAACAUCUUAGAUUGUUAAGAAAUGAUUAGUUCUGCAAGUGAUUUUGCAUAGGAAACAAUUACUAGAAUAUAAUCAACUUUACAUAUAUUUUCAAACUAGGAGAAAAGAAAUUCAACAAGAUAUAUUCCAACUAGCACAUGCAUUUUAAAAGAAAAUAAAGAAAAGCUAAUUAAUUAUAUUGCUUCAAAACAUGCUAGAAAAGAAAGAAACUCUCAUGCUUGAGCAACAUCUAAUACGCCAAAACUAGGACAACAACAAACAUGCUUAAAAUACAUUUAAACUCCAUGUUAACCAGUUUAAGGUUCUGUCCCUUGCUGGAAGAUUAAUAAAUACUGAAUCGAAUGCUUAAAUCAAGGAAAAGACUUAAGGCAACGAAUUUAAUGAGAUCAAAGCAAUCGAUAAAUUUAAAGGAAGAGAAAGAACAAAUCUUUGAAUCAGGAUGCUUCAUACAACUGGAUUCAAUGGCAGACAAAGAACAGUUAAAUAACAAAGGGUUCACCAAAAACCAGUAAAACACAAAUAGAUGCUCCAACCUAAAACUUAGUUUGUUCACAACAAUGGUGUGAGGAAAGGGAGAAGGAAAUUUCUAAAAUAAAAAUAAAAGACGGAUAACAUCACAAACACCUUUAGCAUAUCAAAGGGGAGACAACAAAAGCAGAAUUUAAAUACAAUCACAGAUAAACACCAAUGCUAAAUAUAAGACGAUAAAGCUUGAAUCGACACUAAAGUUAACUCAUGGAAACGCCUACACACAUAUAAGUCACAUUAAAUCGAUCAGAACUCAAACAUAAAAUAGAAAAUCAGCCACCAAAAAGAGAUUUUCCAACAUCAAAGAUCUGAAUAACAGAAGAGACGAAGAAAAUGUUAUCGAACGAGAAGCGUUACCUUUUUGGGGGCAACGAACUAGGACGAGGAGCUUGAGACCACGAGCUUUCACACCGGAAUACGACUUCAAGAAACUCUGACACCCAAAGCGAGAAUUGAAAGAGAAAAGUGAGCCUCUUCGGCUGUAUUUCUAAACUAAGAUUUAGUUGCUUUCAAUAAAAGUUGUGUUUUGUAAUCCCUUUCCAAACUUUUCCACUUAUUUCUUUCUAUUCCUCUACCAGCCAAAAAACCAACCUAAAUAAUGAAGAAGAAAUAGGCUUAAAUAGAGGAGAUUUUUGGGUUGAUUAAGGGGGGAAACGGGUAGAAUUUCAGAGUGAAUUCGAAAUUUGAAAUUCCAAUUCUCUUUGGAUAAGGUUGCCAGCUUUAAUAGUACAACUCUUCAACAGAUUAAUGAUGGAGGUCGUUUGAUUCGUGGAACAAGGACGGAUGAAGCACAAUAUUGUUCUACCUGGAAGAUUCGAGUAUGAAAGGAUAAGGAGAGAGAGGGAAGACGACACGAUUGGACUCGGGUCACUGGAUUUCUCGAUGGAUUGUUGGACUGCUGCUCGCAAUUUGCAGAUGGGUCACGAGUUUCUGGGUUUCGAUUUUGGUUUGGGUUUUCUGGGUUCGCGAGUUGGGUCGCGUUUCUAAGUGAAAGAAGAAGAAGAAGAAGAAGAAGAAGAAGAAGAAGAAGAAGAAGAAGAAGAAGAAGAAGAAGAAGAAGAAGAAGAAGAAGAAGAAGAAGAAGAAGAAGAAGAAGAAGAAGAAGAAGAAGAAGAAGAAGAAGAAGAAGAAGAAGAAGAAGAAGAAGAAGAAGAAGAAGAAGAAGAAGAAGAAGAAGAAGAAGAAGAAGAAGAAGAAGAAGAAGAAGAAGAAGAAGAAGAAGAAGAAGAAGAAGAAGAAGAAGAAGAAGAAGAAGAAGAAGAAGAAGAAGAAGAAGAAGAAGAAGAAGAAGAAGAAGAAGAAGAAGAAGAAGAAGAAGAAGAAGAAGAAGAAGAAGAAGAAGAAGAAGAAGAAGAAGAAGAAGAAGAAGAAGAAGAAGAAGAAGAAGAAGAAGAAGAAGAAGAAGAAGAAGAAGAAGAAGAAGAAGAAGAAGAAGAAGAAGAAGAAGAAGAAGAAGAAGAAGAAGAAGAACGUACAGGAUUGGGGUAGCUGCUGAUUGUAUUGUAUGUUGUAUUGUUGUAGGCUGGGAAAUUUGGAAAUUGCAUUGGAAUAGGCUGCAGGGAAUGGGUUGGCUGAGUUGAAUUGGGCCACUGAGAAAUCAGAAUUGGGCUGGGAUUUAAGGUAAUGGCCAAUUGUAUUAAAAAGUAGCCAAUUUUGAAUUCAAGUAACAAAAAUUAAAAUCUUUUUGAGAGGAUUUUCAAAAUGUUUAUAAAAUAUGCUAAUUAUAUACAAAAUUAUACAAAACAUAUCUAUUACUUAAAAUUAUAAAAAUGAUAAAAUUAAUUAAAAGUAACUUGAAAAAUAUUUGGACCUUUCUAAACACUAAUUAUUUCAAAACGUUUGGAAUUUAAGAAACUCGAUCAUUAAUAUAUAUUGUGGAGGUCCAAAAUUGGGUGUCAACACCCCCAGUUCCCCGAUUUUUCAUGUGUCUUAGCUCAUGGAUCUGGCACUUGGAGCACCUAAAUUUUCUUUCUCAAAAAACUUUAAGAGGACCUCCGUAAUGAGUUGGAAAACCUUCACGUAUACUCACACUAUUUUUUUAAAGCUCAUUUUCACAUUUACAAGAUUUUUUAAGAAUCACCCGAAUUCCGCAAUUUUUCGUGUGUUACCAUGGAUCUGGCACCCGGAGCACCUUAAAUUGUUUUCCCAAAAAAAUAAUUAAGAUGACCUCCGUAAUGAGUUGGGAAACCUUCACGUAUACUCACACCAUUUUUUUACGCUCAUUUCCGCAUUUACAAGCUCUUUUUUAAGAUCGCCAAAUUCUCUAAUUUUUGUGUGUAUUAGCCCAUGGAUCAGGCCUCUGGAGCGCCCAAUUUUUUUUUAUCAACAAACUUUAUGAGGACCUUCAUAAUGAGUUGGCAAACCUUCAUCUUUACUCACACUGUUUUUAAACGCUCAUUUCCAUAUAUACAAGCCUUUUUUAAAGAAUUGCCCGAAUUUCCCGAUUUUUCGUGUGUAUGAGACCAUGGAUCAGGCGCCCGAAGCACCAAAAAUUUUUUUUUCUCAAAAAACUUUAUGAGGACCUCCGUAAUGAGUUGGGGAUAUUCAUGUAUACUCAUACUGUUUUUUUAACGCCCAUUUCCGCAUUUGCAAGCCAUUUUUUCAAGAAUCACCCAAAUUACCCGAUUGUUCGUGUGUAUUAGCCCAUUGAUUUGGCUCCCGGAGAACCCAAAAAUUAUUUCUCAAAAAAUAUUAUGAGGACCUCCGUAUUGAGUUGGGGAACCUUCAACUCACACCAUUUUUUCAACGUCCAUUUCCGCAUUUACAAGACUUUUUUUAAGAAUCAUCCGAAUUACCCAAUUUCUCGUGUGUAUUAUCCCAUGGAUAUGUCGUUCGGAGCACCCAAUUUUUUUCCAUAAAGCUUUAUGAGGACCUCCGUAAUGAGUUGUGGAAUCCUUCAUAUAAACUCACACCAUUCUCCCAAAUUCUCCAAUUUUUUAUGUGUUUUAGCAGCUCAUGGAUCAGGCGCCCGGAGCACCCAAAAAUAUUUUCUCAAAAAAACUUCAUGAGGACCUCCGUAUUAAGUUGGGGAAUCUUCACGUAUACUCAUACUUUUUUCAAUGACAUUUUCGUAUUUACAAGCCUUUUUUUAAGAAUCGCCCAAAUUUCCCAAUUUUUGUGUGUGUAUGGAUUUGACGCCCGGAGAACCCAAAAAAAAUUCUCAAUAAACUUUAUGAGGACCUCCGUAAUGAGUUGGGGAACCUUCACGUAUACUCACACCAUUUUUUAACGCCCAUUUCCACCUUUACAAACCCUUUUUUAAGAAUUCUCCGAUUUUUCGUGUGUAUUAGCCCAUGGAUCUGGCGUCCGGAGCACCAAAAUUUUUUUCCUCAUAAAACUUUAUGAGGACCUCUGUAAUGAGUUGGAAAACAUACACGUAUACUCACACCAUUUUUUAACGUCCAUUUCCGCUUUACAAGCCUUUUUUUAAGAAUCUCCCAAAUUCCCUAUUUUUUCGUGUGUAUUAGCCUGUGGAUCUGGCACCUCGAAGCACCCCAAAAAUAUUUUCAUAAAAAAUUUAUGAGAACCUCCGUAAUGUGUAGAAGAACCACCACGGAUACUCACACCAUUUUGAAUGUCUAUUUUCGGAUUUACAAGACCUUUGUUUAGGAAUUAUGCAAAUUUCUUCGAUUUUUCGUGUAAAUUAGCCCAUGGUUCAAGCGCUCGGAGCACCCAAAAAACUUUUUUGCAUAAAAAUUAUGAGGACCUCUUAAUGAGUUGGGAAACCAUCACGUAUAUUCACACUAUUUUUAACGCUAUUCAUUAUUUAAAGGUUUUUUUUUAGGAAUUACGCAAAUUUUUAGUGUGUAUUAUCCUAUGGAACUAGCGCUUCGGAGCACCUAAAUUUUUUUUCUGAGAAAAACUGUAUGAGCACCUCUGUAAUGAGUUGGGGAAACACCACGUAUACUCACACAAUUUUUAAGGUCUACUUUCGCAUUUACAGAUCCGUUUUUUAGGAAUCACACAAACUCCUUGAUAUUUCGUAUGUAUUAGCCAAUAGGUCUGGCACCUCGGAGCACCCAUAUUUUUUUCUGAAUUUUUUUUAUCAGGAUUUUUUUAAUGGGUUGGGUAACCACCAUGUAUACUCACAUCAUUUUUUUAUUGCCUAUUUCCACAUUUACAUUUCCUUUUUUAGGAAUUACGCAAAUACCUCAAUUUUUCAUGUUUAUUAGCCCAUGGAUUUGGCACAUUAGAGCUCCAAAAUAUUUGUCUGAAAAAACUUUAUGAGGACCUCCGUAAUGAGUUGGAGCACCACCACGUAUACUCACACCAUUUUUUGACGCCUAUUUCCGCAUUUACAUACCCCUUAUUAGGAGUUACGCAAAUUUCUCAAUUAUUCAUGUGUAUUAGCCAAUGGAUUUCGCGCCUCGGAGCAACCAAUUUUUUUUUUCUGAAAUAACUUUAUUAGGACCUCCGUAAUGAGUUGGGGAACCACCACGUAUACUCACAUAAUUUUUUAACAUUAGUUUUGCAUUUACAGGCCAUUUUUUGGGAAUAACGCAAAUUACUCGAUUUUUCGUAUGUAUUAGCCAUGGAUCUGGCGCCUCAGAGCACUCAAAAUAUUUUUCUGAAAAAACUUUAUGAGGACUUCUGUAUUGAGUUGGGGAACCACCACGUAUACUCACACCAUUUUAUUAACGCCCAUUUUCGCAUUUACAAGCCCCUUUUAGAAACUACACAAAUUCCUCGAUUGUUCGUGUGCAUUAGCCCAGGGAUCUAGCGCCUCGAAGCACCCAAACAUUUUUUCUGAAAAAACUUUAUGAGGACCUCUGUAAUGAGUUGGGGAACCACCACGUAUACUCACACCAUUUUUUUAAUGUCUAUUUCCUUGUUUACAUGCCCUUUUUUUAGGAAUUACGCAAAUUCCUCAAUUUUCGUGUGUAUUAGGUCAAGGAUCUGGCGCCUCAGAGCACCAAAAAAAAUUAUAUUUUUUUUUAUAAGGACCUUCGUAAUGAGUUGGGGAACCACCACGUAGAUUCAUACCAUUUUUAACGCCUAUUUCCGCAUUUAGAGACCUUAUUUUAGGAAUUAUGCAAAUUUCUCAAUCGCUUUUUUGUGUGUAUGAACAAAUGGAUCUAGCGCUUUGGAGCACCCAUUUUUUUUUUUGAAAAAACUUUAUGAGGAUUCGUAAUGAGUUGGGGAACCACCAAGUAUACUCACACCAUUUUUAGCACCUAUUUCCAAAUUUACAUGACCUUUUUUAGGAAUUACGCAAUUUCUUGAUUUUUCAUGCGUAUUAGCCCAUAGAUAUGGCGCCUUGGAGCACUCAAUUUUUUUUCUGAAACAUCUCUGUGAGGACCUCCGUAAUGAGUUAGGUAACCACCACGUAUACUCAUACCAUUUUUUUAACGCCUAUUUCUGCAUUGACAGGCCCUGUUUUAGAAAUUACGCCCAUGAAUAUUUUGGUGAUAUGACUUUCGGACGAAAUUUUUGCGAAAUCCUUAUGGAACCCUUCAUAGGGAGUUGAGGGAGCACUACGUACAAUCCUACCGUUUUUAGAGUGAUUUAUGGGCAUUAAGGAGUCAAUUUACAGUAAUUAGGCGAUUUUCUCAGUUUUUUGUGUGUGUUAGCCGAUGAAUAUUUUGGUGAUAUGACUUAAAGAUGAAUUUGUUACAAAACCUUUAUGGAAUCCUCCGUAAGGUGUUGGGGGAGCAUUACGUACAAUCUCACCAUUUUUAGGGUGAACUUUGGGCAUUUAGAGACCAAUUUACAGGAAUCAUGCAAUUUUCUCAAUUUUUUGUAUGUGUUAUCCCAUUAAUAAUUUGGUGAUAUGACUUCUGAACGAGUUUUUGUGAACCUUUAUGGUACCCUCCCUAGGGAGUUAGUGGAGCAGUACGUACAAUCUCACCAUUUUUAGAAUGAUAUGGAGGAGAAAUAACUCCUACUAGCCCAAAAUAUGUCUGAAAAAUGACAAGACUUCACGUAUUUCUCUCUCAACUCUCUACAGAGGAUUCCGUAAAGGAUUUGCACAAAAAUCGACCGUCAAUCACAUAACCAAAAUAUUCAUGAACUAACUAUGCCAAUAUAAACCCAAUAGCAUAGAUAGAAUUUGGAAAGAUAAUUAUGUUGGGAUAUUUUCUUCCUGUGGUGCUCGCUGCAGCGUACAAUGAUGAGCUAUAUAUGUCUCCAUCUUUUUAUUCUAUUUUUCAUUUAUUUAAAAUGAUCGUUCGAUAGGUGAGAUAAGAUAUGAUAUAUGUUAAUUAUACUAAAAGAUAAAAUUUAUCUCAUAAAUUGAGAUAUUUUAUGAGAUAAAUAAUUAUAUUACUAUAUAAAAAAAUAAUUUAUUUCACUAUUAUAAAAUAUAUAAUUUCAGAACUAACUAAUACUCCUAAUUAUUUAUUCUGUAUUUUAUCUCAAUAUUGUUAUUUUUUUUCUUUAAAUCCCUUUUAAGUUUUUCCUCUUCAAUUAUUAGGGAGCACGUUUAAAUGGCUUGUAAAACAUUGUUGUAAUUGGUUGGUAGAGUCGGCAAGGAGACAACUAAGCAAAUGGAGAAAGCAACGAUAAAUGUGGGGAAAAUUAAAAAAACGUUUUUAGUUCCAUUUUAAGUAACACAUUUAAUUUGAUACAAUAUUUAAAAAGGAAUAAGACGCGAGUAUUUCCUCUAGACUAUGAUCGAAAUCUCAGAACACAUUUAACUAAACUAAGAUCCUAUUACCCCAUGAACCUAAUUUUUUUUGUAAUUUUAUACAUUUUUUGAUUUACUUGACAUCCAAAUAUCUCCCACAUGCCUCAACUACGUAGGGUCACGGAGCAUGCCAUGUAAUAAAUCAAUGGUUUUGUUCAAUAAAAUUGGAUUUUAAAUAUGCUUUUAUUUGAAAUUUAUUCUUCAAUUCUACCUUCUUGAAUAAUCGAUUUCUACUAAUACAACUAAGAAUCAUUUGGUAAUUGAUAAGAACUUUACAAAUAUUAGUAUAAUGGAGAUAUUAGUUAUUAACUAUUCGACACAUAAAAUAAAUACACCAAUAUUUUCAUAACUUAUACGUACAUUAUUCUACAAGUUGUAAAAUUACAAAUCAAACGACAUAUUAAGUCGGACUCCUAACUUUUCUCUGCGCGCGCAUAUAUAUAUAUAUAAACACCCAUUUUUACCACAACUCUUCAUUCACAUUAAAGCUAGAAAUGGCAGAAGAAAUGAUGAACAACAAACAGAUCAUUCUAAAACAUUAUGUGGAAGGUUAUCCUAAGGAAUCUGAUAUGGAAUUUAAGAAUAGUAUCAUUAAAUUGAAUGUUCAAGAAGGUUCUAAUGAUUGUUAUUUUGAAGAAUCUUUACUUGUCUUGUGACCCUUACGUGCUUAACCGUAUGAGCAAACUUGAGGGUAGCUAUAUUCAAUCCUUCACUACUGGUUAUGUAAGUAUUUCAAUAAUUUACUACCACACAUAUGAUUAUUUAGUUGGUAUAUAUUAUACGUUCAAAUUUCGAGAGUCAAAAAAUAUAUUUAAUGUGUUUUUAUAAGUGAGUGUUUGAAUUAACUUAUUUUAAACAGUUUUUGGCUUUUAAUCUUCUUUUUAAACUUUUUGAAGGUGUUUGAUAAAAAACACCUUUUUAAGGCUGAGAAAAUACAAAAAUAAGUUAAAAGUAUGGAUAUUCUCAACUCGUGACUUUUAAGUUUUUGCUUAUAAGCUACUUAAAACAAAGUCAAUCUAAACAGCCCGUGAUCGUGGAUACAUAUUUAGUGCCAAUUGAGCUAUUACCGUUAAUUAAUUGCCACUAAAAGAUCGUUUUUGAUGUAGUGAUGGUUGGUUGGGGAAUAGACUGGUAAUCUGCUUAUAUGGACUCGGACAAUAAUCUUCUGCUCUUGCAGGGAUGCCUGGGGUGACAGCUUAUGCUGGAUUUUAUGAGGUUUGCUCCCCUAAGAAGGGAGAAACUGUGUUUGUUUCAGUUGCUUCUGGAGCAGUUGGUCAACUUGUUGGACAAUUUGCAAAGAUGUUAGGUUGUUAUGUUGUUGGUAGUGCUGGAAAUAAACAAAAGGUAAGUACUUAAACAUUUCAUUCUUGAAUUUUAUUAGUGGCUUAUAAGUUAUCUUACUUAUCUUAAUCAUUGUUAAAUAAUCUAGCUAUCUCAUCUAUUCAUUAUUAUUAUUAAAGGUUGAUAUGUUGAAGACCAAGUUUGGUUUUGAUGAAGCUUUUAACUAUAAAGAGGAGCAGGAUUUAGAUGAUAUGUUGAUAUGUUGAACACUAACUAAUAUGGCAAAAGGAUGGGGACUAAGGACGAAUUUGAAUCAUUUUUAUAACAUUAAGGACAUAUAUGCGCCGAUAGUACUAUAACAUUAAGUGGUCGUUUGGUAGCUGGCUAGAGUUAUGGAUGUAUUACUAAUACAUGAAUUAGUUACGAGACCCUCUUAAUGAAAAUCUUGUUUUUACUUCUUCAUAUUCUUUAAUGAAAAUCUUGGCUCCAUCACUAAUGUACUGAUAGUAUAACAGAGCAUUAUUAAACCUUUUUCAAUAGUAAAGAGGUAAAAGAAGAUGACUUUGAGGCGUGAGGAUUCAUUUUCCUUAAAGAGAUAUUGCAUGUGUAUGUAAUAGUCAUGUUCUUUCAUGAAUAGAUAUGUCUGUUGAGUUUAAGACCUACGAUAUAACUAACAAAUAUGACCUUCUUUUGUAUCGGUUUAUUCCUAUUAUAGGUACUUUUCUGAUGGAAUUGACAUUUACUUUGAUAAUGUGUGUGUGUUGGGGGGGGGGGUGCUUGACCCCUACCAUGUCUAUAACAUCCAAAAAGUUAACAAAAGCAGAGGGGGACAUGGACCUAACCUCUUGAUAGUGAACAACGAGGAUAAACUAAACAAUCUACAAAAAGACCCUUAUGACAUAGACUUUCAUACUAUAAGAAAAAUACACUGGUUCAAUUAACAAAAAAAUUACAUUUGUCGUAUCUUCUCCUUAUGCUAAAGUUGCCACUUAUCUAGUAGAAAUAGUCCCUUCACCUCAGAAGAAUUGUGUGUGGUGGAUUGAACAUUAAGGGCAUAUAUGAAAAGAUAGCUAAUAUAACGCUAAAGGUAUAUAUGAACUGAUAAUAUAACGGAAAAGCAAUACUAGACCUUUAAUUUUCAAUAAUAUAGGAGUAAAUAUGACCUUUUUUCGUAUUGGUUUAUUCUAUUAGGUACUUCCCUGAUGGAAUUGACAUUCACUUUGAGAAUGUUGGAGGUAAAAUGCUUGAUGCAGUUCUUGUGAAUAUGAAACUUCAUGGUCGUAUUGCUGUGUGUGGAAUGAUUUGUUUUGCCUCAUUGCGAAACGAAUCCCUAUGGAAGGAUUUCUUGUUUUUGAUUACUAUCAUCUAUAUCCUAAGUAUUUGGAAAUGAUCAUUCCAGAAAUAAAGGCUGGUAACAUUGUGUAUGUGGAAGACAUAGCUGAAGGUUUUGAAAGUGCUCCUAGUGCUCUAGUUGGUCUCUUCUCUGGUCUCAAUGUUGGAAAGCAAGUUGUGAUGAUUUCAUGUGAAUGAAUGGAUUUGGAUCUUUUCCAUUUUCUCUCAAGUUUUUACUUGAAAGGAAAGAUAUUGUGUCAUGGUUAAAAUACUUAAAUACGCAAACAUUUCUAUCAUGUAUUUACUAAUUCUCUGUAUGGUUUGAAAUAAUUAGUCAUUAAUUGAUAAUUUCAUACUAGAUUUCAAGUCAGAUAUACCUUGGUACAUGUAUUUUUUGUACUAGAUAUGCAGAUACAUAGGAAGAGAGGGAGCGAGAGGAGAAGGAGAGAUGAGAGAGGUGAGAGGCGAGUG